rnacentral:lncRNA from 1 species
CUGCAGAGGCUGCUACAUGCAAAGGAGUAUGGAAAAAAGGUACAUCAUCGAUACGCUGAAAAACAUAUGGAUCAUUCAGAAUUAACUCAUACAAGAUGUUUAUGUCUCCUGUUUGUGCAGCACCUAUCAUCCUCUCAUCCAUAGCAAGGUGCGGAAAUUUGCAGAAUAUAGAAAUGGAGUGAAGAAAAAACGCUUUAGCAGACGAUGUGAUUAUGUUAAGGAUAUACUGAAGUGUUUGAUUAUUUUUUCCAGAUGGAGUGUGUGACAUUUUAUAGCACUUAAUUAUUUUGGAUUUAUAUGUGAUGUCAGCCACUACACGUAUACAUGUGAAUGUCACCUAUUAGAAAGAAAUAGUAAUUAUAUUUAGUAAUUAAAUUCAUAUUUAAUAUAUAUUUUUAAUCUAAUUUUUUAACUCAAUUUAAUUUUAGUUAAAACGUUUAAAAACAUUUAUUUAAUUUCUUUAAUAUAUUAAAUAAAUUGAAUUAGAGAAUAUAUUAAAUAUGGAUGAAUACUAUAUCAUACUAAUUUUAUGUCUCUAAAAAUUAAUAAGGUGUCAUUAUUUUAUUGGUGCUUAAAAAAUUAAAAUAUUUAGAAUCAUCCUAAUAUAAGUUAUUCUAUUAAUAAUAAUAUUUUGUACUCCCACGAGUAAGUUCAAUAGUUUGACAAAUAUCUUAUAAAAGUAUAGUAAAAUAUAAAAAAAAUUAUUUAGUGACUUAAUUUUUUAAGAACAUUUGAUAAUUUAUAAAGAAAAUAAAUAAUAAUUUUUUUCAAUAAAAAAAGUGUGAAAAAAUGAUAAGUAGAUAAUAACUAUUAUCACUUACAACAUGUUUGGAUUAAAAAGAUAGAAAAAAGGAGGGAAAAUUAAGUAAAAUGAGGGAAAGAAAAUUCGGUUUCUUUGUUUAAGUUAAGUAAAUAUCGUAUUAUUAGAUUUUAUAUUUUAGGGUCUGUUUGAUUGAAGGAAUUGAUUUUCCGGAAAAUCAUUUCCAACUUUUCCAGCAUUUGAUUGGCGGAAAACAUUUUCCAUUUGGAAAAUGAACUCCAAAACAUGGGAAAAUGGGUUACAUUUUAGGGAAAAUGUCUUACCCUUUCAAUUUCCGUAAGACAUUUUCCGUGCUCUCCUCUCUAUCGCCUCAUUCAUUCCUUCCUUCAUUUCCGGUAAAAAAUUGUUACUGUUUAUCGAUUUUCUAGUAACUUGUUUUUUUAAUUAUUCAAUACUUGUUUUUUUAACACAAUUACAAAUAAUUUAUUUGAUAUUAAUUUUUUUCAAUUUAUAAUGAUUAAUAUUGUAGCUUAAUAAUUGAGUAUUAUUAUAAAUAAAUCAUUGCAAUAUAUGUAAAAAUAAUUUAAAAUAUAAAAAAUUAUUAAUAUAUAUCAAUAUAUGUAAAAACAAUUUUUUCGAAAAAUAUUUCCAAGAAAUCUGCCAAACAGCCGAAAAUAUUUUACACAGAUUUAAUCAAACACCAGAAAAUAUUUUCCACUAAAUCAUUUUACAGAAAAGUAAAAUAUUUUCCCGAAAUCAUUUUACGGAAAAUAUUUUACUGGCAAUCAAACAGACCCUUAGAUUAUUAUCUCUUCUUCUUCUUCUUCUUUUAACUUGUAACCAUCUUAUUUUUAUUUUUUAUUUGUUUAGGUUACUAGAAAUAUUUAAUUUUAAAUUUGUUUGAUAUAUAUUUUUAAAAAUUUUAACAAUAUUUUUUAUUAACUAUUUUGUUAAAUUAUUAGGAAUCCUUCAUUUGUAAUUUGGUUAGGAUAUAUUUUUUAGUUUGAUCAAAUAAGCUUAUUUAAAAAAAAAGAGAAUAUACCAAUAUAUUAUUGGUUAACAUUUUAAUUAUUAUUUUAUAUAGACUAUUGAUAUUGUUCUAUAAUUUUAAUUUGCUGUGAUUUAAUUUUGUUAUUAUAUAUUAUUUAUGAACUGUUAAAAUUAAAAAAUAAAAGUAAAAUAAUUCAUUUUCUUUCCUUUUCACAGUUUAGCAAAACAAGUCCACAAGGUCGCCCCAUUCAACAAAAAUUAAAUUGUUUAAAUAUAUAUAUGUAUAUAGGGACUAGUUUUAACAAAUGAAAAAUAUAGAAAAACUACAUUAAAAAAAUGGAGAAUGGAGGAAAACAGAGGGAGAAGCAGAAGACAAUAAAAAAUAAAGGAAAGUUAAAAGAACAUAAAAAAAAUUAAAUUGAAUUGCUCAAAAUGAAAAAAAUAUGGGGAUCAGUUGUAUAAAUCACCCUAAAUUUUUUGUUUGAAAGAUGAUUUAACAUGUCACAUCAGCUUAUCGUUAUAUGGUUAACGGAAAUUAACAGCUCAGUGACUAAAAUGUUACAACGCGAUAACGUAAGUGACUAAAAUGUAACAUUUCAAACAUAAAUGACUAAAAUGUAAGCAAAAGUGACUAUUUUAAUAAUUUACCCUUACAUUUAUCUAAACAUACUCUUAAUGUAAACAUUUUUCAAUUAUUUUUAUUUCAUUUUAUUUUUAACCAUUAUCCAUUAUCCUUACUUUAAAAAGUAUAAUUAAUAAAUCGUAUAAUUAUUUUUCAAAAUUAAUUUUAAGUAAUACACCAAAUAGAUUUUAUAACUUAAAUUUAAUAUUUAAGUUUAUAAUAUUUUUUUAUCAAACAACAUUUACUCCUAAGUAAAUAAAUAAAUAAAGGCCUUGUGUAAUUAAGAAAGUUGAGAAAGGGUUAAUCCUCACAUGGAAAAAAUUGGCUACAAUAAUGAAGGAAAGAGAAAAACACUAAGGAAUAUCCAAUAAUUGGGAGGCAAUAUGUCAAUUAUGAGCAUACCCCAUACUGUCAAUGGUGAUGGAUGAAUUGUCUACUAUACAUGGAUUUUGUUUUCCCUUUUUUUUUUCUUUUUUUUUUGUUCUUGUCCUGUAUUAUUUGGAUUUGAGAUCCCAAGCUAUGUAUGUCAUCACAUUUUAAAUAUAUAUAUAUAUUUAUUAUGUAUUGAAUAUCAGUUUUAUUGGUAUAAAUAUUAUUGUUAAUGUAUGAGAAUAUAGGUUCAAGUGUGCACUACACCAAAACAGGCUUUUAGCGGCGUUUUGAGCGAAGACGCUGCUAAAAAUCGAGAAAUAGCAGCGUUUUAGGAAAAGCGCCGCUAAAGAGUGAGCAUUAGCGGCGUUUAAGUAAAAGUGCCGCUAAAGAGUGAGCAUUAGCAGUGUUUAUAAAAAACGCCGCAAAUAAUACACCUAGACGGUGCCGUUUUAUGUCCUUUCGGGGGAAUUAGUGGCGUUUUUUGUAAAGCGCCGCUAAGGCUAAGACUUUUAGUGGCGUUUUUUGAAAAUCGUCGCUAAUCUAGGUGUUUUAGCGGCGUUUUUUGUUUAUGCGCCGCAAAAAUAAUUUAUCUUAAUUGAACUAUUAUUUAUAUUGUUUAAAUCAAAUUAAACAUAUUUCUAAUAGAAUAUUUAAAAUCUUCAAUAAAAAAUUACAGGUAUAAAUAAUUUGAAAUAAAACACAUGGAAAAAUUAAAAUAGUAUUAUUUAAAAUAAUUUUAAAGUUUGUUGGGUACAUUACUGAUUGUUUUUUAAUUUAUAUAUUAAAAAUUUGAAAUUAUUAUCGUAAUUAAAAGAGAUAGUAUUAAUUUAAAUUUAAAAUAUUGAAUUAAGCGUAUCACUAUAGUUAAUAUAGGGUUUUAGGUUUUAGGGGUAUAUAUAUGAUAUUAUUAAUUUAAGAUUUUAAGUCGAUUUAGGGGUUACUAUUUUAAGGUUAUUAUUAUAAUUGAUCAGGAGUAUAUAUAUAAUAUUUGAUUUAAGGAUAUGGUUUAAGGGCUGAGAUAUAAUGUUUAGGGGUUAGGGCUGGGGUUAGCACUUAGGGGCUAUUAAUUAGGAGUUAAUUAAGGAUUUAGGGUUUAGUUAGGGGUUGGGUUAGGGAACGUAGGGUUUUAGAUUAAUUAGUAUUGCCAAAUUAUAUUUUAAAUAUGUUCUUAUAUAUAUAAUUGUAAAAGAGGUAAUAAUAAAUUUGUUUAGGAUUUUUCGGUUCGGUAUAUGAUUUGGUUUCGGUAUAUUAUUAAUUUAAAUACGAAUUUGAAUAGUAAUGCUCAAAUAUAUAAUUCAUGAAUAACACUUAAAUACUUAAAUAAAUUUGUGAAUUUGAAUUGAAAUCAUCCAAAAUAUGCAUAUACCUGAGUCGGUAUCUUUCCUAUUUUGAUCACUUCAAUAAAAAAAUCCCAUAUAUAUAUAUUUAGUACUCCUUAUUUGUUUUCAUUAAUUUAUCUAUUUGAUGAAGAUCAAUAUAUAAAUUAGUUAAUUAGACAAAUUUAUUCAUUUAUCAAUAAAAUANNNNNNNNNNNNNNNNNNNNNNNNNNNNNNNNNNNNNNNNNNNNNNNNNNNNNNNNNNNNNNNNNNNNNNNNNNNNNNNNNNNNNNNNNNNNNNNNNNNNAAUAUUAUAAAUUUCAAAUUUUAUACAAAAAAAUAAAUAUUAUAAAGAUAAUAUUGUUUAUUGCUACUUUAUACAAAAAGUUUUUAGUAUUAAUUAUUCUUUAAUCAAUUAUAACUAUUUUAUGAUAUUUAUUAAAGAUUUAGGGAUUAUUUUGGAUGGCCGUGCUAUUUUAAGGAUUAGGGGUACAGAUUUAGGGUUUGGGAUAUAAGAGUUAUCUAGGGGUUUAGGGGUUACAAGUUAUGAUUUAGGGGUUAAAGAUUUAAGGUUUAGGGGUUUAGGGGUCGGAUAAGGAUUUUAGGUUAGUUUAGAUUAAUUUCUUUAAAUAAUUUUUUAAAAAACCAAUCUAAAGUACCAAUUGAUAUAUUUAAAUAUUAUUUUAAAUAGAAUUCAUAAAUAAGUUAAAAAAUAUAUUGAUUUAUAUUAUAUGGAUAUGGUUAUAUAUAUUUAGGUAUAAUUAUUUAUUUUGGAAAUAUAUAUAUAGGACCAAAUACAUAAGAAAUGAAGUAAAAAAAUAAUAAAAAAUUUUAAAACGGCGCCGUUUUCGAAUGAAUAGUUAAACUUUUAGUGGCGUUUUAACUAUUAAACGCCGCAAAUAUGGGAAAGCAGUCGUGGCGUUUGUACAAGAAACGCCGCAAAAGUGUCUUUAAAAUUUGAGUAAACGACACCAUCUGUCUACACGAUUUUUAACUUAUAAAAAGUUUAGAAUUAUUUACUUGAAACGUCACCAUUUGGCUUGUUGUACGUUAAGUAUUAGUGGCGUUUUUACAAAAAGCCACAAAAUGUACAAUUUGAGAACCAAAAAACAGCGCCGUUUCUGCAUACAGGUUUAAAUUUUUAUGGCGUUUUCGCAAAAACGCAGGAAAUUUAGGAAGCAAUAGCGGCGUUUUUCAGUAAACGCCGCAAAAGGGUAUUAAAAUAAUGUCUAAACGGUGCCGUUUCUGUACAUGAUUUGUAACUUAGAAAAAUUUUAGAAUUAUUUAUUCAAAACAUCAAUUAAGUAUUCGUGGCGUUUUUACACAAAACGCAACUAAUAAUACAAUUUGAGACUAGCAAAACGACGCCAUUUCUGUUUAAAACUUGAACUUUUAGUGGCGAUUUUAUAUCAAACGCCGCAAAUGGGUUUUAAAAAAAUGGGUAAACGGCGUCAUUUCUGUACAGUAUAUUUUACUUUGACAAAAUUUAGUGGCAUUUGUGCUUAAAACGCCAGAAAUAAUGCAAUUCCAGACCACGAAAACGGUGUCGUUUCUGUUCACAGCUGUAAUACGUAGUGGCGUUUUUAGGAAAACGCCGGAAAUGUGGAAGAAGUUGCGGCGUUUGUACCUAAAACGCCGCAAAACGAUGUUAAUAUAAUGGCUAAACGACAUCGUUUCCGUAACCGAUUUUUAACUUAUAAAAAUCUUAGAAUAAUAUAUUUAAAACGUCACCAUUUGGCUUAAAAUAGAUUAAGCAUACAGGUUUAAAUUUUUAUGGCAUUUUCGUAAAAACGCAGGAAAUUUAGGAAGCAAUAGCGGCGUUUUUCAAUAAACGCCACAAAAGGGUAUUAAAAUAAUGUCUAAACGGCGCCGUUUCUGUACAUGAUUUGUAACUUAGAAAAAUUUGAGAAUUAUUUAUUCAAAACAUCAAUUAAGUAUUUGUGGCGUUUUUACACAAAACGCAACUAAUAAUACAAUUUGAGACUAGCAAAACGACGCCAUUUCUGUUUAAAACUUGAACUUUUAGUGGCGAUUUUAUAUCAAACGCCGCAAAUGGGUUUUAAAAAAAUGGGUAAACGGCGUCAUUUCUGUACAGUAUAUUUUACUUUGACAAAUUUUAGUGGCAUUUGUGCUUAAAACGCCAGAAAUAAUGCAAUUCCAGACCACGAAAACGGUGUCGUUUCUGUUCACAGCUGUAAUAUGUAGUGGCGUUUUUAGGAAAACGCCGAAAAUGUGGAAGAAGCUGCGGCGUUUGUACCUGAAACGCCACAAAACGGUGUUAAUAUAAUGGCUAAACGACAUCGUUUCCAUAACUGAUUUUUAACUUAUAAAAAUCUUAGAAUAAUAUAUUUAAAACGUCACCGUUUGGCUUAAAAUAGAUUAAGUAUAAGUGGCGGUUUUUAUUAAACGCCACAAAAAAUGCAAUUUCAGAGUAACAGAACGGCGCCGUUUCUGUUAAAAGGUUUAAUUUUUUGUGGCGUUUGGUCUAUAAACGCCAGAAAUUUGGAAUAAGUAGUGGCGUUUUUUCAAGAAACGCCGCAAAUGUGUUUUAAUAUUUUUUUCUCAACGAUGCCGUUUCCGCAGAUGUUCUUUAACUUAGCAUUUACACUCGACAAAGCACAAAAAGCAAAAGCCAAGUGCAGAGGCCAAUUGGGAAGGGGAAAAAACCUAAGAAAAAAAUCUAAGGAAGAAAGUGGAGGAGAAAUCAGAAAUCAUCAAAAAGGAAGCAACGAUUGCGUCAUUCUUGACAGUAGUUGCAGAAUUUCUGGUUAAAAGGUAUGCGUUUAAUCCUUCUGAAGAACAUCGUCUUGAUUUAGGGUAAUUUUGGGUGCAUUGUGUUUUGCAAAUUUGGGGUUUAGGAAAAAAAUUUAGAUUUUAGGGUUUGCGGUUUAGGUUAAAACACCAUUCUUGUUUGGGAAUUUGGGGAACUUGUAAAUUAUUUAUUUAGCAAUUUAAAUAGAAGGGUUUAUUUAGGAAAAAUUUGUGUAUUUAGGGGUUGCCUGAAUACAAAUAUGGGUCCUUAACACAGCCUGUUGUUUCUCCAUUACAGCGAUUUUUGGAGAAGCAUAAAAGGGUAAGGACAGCCCUUCUGGUUGUGGUAGUAUUUGGUGCUUCUAUGGUCAUCUUUAUGGCUGUGGAUUCUAGAGUUUAAUCUCGGUUCCUCUUAAACAUAUGUGGCAACUAGGACAAUAAGCAAAACUAUUAAUCAUGACAGUAUAUAUGAUUAUGGAUGGUGCUAGUGAGCUUGAGAAUACAUUCCCUUUAAUAGCUCUACUAAUAUUUUGCAUAUGGACUAGACAAGAGAUACCAAUAAAUAACUCGUCUGGUCUUACACCUGAAAGACUCAAAUUAACACAGAUUUAAACCCAAGCUAGCUGGUGAAGGUUAAACAAACCAUUUUCCUAAAAUUUUCUUGGCUGAGCCAUUAUUCGGACCAUGCAAUCAUUGUUGCAAUAGUGCAUAAUUAUGUUUGAUUCGUUUAGUGUGCUUAUUUCUCAGCUGGACAUAGUUGAUCUCCCAUGACAGAGUUAUGGAUACUGAUAUCAGAAGUUCUUUAAUGAACAUAGUGGUGUCAUCCUAACUUCCACAUUACUUUGAUAACUUUAAUUGGUUGCAUUAUUCCUCCUAUCUAUAGUAUAUUGUUUGUGGUGGAUGGUUUGACAUGUCUCAGUGCUGAUGUUUCAUUAUUCAAAUAAGAUUUUUAAUUUUGGAUUUUGUUAUAUUUAAGCUUUAUACUAAUUUUUUCCUAGUACUAACUUACUUGUGUUUUCCUUUUUAUUUUUUUUUUGCAGUAGUUUGCUUCGAAGUCCAGGAAAUUGAGGUAUUUAUUCCUAUGUUUCCCACCUUGGUUUUCUUAAAAAAACACCUCCAAAUGUUUAAAUUUUGGAUUUUGUUAUAUUUUAUCUAUGUACUUUAAUUAUUAUUUUUGAGUUUUAAAAGGGAGUUUUAAUUAAGAAUUUUUUUUAAGUUGUGGGUAUCGGUUUUAAUUAUCAUUUUUGAUUUAUAUGUUGCUAGCUCAAUUUGCAUGUUACUUUGCCAAAUUUUUCCAUAACUGCAAGGUAUAAAUUAUGAUUGUAAAUCUUGUACGUAUUUUUUACCCAAGCAAAAACAAUUACGCAAAUUAUUAAAAUUCUUAAAUCACUUUAUAUAUUGGAGUAAGUGAAUAAAUUAUGGGCGAAUAGUGGAUUCGUUUUAAAGUGAACAAAUUAUCGAUUUUCAAUUUUAUGCCAAUUAAUAAAUUAUCGACGUUAGUUCUCAUUUAUGCAAUUGAAUGUUAAUGUUUAAUAAUAUAUGAUUAUUCAAUAAAUUGAUCUAUUAAUUGAUUGAAUGUCAAUGAAUUAUCAAUUUUUGUAAGUUAAUUUGGUUAAAUUUAUUACUUAAAUACAUUACUUACUAAAAUUUGUUUAAAUUUAUUACUUAAAUAUGUUACUUAAAUACAUUACUUACUAAAAUUUAAGUAUAUAUUACAUUACUUACAUAACUUGUUAAAAUAUAUUAUAAUUUUAAAAAUAAUUAUAAUUAAGAUACAUAAAAGUGCAAUACUUACAUCAUACAUUAUUUACACAACCAAAAAUUGAAAUUUACAAGAACUUACAUAACUUGUUAAUAUUUAUAUAAACUUACAUAACUAUCACAUAAACUUACAUAAUAUNNNNNNNNNNNNNNNNNNNNNNNNNNNNNNNNNNNNNNNNNNNNNNNNNNNNNNNNNNNNNNNNNNNNNNNNNNNNNNNNNNNNNNNNNNNNNNNNNNNNNNNNNNNNNNNNNNNNNNNNNNNNNNNNNNNNNNNNNNNNNNNNNNNNNNNNNNNNNNNNNNNNNNNNNNNNNNNNNNNNNNNNNNNNNNNNNNNNNNNNNNNNNNNNNNNNNNNNNNNNAUACAUUAUUUACAUAUUAACUUACAUAAGUUAUCUACAAGCUUGUGGUUAAACUUGCAUAACUUACAUAAUAACAUAACAACUUACAUAAUACAUAGCAUACAUAACUUACAUAACUUACAUAAUACAAAACUUACAUAACUUAAAUAUCUUACACAACUUACAUAACGUACAUAAUACAUAACUUACAUAAUACAUAAUAACUUACAACUUACAUAACAUACAUGACUUUGAUAACUUACAUAACUUACAUAAUACACAACUUGUUAAGCUUACUUAAUACAUAACUUACAUAACUUAUACACGUACAUAACUUACAUAAUUUACUUAAUACAUAAAUAUAUAUCAUAUGAUAUACUUACAUAACUCAUUUAUACUUACCACUCAACAACUUACCCUUGUAAUUUCUGGUGAAAAUCAGACGUCAAGAAAUAAGAAAUGGACCGGUCUUGGAUGAAUUUAUCAAGGGUAAGUGACGGUUAUCGAAAUGGAGUACAGACUUUUCUAAAUUUUGCAUUUCAAUAUGCAAGCCAGGAGAACAUGAUUCUUUGCCCGUGUAAGAAGUGUGUCAACAUAAACUCGCAUUAUCGUGAAGUGUGUCAAUAUGAAAACGAUGGGUUUGUUCGGGGUUAUAAACAAUGGUUUUUUCAUGGAGAAUGCCCGCCUAGUACUUCCUCAUCAAGGAUGGAUGUAUCUUAUGACAGUACUACUUACCAUCAGUCUGUUAGAGGGGAUGGCAUGGAAGGGAUGUUGCGGGAAGCAUUUAAUAUUCACAACCAUGGUUUACAGUCGUUCCCAGCCGACUUUGUGGCACCUGAUGAUUGUAAUAUCGGUGGAAAUGCUUUUACCGAACCUGAAAGAAGUGUACAUCAUGAAGAGCCGAAUGGAGAAGUGGCAAAGUUCUACGUGCUACUUAAUGACAUGAAUGAAGAACUGUUUGAGGGAUCAAAAUUCUCGAAAUUAUCUUUCUGUAUUCGUCUUUUCCAGUUAAAGUGUUUGGGAGGGUGGACCGGGAACUCUUUAACAAUGCUGUUAGAGUUUCUGAGAGAGAUGUUUCCGUUUGCAAAAAUCCCUCAAUCAUGCAAAGAUAUAAAGAAAAUGAUAAAAGAUUUAGGUCUUGGGUACACCAAAAUCCAUAGUUGCCCGAAUGACUGCAUGUUGUAUUGGGGCGAUCGAAGAAACCAGCAAUGCUGUCACAUAUGCGGCCAAUCACGUUGGAUAAAUAGAAACACAGAAGAUGGGAACGACGAUGAAAAUGAUACACUGGCAAGAAAGAAGCCGGUCAAGAUUUUGUGGUAUUUUCCGCUCAUACCAAUGCUUCAAAGGCUUUUCAUGUCGUCGAAGACAGCGGAGUCUAUGACGUGGCACCAUGAUGGACGAACCGAUGAUGGGAAGAUGAGGCAUUCAGCAGAUUCUUUAGCUUGGAAAUCAUUUAACAAUAAAUUUCCAAGCUUUGCAAGCGAUCCUAGGAGUGUAAGGCUUGGCUUAGCAUCUGAUGGAUUUAAUCCGUACAAGAUCAUGAGUACUGCGUACAGUACUUGGCCAGUAGUGCUUGUUGCUUACAAUCUGCCUCCGUGGAUUUGCAUGAAGCAAUCUUCCUUUAUCUUAUCUAUGAUUAUCCCUGGAGAGAAAGGGCCCGGGAAUGAUAUCGACAUUUAUUUACAGCCACUUAUUGAAGAGUUAAAACAAUUGUGGGCUGGUGUCGAGACAUACGAUCUGCUGAGAAAGGAGAACUUUAAUCUACGUGCAGCUUUGAUGUGGAUCAUUAAUGACUUUCCCGCUUAUGCCAAUUUAUCCAGUUGGAGUACAAAGGGUCGUUAUGCGUGUCCUUGUUGUGCUGCACAAACAUGUUCGCAAUGGUUGUACAAUGGGAAGAAGUUCUCUUACAUGGGGCAUCGUCGGUGGUUACCGGAAAAUCAUAGAUUUAGAUUUCAAAGUUCUGUAUUUGACGGUACUGAAGAGUUCAGAGAAGCUCCUUCGUAGACCAGUGGCUCUGAAAUCUUGUUCAUGUUGGAAGAUAUGAAUUUCAUUUAUGGGAAGAUGAACCAACCGCCAAACACGCAAAGAAGUAGAAGAUCAAACGAUGAAGCUGAUGAUGACUCUGAUGAAGAGGACGAUCCUAAUGAGGCGGACUUGUGGAAAAAAAGAAGUAUUUUUUUUGAGUUGCCUUAUUGGGAGCAUCACCUUUUACGACAUAAUCUUGAUGUUAUGCACAUUAAGAAAAAUGUCUGCGAGAACAUUGUGGGUACAAUUUUGAAUGUCGACGGAAAAUCAAAAGACAAUCUUCAAAGUCGACUUGAUUUAGUACAAAUGGGAAUCCGACCUGAUCGUCAUCCCAAUCCACUUUCGAAUGGGAAAUAUCGGUUGCCGCCAUCUAUUUUUUCAAUGUCGAAGACGGAAAAAGAAGUGUUCUGCACGGUGUUGAAGGAUAUAAAGGUUCCAGAUGCGUAUGCAUCAAAUAUAUCUCGAUGUGUUAGUGUUAAAGAUCGAAGAUUAUAUUCGCUAAAAUCACAUGACUAUCACAUCUUGAUGCAAGAUUUACUGCCAGUGGCUCUACGAUGUUGUAUGUCCAAGAAGGUGACGUCUUGUAUAAUUGAACUAUCCAACAUAAUGAAAGCCAUUUGUGGCAAAGUUUUGGAUGUUCAAGAACUUCGGAAGGUACAAGAUCGAGCCGCUUUGACUUUAUGCAACAUGGAGAAAAUCUUUCCACCUUUCUUCUUCACCAUUAUGGUUCACUUGAUAAUCCAUCUCCCACACGAAGCAAUUCUUGGCGGACCCGUUUUCUAUUGAUGGAUGUAUCCCAUAGAAAGGUGUUAAUUAAAAUUUUUAAAAUUUUCCUUCAUUCACCUCUAUCCUUUAGUUUCAAUAAUUAAGAAAUGUUAUAUAUUGUGUUUAGGUUUCUAUCCAAAUUAAAGUCUUACUGCCGCAACAAGCGAUAUCCAGAAGGAUCAAUUGCAGAAGGCUACUUGGCAGAAGAAUGUAUGACCUUCUGCUCAAGAUAUUUGGAAGAUGUUGAAACAAGGUUAAACAGACCAAAUAGGAAUGCUGGACUCACGGACCAUAACUUAGCCGAUACUUAUUUGUUCCAAAGUUUUGGAGAACCAAUCGACAAAGUUGAAAUUGCAGAAUUAGAUCAUUUAUCGUGGGUACAAGCACAUCGAUAUGUUCUGUUUCACCACGAAUCAUUGGAACCUUUACGGAAGUAAGUUCUACAAAUUUGAUAAAUAUUUAUCAAACUAAUAAUUGUUUAUCUUCUAACAAAGUGAACAUUUUUUUAACAUAGUGAGUACAAACAAAUAUUGAGAUCUCGUUCGCGCUCCCGAAGAAUACAACAUCGAGAUAUCAAUAAGUUGUUUACAAAAUCUUUUUAUGAAUGGUUAAGCCAAACGGUAUGCAGUUCGAGCUUCCGCUUACAAAUAAUAAAAUCUGUUUUCUCAUAACAUUUUUAAUUACUCAGUUUACUUUCCAUUCAAUAGGUUUGGAGUGGGAAGAACGUAAACGACGAAGUUAAAUGGCUCUCCCAAGGUCCAAAUCGAGUGGUUAAAAGAUAUAGUUCGUUCCUCAUCAACGGAUUCAGAUUUCAUACAAAAUAUCGCGAGAGGUUGAGGAGAAUGCAAAAUUGUAGAAUAGUUGUCAAUUCUACAAUUACAAGUUAUGCUAGUGCAAGGGACAAUAAUCCUGUCGAGGGAAAUAUGGAAUAUUUCGGACAUCUUACUGACAUAAUUGAGUUGGAUUACUACGGCAAAUGGAAAGUUGUCUUAUUUCGUAGUGAUUGGGCCGAUGUUAAUACAACUCAUGGAAUUAAGCAAGAUCAAUUUGGUUUUACAAUGGUGAACUUUGACCGAUUGAUUCACACAGGACAACAACUGAUAGAUGAGCCGUAUGUAUUCUCAUCUCAAGUCAAACAAGUUUUUUACUCAAAAGAUCCAACUGAUGAGGGUUGGUACGUUGUACUCCGUAACAUCCCUAGAGACUUGUUUGACAUGGGCAGUGGAAGUAGAGAUAACAUCGACGACAGAUCAGAAACUUUGCCCUUUCCAGAACAAAACUUAAACGAUAAUAUCCCUAGUACUAGUGCACAAUUUCAAUGUGUUCGUCAGGAUACCGAUGAAGAUAUUUACGAAUAAUGAUGUAGUAAGAUUUUACGAUUGUUUAAUUAUAAGUAUUUUGUCAUAAUUUAAAUAUUGGUCUUAUUAUAUAUUUCAACUGUUUUAUAUGUGCUGUUAUUGUUGUAAUUAGUUAUUAAGUUGUCAACUAUUUUAUGUGUAUUGCAGAUAAAAUGCCUAGAAGAAAAAUUCUAAGGGGAAGCAUUGUUCAAAAUGAUCCAAACACGACAGAAACAAAUAGUACUGAACAACAGACAGCAAUUGGAUCUUCGAAUGUUCCGAUUACAGCUGAUGAUCCUACAGAAGUUCAAAGUAAUUUUACAUUUAAUUUACAUGUGUGUUGACUUAUAGUUGAUUUUUUUUUCAAAUUCUUAUAUUAUAAUAUACCAUUUGUAGCUGAAAAUGGUGGGAUGCGCAGAGGUCGAGGACGUACGCUACUUAGAGAGUUAUACGAGUUAGAUCCAGUCGAGCGUGUCAAAGUUGGACGAAACAGUUUUGGUCAGCCUGUUGGAUCAGAACCUCGACUUUUAGCAGGAUACAUGGGCAUUUUAGCACGAAAUCCGAAUAUGUUGCCUAUCAACUACGACUCAUGGCAUCAAAUGCCCGAUAGCAACAAAAACCAAGCCGUCGAUAAUAUUAAGGUAACAAAAUGUUAAUGUCAUCUGUAAUGCUUGGGAAAUAGUUUCAUUUAUAUUUACUUUAUUAACUUGUUUUUUUUAUUUUUUGUAGACGAGGUUUGCUUUAGAGGUCUCGGAUGCUUAUGUAAAGAAGGCAUUGGGAAAAAGAUGGAGAGACAAUAAAAGUACUUUGAAGAGAAAUUAUUAUAAGACAAAAACAACCCUUGAUGAGAAAUUACAAAAUGUCCCGCCGGGUAUGUUGAGGUACCAAUGGGAAGAUGCGGUUAGAUUUUAGCAUUCGAAGAAAGGCGAGGUAUGACGUACUUCCAAACUAUUGUAAUUAUUUUGGUAAAUAGUAUUUUCUAUUUACAUACUAAAAAUUUCAUAACGUAGGAUCGUGAACNNNNNNNNNNNNNNNNNNNNNNNNNNNNNNNNNNNNNNNNNNNNNNNNNNNNNNNNNNNNNNNNNNNNNNNNNNNNNNNNNNNNNNNNNNNNNNNNNNNNUGUAGCUGAGGCGGAGGUAUUUUUAAUUUUUUAAUAUUGUCGAAUAUGUAUAACUUUCUAUUAAAUAAUAUUUUUACUACUAUAUUGUAGGAACUGUCGUCCGGUCAAAAAGUUGGACGCCUUCAACUUUUUGAAAUUACACAUAGGAAGAAAGAUGGAUCUCCCAUGACUCCUGAAGCUGGUGAAAUAAUGGUACGUUUACUUAAUACGAUUUGACUUGUUUUAGUUAUUUAUAGUGUUUAUUUUCUAAUGGUUUAAUUCAUUGCUUGUAAUGCGACUAUUGUUAUGUUGCAUAUGUUUUUUAAUAUAUAAUAUUGCGUUCCUAACUAUGUGAUUUAUUUAUUAGGAAAAACUAAAGGAUAAAAAGGUGGAGUACGAAGCGAUUGCUUCUAGUGAUAGUUCUGUUCAUCUUGAAGACAUUGAUAAUCGGAUUAUUACUGAAGUUUUGGGUCCUGAAAGGUAUGGUCGGGUUCGAUUUCAAGGAUCUUUUGUUAGCCCAACCCAAUAUUUUGGAUCCAGCUCCCACCAAUACAUGGCUUCGGGGAGUCAGGCUCAAGCUGAAGUUCGGAGGUUAAAAGACCAGAUGGCUCAGAUGCAAGCGACCACAGUUGAGGUUCAAAGGAAAUAUGAAGAACUCCAGCUACAACUUAAAGCAGAGGCGGCAGCGAGGGAAGCAGCGGCUGCAGCGAGAGAAGCAGAGCAGACCAAAAAGUACAACGAACUCCAGCAGCAGCUUCAGAUUAUGAUGAAGAUGUUUCAGUCGCAACUUCCGCCUUCAUAGUGUAUGGCAUAAAUAUUUUUAUCAUUUUAUCAUUUAACAUUUUUGCAAAAUAAUAUGAAUUCACUUUUAUUUAUUGAUAUUAAUAUUAUUUUAUUCGUUUAAUUUGAAAUAUUAUAUAAAUUUAUUGCUUUUGGCUAUUUUAGAUCUGGUUGCUUUUGAUUUGUUGUUACAGGAGGGCUGAAAAAAUGAAAAAUUUAAUAAAAAAAUCCCAAAAAUAGUGGCGUUUUUGUAUAAAAACGCCGCUAAAGACCGUGUUCUUUAGCGGCGCUUAGAAAAAAACGCCGCUAAAGAACAUGGUCUUUAGCGGCGUUUUUUUUUUGUAAACGCUGCAAAUGUUUGUGACGUUUUCCUUAGCGGCAUUUAGUGGCGUUAAAAAGCGCUGCUAAAGGCUUAAAAAAACGCCGCUAAAGACCUGUUUUGGUGUAGUGGUGUUAAAACGCAUUAUCCUCUUAUUUAUGAAUUAGGAAGUAGUUAUUGGUAGUUCUAGACAUUGCGUAGAAAAUAAUAGAUAUGAUGAGAAUCUAUAUUGAAACUUUUCGAAAAAAUAUAUUUAUUACACAUGAACUAAAAGAAAUUUCUUUAUGGGUAGUUCAAGAAUAUUGUUGAAGCUAUAAAAUAAAAAUUCAAUUGGAAAAUAGAAAUCUCUUUUGUUUAACAAAAUAUUAAUCAUUGAUUGAGUUAAUAUUAUGAGUCAAUCGGACACCAAUUUAAUUAAGAAAUUACAAAAAUAUCAUUCCAUAAUUAAAAUAAAUUAUAUUAUUUGAGGAUAUUUUAAUAUUUUUAUGUCAAAAAAAUCAAUAAAAAUAUAUAUUUAUUUUUCACAAAUAUAUUAUUCUAUCAAUUUUCAUCAACCAAAAAAAAAGUAAUUAAAGUAAAAUUUACCUUUGAUAUACCAGAUGAUUUCAAAGAGAAUGAUUAUAUCAAUGAGUUUAACAAUUAAAAAAUAUAUUUUUUUCAAAGAUUUUAUAAUAUCAAAAAUUUUAAAAAUUUUAUAUAAAAAUUAAAUAAAUAUUUUAAAUGAUAUUUGGACCAAUUUUAAUAAUUAGUUUAUAAUUUAGAGUUGUAUAUAAUAUGGCUGAUAUAUAUAAUGUCUUGGUCAAGUCAUGGUUUUAUAUAUGUUUAUUUGUGAGCCCUACACUCACAUCAAAUUUAGAUAUCACAAACAUGAUUUAAAAUAUUAUUAACUGUGAGCAAUUUAAAGAAAUUUAAUUUCUUUUUUACAAUUUUAAGUUAAUCAAUUAUUUGAUUUUUUUUAGGGGCGAAUUCAGAAAAGUUUUUUAGGGGCCGAAAUGAAUUUUUAAUUUUUAUUAGUCUAUAUAUUUAUAUUUUUAAAGGAUUAAAUUAAAAUUUUUAUAAUUUUAGGGGGGCCAAAAUGUAAUUUUAUCUCUACUAAUUUAAAACUUUAAAAUUUUUUAAAGGACCUAAAUAAUAAUUUUUCAUUUUAAGGGGGCCGGGGCCCCUACCAACCCUUUAGAUUUGCCUCUGAUAUAUAUAUUAUUUAUGUUUUGCAACUCAAAAUUUAGUCAUAUUAUCAAUAAUAUUUUAAUAUGAAAAAUUUACUUUUUAAAAAAUUUAUGUUGAACAAACUUAUUUAGCUUGUCUCAAUUAAAUUAAAAAAAUUAAAAUCAAAUUAGAAUAAUAAAAUAAUACCCAUUUACGCGAUUGAAUCUAAUACUCACCUCUCAAUAUUACACCUUUUGAAUCUUCCUAGAUCAUAAAAGGGGAAGUUAUCCUUGGCGUGUGUGUUUUAGUGCUCCUUAUUUCCUUUAAAAACAGAGUUUAUUUUUUCCUUUUUUAUAGAAAUGAAUUGAUAUUUAAACUGCAAAAGAAGAACCACUAUUUGAACAUGUAUAAAUUAAUAUUGUACGCAAAUAUAAACUUUAAUACCAAUUAGAGAAGUAAAAUAAGAUAUUGGUGAAUCAAAUUUAUUAAAUAAUUUAUAUACAGAAUGGAUGAUAUAAUAUUUCUGAAGUCUUCCCUUGGUUGACCAUAAAAGGAGAAGUCAUUGUUUUGUUUUUUGGUAUUUAUUUGUGACCCCUACACACACAUCAAAAUCACAUAUCAUAAACAUUGAUUUAGAAUUAAACUAUAUAAUAUUAGACCUUUUGUAAUCUUCCUAUUGUUGACCAUAAAAGGAGAAGUCAUCCUCUUCUGUCUUUUGUCCCCUUCAACUCUGUGGCUAAUUAUGUCAAAACAAGGUUUUUUUUUCCCUUCUUUGGUAGGAAUUAAAUUAAUAAAGAUUAUUGUAAUUUAAAAUCCAAUUAAAGUUACUAUUUGAACUGGUAUGAAUUAAUAUUGUUAUGUCUAACAUUUAUAUCCAAUAAUUUUUACUAUAGAGAAAAGAAGUAAGAAAAUAAUAUAUGAUGUAAAAUUGUUAAUUUGAGUCUUAACACAGUCGGUAUUUGUAUGUUGUUUAUGUAAUUUUUCUUUCUAGUUAAAGGUUGGAGAGGAGUUAGGGUGAAGCUAGAAAUUUCUUUUUUUGGGAGACGAAAUUAAGUUGUAUAUUUUUACAAGGGUUAAAAUAUAAUUUCACCAUUUCAAUAGCUUAUAUCUUUACAAUUUUUAAUGGACUAAAUCAAUAUUUUAUCAUUUUUAGGGCUAAAGUACAAUUUUACUAUUUAUUAACUUAAAAUUUUAUAAACUUAAUUUAAAGGGUUAAAUUUUAAAUUUCACAUUUUAAGGGGAGGGAUAGAACCCUGCUAGGCUCCCCUCUUGCCGCCCCUGAGAGGAUAUAAAGUAAAGCCAUAAGGGUCUAAAAUAUAUGAAUUAUGAGUACUUAUUACACUUGACCAAUUGCUUUUCUUCAAACAAAACAAAAACUAAUGCACAUGAAAAUGCAAAUUCACAUGCAACCUAGAUAUGCAUUCUAUAUACAAUGCAAUGCAAUAAAUAAAUAAACAAAUAUUAUUUAACGAUGGAGUUGCCUCUCCGUAAGCACCUUUGUUUAACAUUUUCUACUAGAUGUUUUUAAAUGUUAUUUCACCAUAGAAUGAUUCGGAUAACAUCUUGACUUAGUAAAAUUGAACAUUAGGAACAACUUAAAAGUCGAGGGAACUUGAGAGUUUUGAUCCCCUUUUGGUUCUUUAACCAACCAUUCUCACCCCUAAUUAUAAUUCCAAUACAGUAAAAGUACGUGAUUGAGUUGAAUGGAUGGUGGUUGUUUGACAUAAUAUGUAGAAAGUGAAAAAAUAGUUGAAAAUAAAUCAAGUAUUAAAACUAAAAGUUUAUGAAAGAAAUUCUAGUAUUAUCAAUUUUUCGUGAGGCUCAAAGCUAUUUGGAACAAAAAUAAAAUCAAUGUGUAUAGGCUUAACAAAAUAGCUAUUAUCUUGCAUUGUUAUUUCAUCCUAACCUCUUCCCUCAUAACUUCAUCUUCUAUUUUCUGUUCGACUUUAUCAAAAGUCUCAAGAAUUUCCUCCUCGUCCUUUUUAACUUCAACGAAACUUUCUAGGGAAGGAAGCUCUAUCGUGAAUGACUUCGGUUCUAGUCAAAGUAAAACAUAGUUUUUUUAGGUUUUUCGACUAUUUAUGCAUCAAACUUUUAGGCCAUUUUGGACAUCUUCCUAAUGUUUUUAGGCUUUAAUCUGUGAAAUAAAUUUAGAUAAAUCUUUCAAGUCACAUCAACAUUUUAUUAAUGAUUUAAUAAAUUAUUAAUAAAAAGAUUUAAGGUUAAUGUACAAAUUUGUCACUAUACUUCAAUUUGAUUGAUAUUUGAUAUUGAAUUUUAUUGCUUUACUUUAAUUUAAUUGAAUUUUGCCACUAAAGUAAGAUUUUUUUAUUGAAUUUUCUAUUCAAUUUAAUUUUAAAAUAACUUGAAGGCUAAAUUGAAUAAAAAUAGUUUUAUAUUUCGCUUUUAUAUUUAAUAAUUAUCCUCUCAUCCAUGGCAAGGUGCGGAAAUUUGCAGAAUAUAGAAAUGGAGUGAAGAAAAACCGCUUUAGCAGACGAUAUGAUUAUGUUAAGGAUAUACUGAAGUGUUUGAUUAUUUUUUCCAGAUGGAGUGUUUGACAUUUUAUAUCACUUAAUUAUUUUGGAUUUAUAUGUGAUGUCAGCGUCUACACGUAUACAUGUGAAUGUCACCUAUUCGAAAUUAAGAAAUAGUAAUUAUAUUUAAUAAUUAAAUUCAUAUUUAAUAUAUAUUUUUGAUCUAAUUUUUUAAUUCAAUUUAAUUUUAGUUAAAACGUUUAAAACAUUUAUUUAAUCUAAUUUCUUUAAUAUAUUAAAUAAAUUGGAUUAGAAAAUAUAUUAAAUAUGGAUGAAUACUAUAUCUCUAAAAAUUAAUAUAUUAUUAUUUUAUUGGUGCUUAAAAAAAUUAAAAUAUUAAGAAUCAUUUUAAUAUAAGUUAUUCCCUUGAUAAUAAUAUUUGGUAUUUCCACGAGUAAGUUCAAUAGUUGACAAAUAUUUUAUAUAAGUACAAUAAAAUAUUUAAAAAAGUUAUUUAGUGACUUAAUUUUUUAAGAAUAUUUGAUAAUUCAUAAAGAAAAUAAAUAAUAUUUUAAAAAAAAAGAGUGAAAAAUGAUAAGUAGAUAAUAGCUAUUAUCACUUACAACAUGUUUGGAUUAAAAAGAAGAAAAAAGGAGGGAAAAUUAAGUAAAUUGAGGGAAAGAAAAUUCGGUUUCUUUGUUUAAGUUAAGUAAAGUUGUUAAUUUUUUAUUAGAUUUUAUAUUUUAGAUUAUUAUCUCUUCUUCUUCUUUUUUUAGCUUGUAACAACCUUAUUUUUAUUUUCUAUUUGUUUAGGUUACUAGAAAUAUUUAAUUUUAAAUUUGUUUGAUAUAUAUUUUUAAAAAUUUUAACAAUAUUUUUUUAUUAACUAUUUUGUUAAAUUAUUAGGAAUCCUUCAUUUAUAAUUUGGUUAAGAUAUUUUUUUAGUUUGAUAAAAUAAGCUUAUUAAAAAAAAGAGAAUAUACCAAUAUAUUAUUGGUUAACAUUUUAAUUAUUAUUUUAUAUAGAAUAUUGAUAUUUUUCUAUAAUUUUAAUUUGCUGUGAUUUAAUUUUGUUAUUAUAUAUUAUUUAUGAACUGUUAAAAUUAAAAAAAAAUAAAAGUAAAAUAAUUCAUUUUCUUUCCUUUUCAUAGUUUAGUAAAACAAGUCCACAAGCUCGCCUCAUUUGAAAAAAAUUAAAUUGUUUAAAUAUAUUUAUCUAUAUAUAUAUAGGGACUAAUUUUAACAAAUGAAAAACAUAGAAAAACUACAUUAAAAGAAAUGGAAAAGGGAAGAAAACAAAAGGAGAAGCAGAAGAGAAUGAAAUAUAAAGGAAAGUUAAAAGAACAUAAAAAAAUUAAAUUAAAUUGCUCAAAACGAAAAAAAUAUGGGGAUUAGUUGCAUAAAUCAUCCUAAAAUUUUUGUUUGAAAGAUGAUUUAACAUGUCACAUCAGCUUAUUGUUACACGGUUAACAAAAAUUAAUAGCUCAGUGACUAAAAUGUUAUAACGUGAUAACGUAAGUGACUAAAAUGUAACAUUUCAAACAUAAAUAACUAAAAUGUAAGCAAAAGUGGCUAUUUUAAUAGUUUACCCUAACAUUUAUCCAAACAUAAGCUUAAUGUAAACAUUUUUUCAAUUAUUUUUAUUUUAUUUUAUUUUUUACCAUUAUCCUUUAUCCUUAUUUUAAAAAAAAGUAUAAUUAUUUUUCAAAAUUAAUUUUAAGCAAUACAUCAAAUAGAUUUUAUAACUUAAAUGUAAUAUUUAAUUUUAUAAUAUUUUUUUAUCAAACAACGUUUACUCCUAAGUAAAUAAAUAAAUAAAGGCCUUGUGUAAUUAAGAAAGUUGAGAAAUGGCUAAUCCUCACAUGGCAAAAAUUGGCUACAAUAAUGAAGGAAAGAGAAAAACACUUAGGAAUGUCAAUGAGCAUACCCCACACACAUACUAUUUACUGUCAACGGUGAUGGAUGAAUUGUCUACUAUACAUGGAUUUUUUUUUUUUUUUGGUUCUUGUCCUGUAUUAUUUGGAUUUGUGAUCCCAUGUAAAAUUCCAGUCACUAUUUCAUCGCAUUUAAAAAAAAUUAUUUAUUAUCAAUUGAGUAUUAACUUGAUUGGUAUAAGUAUUAUUGUCAAUGUAUGAGAACAUAGGUUCGAGUGUAUUAAAGCUCAUUAUCUUUUUAUUUAUGGAUUAGAAAGUGAUUAUUGGUAGUUCUAAACAUUGUGUUGAAAAGAAUAGACAUAAUCAGAAUCUAUGUUGAAAUUUUUCAAAAACAAUUAUUUAUUACACAUUAAUUAAAAGAAAUCUCUUUAUGGGCAGUUCAAGAUUGUGAAGUUAUAAAAUAAAAAAUUCGAUACGAAAACAAAAAUCUCUUUUGUUUAACAAAAUAUUAAUCAUUGAUUGAGUUAAUAUUAUGAGUCAAUCAAACAUCAAUUUAAUCAAGAAAUUACGAAAAUAUUAUUUUAUAAUUAAAAUAAAUUAUAUUAUUUGAGGAUAUUUUAAUAUUUUAUGUCAAAAAAAUCAAUAAAAAUAUGAAUAUGAUGGGAUUUGAAAUAAAAUCUUGAAUUUACCACUCAACCAAAACUUUAUUUUAUCAUAUUUUAUACAUUUUUAUUUUAAUACGCACAAUUUAUUAUCUUCAUCAGUUGUAUAUAUAUUAAUAAAUUUAUUGAUUGAGUUGAUAUCACAAGUCAACUCGACACUAACUGACAAUUGACGACAACACUUUGAUAGACAGUUGUAUUGCGUUUAAUUAGUAUUUUUAAUUUGAUGUAUUUAUAUGUUUAAAUUUUAUUUUUGCUCCCAAAUUAAUUUAAUUUUUUAUUUUAAUGCCAUACAUAUUUUAUAUAUUCUUAUAAUUAAUUAUCUUGAAACCAUAUGUUUCAUUAUUUACUUCUUUCUUUUAAGCAUGCAUCUGUGUUUCAAAUCUAAACAUGGUUGAUUAUGUUAAUUAAUGUUACAAAUUGAGAAAUUUAUUAAAAGUAUUGAAAGAUGUUGGAAGAUGCUAUUGAUCUUCUUCAAGUGGUUUUUCACAAAUAUAUUAUUCUAUCAAUUUUCAUCAACCAAAAAAAAAAGUAAUUGAAGUAAAAUUUACCUUUGAUAUACCAGAUGAUUUCAAAGAGAAUGAUUAUAUCAAUGAGUUUAACAAUUAAAAAAUAUAUUUUUUCAAAGAUUUUAUAAUAUCAAAUAUUUUAAAAAUUUUAUAUAAACUUAAAUAAAUAUUUUAAAUGAUACAAUUCGACCAAUUUUAGUAAUUAGUUUAUAAUUUAGAGUUGUAGAUAAUAUGGCUGAUAUAUAUAAUGUCUUGGUCAAGUCAUGGUUUUAUAUAUGUUUAUUUGUGAGCCCUACACUCACAUCAAAUUUAGAUAUCACAAACAUGAUUUAAAACAUUACUAGCUGUGAGCAAUUUAAAGAAAUUUAAUUUCUUUUUUACAAUUUUAAGUUAAUCAAUUAUUUGAUUUUUUUUAGGGGGCCGAAAUGAAUUUUUAAUUUUUAAUGGUCUAUAUCUUUAUAUUUUUUAAAGGAUUAAAUUAAAAUUUUUAUAAUUUUUGGGGGGUCAAAGUGUAAUUUUACCUCUACUAAUUUAAAACUUUAAAAUUUUUUAAAAGACCUAAAUAGUAAUUUUUCAUUUUAAGGGGGCCGGAGCCUUACCAACCCUUUAGAUUUGCCUCUGAUAUAUAUAUUAUGUAUGUUCUUUAAAUCAAAAUUUAGUCAUAUUAUCAAUAAUAUUUUAAUAUGGAAAAUUUACUUUUUAAAAAAUUUAUCUUGAACAAACUUGUUUAGCUUAACUCAAUUAAAUUAAAAAAAUUUAAAUCAAAUUAAAAUGAUAAAAUAAUACUCAUUUACUCGAUUCGAUCUAGUACUCACCCCUCAAUAUGACACCUUUUGAAUCUUCCAUGACAGAAGUUAUCCUUAGUGCUCCUUAUUUCCUUUAAAAACAAGGUUUAUUUUUUCCUUUUUUAUAGAAAUGAAUUGAUAUUUAAACUGCAAAAGAAAAACCACUAUUUGAACAUGUAUAAAUAACUUGUAGUUGAUAGUUAUAUACAGAAUGGAUGAUAUAAUAUUUCUGAAGUCUUUUGGUAUUUAUUUGUGACUCCUACAAAUUAUAUAUAAGAAAUUCUAGUGUUAUCAAUUUUUUGGAGGCUCAAAGCUAUUUGGCAUUGUUAUUUCAUCCUAACCUCUUCCCUCGUAACUCCAUCUUCUAUUUUCUGUUAGACUUUGAGAGUUCAAUUACGAAAAGGGAAGUGUUUUUUUCGGCUCUUAAUGUAAUUGAUAGUAGGCUAGGAAAUAAAGAUUAUUCGUUUGUUUGUUUAAGCCUGAUUUUGACUUGUGUACUAUAAUUAAAUUAUCACACUAAUAUAUUUUUAUCAGUUUGAUUUAUGUACUUUCAUUCUAUAUACUUCGUUAUCUUAUUUAUAUUUUUUAGAAAAAAAAUUUUCUAUCUAAUUAAAUGCUGUCACCUAUGAAAAAAUUUAAAAUUCCACUAAAGUAUAUAAAAAUUCAUAAAAAUCGUAAAAAAAAUAAAAAAAAAAGCAUAAAACUCUAAAGAAAUUAAUAAAAUUUUAUAAGCACAAAUUUCCAAAAAUAAAAUUAAAAUAUUUUAUUAAAAUUUUUAAAUUUUUUAAAGUUUCAUAUAUUUAUUGUUUAAAAAUUAUAUCAUUUUCAAAAAAAGAUUAUGAAUUUUUUUAGGUAUUUUAAAAAUAUUUUUCUAAGUCUUAAGAUUUUAUUUUUUGCAUUUUAUGAUUUCUUUUUUGGAUUUUUAAUGGUUUUUAAAAUUUUAUAAUAUUUUCUAAAAUGUUUUAACUAUUUUGGUCGUCCAGGUUUUGUGAAUGAAGCGAAGGGUAUCUUUAUUGUGGUGAACUUUUAAUUUACUCAAAACGAAGUGAUUUAUUACGUUGUGUGAUUUGCAGAUAAGUGUUAAAUAUGAAAUGUGUAAGGCCCAAUAUUUGCCCGGCCCGUAAUAAACAAACCAAAUCAAAAUUUAAAAAGUCCAAAGUCCAAAAUUACAAAAAUCUAUCAGACCCAAAAUAUAAAUCGAGCCCAUUUAUAAAUGGCCCAGUACAAACCCAAAUUACAGCUAGCCCAAUAGCCAAAACCAGCCCAGAUUUUUUCAUUUUGCAGAAACCCUAAACAGUUUCAGAGGUACCAGGCGCCGCAGCCAAGCCCUCGCACAUGCCCCACGAACCACGCUUCCAACGCCUCUCCCCACAUACACCUAGCCACGUCCCUGACACCGUACGGCCGUACCUGCAGCAAACGCAAACGAAAAACGCAGCAGAGAAAGAAACUGUAUUUUUCAUUUUUAUUAUUUUAAAACGAAGGGAUAUAAAACAGGAGAAACCUUUUGUAUUUGAGGGGGGAUUGAUACGCAAUAUCAACACACGCAUAUUGUAUCAGAAAAACGAAAUCAAUACAGAAGAAAGGUUUUCUUUUUCUCUUUUCUCGAUUGGGUUCCUUUUUCUUUGGCUUUUCAUUUUUCUGUUUUGCUGUUAGCCCUAUACAUAAGCAUAUGCAUAUAAUAAAAGGGAAAGGAAGUACUUACCUCGGUGACCCUGUCGUCGUUCUCAUCGGUUUCGUGGAUACCAGAGAGGCUAGGUAUGGUUUUAGCCUGAGAACGGCGCGAGGGGAGAGGGGAAAGGCAAAGUUUUUUUUCUGCUGUUUUUUUAGUGGCCGAAUAACCUUGUUUAGGGUUUUAAAAUUGGUUUUUUUGGGGUGUUGAAACGGCGUCGUUUGGGGCCUGAAUCAGUGGCCACCAAAACGGCGUCGUUUCGCGCUUAGUCCCUUGCCUUUAAAGCGCAUCCAAAUCAAUCUUUUUAUUUUUUUAGAUUUUGCCUGAUAUGUCACUGUUGUUUCAUUUUGGUCCCUUCUGCCAAUAUGCGUUUUGAAGGGCGGGGAAUAUUUCCCAUUUAAUCCCUCAUGUAAUGCGCAGGCUUCAUUUUGCCUUUUAAUUUCCUUUUAAUUUAUUUUCUUUUUUCGAUUAAGCAUUAAAUCCCUUUUAAUCUCUAUUUUAGUUUGUUCAUAUUAAUUAAUUUAAAUAUUUUGGUUCUGUUUUCUUUAAUAUAUUUCAGUUUAAUCUAAUGUUAUUUUAAUAAUUCAACUUAUUAGUAUAAAUUCAUUAUUGGUAUUAUUUAAAUCUAUUGAACCAUUAUUCUAAAAGUUCUCUUUCGUGUGUUAUUUUAAGUUUUCAUAUAUUAUUAUUAAAAUUUAAUACUUAUUAUUUUUAUGAUAACUAAAUAUAAUUUGUACAAUUCUAUAGUUUUAUAAUAUUUAUUUUUAAAUUUAUUGGGAUACUAUUAUUUUAUGAAGUAUUUGUUUUUAAUUAUAUUUUUCAUUUAUUUCAAACUUUCAUGUGUAUAUAUAUUAUUUUAAACUUAUUUUAAUAUAUAAUUUCCCUUCUUUUAUGUUACUUUUUUUGUUUUUGUUAUUUAAAAAAAAAACUUGUUACAUUUUAUUUAAUUCGCUUGUUACCCUUUUUUAAUAAUAACUUUUUAAUUCAUUUUGCUUGCUAAUAUGGAUGUUAGUAUUUGCAUAAUGUAGGAUAUAAAAUUGUUGCUCUUUUGUAUAUGAUAUUGUUUAUUCAUAUAUUAAAUUUUUGUUAUUCAUUAGUGUAUGCUUUAGUUUACGAAUAAUCAAUUCGCAUAGUACAUUAUUAUACGAUCGUUUUUAUUUAUUCAAAAGAUUACAAAUUACAAAGUUAUUCUAUUCAAAAACUUUCAAAAAUACUCGAAGUUUGAAAUCCUCGAGAGAAUUGAGCCCUAACGUAUUGGGUUCCAAUUUUCUUCGUCGAAUCUAAAUAAUUGAACAUUUUUUAACAUACAAAUUUCAAAUAACCCAUUCUCGGGAAUUCAACACGUUGUGUCCUAACGUAUUGGAUAUGACAUGUUAUUUUCUCGAGAUGAGGAUUUUAAAAAAAUAAUAAAUAAAGGCAAUGUUCGGUAUUUGGGAAUUUGGUGAAAUCGAACCCUAACUUACUGGGUUUUGAUCUUCUCUUUUGGCCCAAAUAAUUAGAUAUCCUUCUCAAAAUGCAUAGUUUUAAAAAUCAAAUUUAACUUCAAAAUAAAAGGAUUGUAUUUUAAAAUUUUUUCAAAAUCUCGACAUUAAGACAUUGAACAAUCAAUUUGGUACCAAUUUUGGGCGUAUCGAGGGUGCUAAUCCUUCCUCGUGCGUAACCGACUCCCGAACCUGUUUUUUUGAAUUUCGUAGACCAAAACCGUUGUUUUAAUAAAAUCAAAUCGUUUAUUAAAAACAACCACUUUUUAAGGUGAUCCGAUCACACCUUAUCAAAAAAAGAUUGGUGGCGACUCCCUUUUUCCGUUUUCGUUUUCAAAAUCCAAGUCGACCCCGUUUUCAUCAAAGAAAUGGUGUCUACAAAAUGAAUUGUUGAAUUUGAAAACAAUGGUUUAAUAUUGCAGGGAUUUCCAGCAUUAUCAUAAAUUUUAGUGAAUUUAGAGACGAAAUCAGAGUUCCACUGAGUUUUGUUCAAAUCUGGGGAUUUCAUCGUCAUAUAGGGUCGAUUUGGAUAUCUAGGAUACAAAGCUUCAUAUCAUUGAUGUUCGAUGGCCAUGGGUAUAUGUUGAUUUUGAGUUUAUCGUUGCCCCAUAAGUUGGUUGCACUAAAAAAAAUGGGUAUUACCAAUGCUAAAAAUUGUUACUAAAAUUUUAUUGUAGCAAUAAAAGUUGUUGCGGGAUUGUUGUGUAUAUUUUCGUUGUUUAAAGUAUACGCAACUCUACUCAAUUAUGUAAUAUCUACUCUUAAAUAUGGUCUAUUUAACUACAUAUUUAAGCACAUCAAACACAAAUUAAUAAUUUAGAAAUAUCAAACCAAGAAUUAAUCACACAUAAUUGGGAACAAUAAACUAAGUAUUUAUUGCAUAAAAUAAAAAAAUGAUAGAAUCCAUCAUAGGGUUCAUUUCCCUAGGUAUUUAGAAAAUUAGUUCAAGCUUGAAAAUAAAAACAUCCAAGAUAUAGUAUAACCGAAAGAAAUAAAAAAAUUCAUGAUAAUCUCCUAGGAAAUCAACUGAGAAUCUUCAAUCUUGACGUAAAUUUGUUUUCAAGAUGGCUUCAAUGGCAUUUUUCGAGUUGCUUUCUUGAAUAUUUUAUGACGGCUCUCUCAUAUAUCUUCUUAAUUUUUCACAUAUACGUUUCAUAAUGCCCCAAAAAUCUAAAAAUCUUGAUUUUACAUUGUUUGUGUGGCAAUUCCAUGAAAUUGACAUAGCCUACCACACACUCGUGUGGGUCACAUGACUAUGUGGUUUGCUCAUGUGAAAUUUAGAAAAUGUAAAAGAUUCAAAUAUGUAUGCAUCCGUAUAUUGCAUAUAUUGUUGGGAUGUUAGACAAACAUUUAAGCAACUCUAGUAUAGGCCAUUAGAUAACAACCAAGAGGGUUAUGAGGUAUCUUUAGAAAACAAAAUAUUACAUGCUCACAUAUUGGAUGUUUGAUAAGUUAGAGAACAUCAAGUAUACAAACUCCAAUUUUGAUGAAAUAUUGAUGCAAAAUUUUGUCACUAGAGUGCAAAUUGUAACAAUAGUUAGUAGUCUUUUAUUCCAAUUGUACAAGCCCAAAUUUGCCCGAGGCCCAAAAACCCAAUACACCCAAACCUCAGCCUAAUUACAAUAUUUAACUCAGCAGACCCAACCCAACACCGAUGACCCAAACCUCAAUCCAAUAGCACCUAGCCCAACAAGAUUAAACCCAAACCCGAGGCCCAAUAUCCAACCCAAAAAAAAUGAAGGCCCAGUAGCCCAAAAUGUUUGAGACUUUUUCAGAAAAAAUGAAACCCUAGCCUACUGCCUAACCCUAGCCGCCUUUGCCUCCUCUGACAUCUUCUAGUCUGGCUGCCGCUCGUAGCCUCUGCCACCGCCACCUCUGACGCCGAGCCGCCCAUCAAUCACCUACUCCAUCAACGUCAACACCUGCAAACAAGAGAAAAAGCAAUAGCAAAUAAUAGCAAAAAUAUUGUAAAAAAUGGCUAUAAAGCCAUAACCACCACUGUAAACGGGGUUCUUCCCCCCCUCCCCCCGAUUUUUGUAUAAAAAAAUAUUAGCAGGGAAAUAAAGGAAAAAAGAUUGAAGGUGAUUUUUUCUUUUCUUUUCUUUUCGGUUUUGUAGACCCGUUUUUCUGUUCUCUUUUCUUUUUUCGUUUACACGUAUGUAAAUAAAGGUAGUAAAUAAAAGGAAAGAAUGAAGACUUACCCAUUUCGCCUUUCGGUUACGCCGCCGUCGGGGUCUGCUCAUAAUUGAAAUCGGCCCGAAAGGUCGAGUUAGGGGGUCCUUUGUCUUGAUUUUCGGGCCAAACGAAUCUAGCCUUCGAUUGGGUCUUAAAACGGGGACUAGAAUGCCCAUUUUGCGCAACGCCGGCCACCGUCCACGAUGGCGCUAUGGCGGUGCUAAGAAGACCCAAAGGCCGAACGUUUGAGAGGGAUGAGGAAAUGUUUUUUUUGUUUUUUUUUAAAAUUAGUGGCUGAUAUGUUUUUUUUUUUGAAGAAAAUAUGGCUUAAAUACUAUUUUCGAAAUAGCAUAGUUUCAAUUUGGCCCUCCAGAUGCCAAAACGGCGUCGUUUUGAAAGGGGCCGGUUCUACUCGACCCGUUUGGCCAGGAUCCGCGUGUUUUAGCCUUGAGGGGUUAUUUAUGCGGGGAGUCCCUCCGCUUCUGCAGCGUAGCCGAUAUGAUCCUUUUUGGUCUUUUUGUUAUUUGGCCCGCGAAUUUUGCCUCUAUUUCGAUUUGGUCCUUAGACCAUGUGCUGCCCCUAGUCGAAACGCAGCAUUUUAGGACUGGGAAAUAUUUCCCCACAAGUCCCUCACGCUUUAAGCGCGUUUUACUUCAGUCAUGCACUAUUCCUUUUGUUUGUUUGCAUAUUUAAACCCCGAAGUUCGUUUCAAGUUUUAAUUUAGUCCUUUUGUAUUUUGUUUAUUUUCUUAUUAAGUAAUAAAUUUGAUGUUAUACUGUUAUUAUUAAUUAUAAUAAAUAUUAUUUGCUCAUUUUUACCUUUAGAAUUUCAAAUUUUAUCAUAUAUAUUUGUAUAUACUUAUUUUGAUAUUUUAUAAUUUAUAUCUAUAUAUCUAUAUACAUAUUUAUACAUAUAUACACAUACCUAUAUGUUUUAUAUUUUCAUAUAGUUUUUAUAUACAUAUAUAUUCUUAUAUGCACAUGCUUAUGUUUUUUUAUACUUUAUAUAUAUAUAUAUAUAUACACCUAAACAUGCAUAUUUUUUUAUAUGUACAUACAUUCAUAUAUUUUAUAAUUUAAGUACAUAUACAUAUAUAUGUACAUAAACUUUAUUAUUAUUAUUAUUUUGUAAUUUAUAUUGUUAUUAAUUGUUUUAUUUGAUAUUUAUUUAUUUGCUCAUCUUUAUUUUUAUGAAAUGCUUUAGUUCUUUUUACAUUAUUUUUAUGAAAUGCUUUAGUUCUUUUUACUUACUCAUUAUUUCAUGUAUAAUUGUUUUUUUUAUAUAUGUGUCCUUUUUAUUGUUGCUCGUAUUAUUUUACUUACAUUAUCAUAAUUGUCAUUCCAUUACGUCAAUUUUCACCCAAAUUCAAAAAAAAAAAUUUUAAAAAUAUAAAUAAUACUCGGUAUUUGGGAUCUUCGAGAGAAUCGAGCCCUAACGUAUUGGGUUCCGAUUUUCUUCGUUGAAUCUAAAUAAUCGAGACUACUCUUUUUUAUAUAUAAAAAAACAUAAAUAAAAGCUCAUUAUCGGGAAUUCAAUACGUUGUGUCCUAACGCAUUGGAUAUGAUACAUUGUUUUCUCGAGAUGAGGAUUUUUCUAAAAAAAUAAAAAUAAGGCAAUGUUUUGAGUUUGGGAAAUUCAAGAAAACGUGCCCUAAUGUGCUGGGUUUCGAUUUCUCGUUUAGCCAAAUAUUCUCUUAAAUCUUAAUCUAUGUCAUUUAAGUUUUUUUAGGAUUGUAUUUUAAAUCUCUUUAAAGUUUUCAGUUUUUCGACACUAAGAUAUUAAGUAAUCAACUAGGUACCAAUUUUGGGCGUAUCGAGGGUGCUAAUCCUUCCUCGUGCAUAACCGACUCCCGAACCCAUUUUUCUAAAUUUCGUGGACCAAACUUGUUGUUUUAAUAAAAUCAAAUCAUUUAUUAAAACAACCACUUUUUGAGGUGAUCCGAUCACACCUUAUCAAAAAAGAUUGGUGGCGACUCCCACUUUCGUUUUCAUUUUUCAAAACCCAAGUCGACCCCGUUUUAUCAAAAAAAUGGUGCCAACAGCUUGGCGACUCCACUGGGGACCCAAGAACGAGAGUCAAGCCACGAGUUGAUUAUUUUUUUAUUUUUUUGUCGAAAAUCAAAAAAUUGGUUUAAACAUACGAUCCUUUCGUUGCAUUUCAUUCGUCUUUAUUAUGAUCUUCAUCAUUAUAGUUUAUAAUUGUUGUGUUAGUUUAAGUUUUGGUAUCAAUCUGUACAUUGCAUUGCAUAACCGUUGGUCACACCCUUCUUAGUGGGAGUGAGAAACUACGCUUUCGUGAGGUUUUCACCUCCGCAUAGGAUAGUGAAUCGCUUCUGGUAUAUAUCCGUACCUAUGUUUUCGUGAGAUUUUCAUCUCCGCAUGGCCAUAGGGAAAUGUAUUCCCCUGAACUGAACUCAGUCUGCAUGAGCCUAUAAUGGGUCAGGACCGAGGAAUCUGCUGGUUCAGGUACCCUUACUUUAGAGCCGAACAGCAUGUAAUGAGCCCUAGGAGCCUACCCUAGGUAGAACCACACCAAAUACCUAGAGGUCACCUGAAAACUUGGUUUAAAUUUACGAUCAUUUUGUUGUAUUUCGUCCGUUUUGGUAUGAUUUUCAUUACUUCGGUUUGUAAUUACUCUAUUGGUUUGAAUUCUCGAUAUGUUUCUGCGCAUUGCAUUACAUGACCACUCAGUUACACCCUUUUAAGUUUGAGUGAGAAGCUACUCCUUCGUGAGGUUUUCACCUCUGUGCAGGAUAGUGGAUCACUUUUGGGAUACAUCUGUACCUAUGUCUUCGUGAGAUUUUCAUCUCCGUGCAGCCAUAGGGAAAUGUAUUCCCCUGAACCGAACUCGGUCCGUAUGAGCCUAUAAUGGGUGAAGAUCGAGGAAUCGGCUGGUUUGGGUACCCUUGCUUUAGAACCAAACCACAUGUAGAAGACCUUAGGAGCCCACCCUAGGUAUAACUACUUUGAACCCCUAGUAGUUACCCUAAUAUGUGCUCUUUUUGUUUUUUUUUCUUGUUUACUUUUGCUUUGUACUAACCUGUUUUGUUUUGGUUAUAACUGCAUUGCAUUUUCAUCAUAGAAAAGAGGUGUUGAUUCAAAUUUGAUUGCUAAAUAGAAAAGCUUGUCAUGGAAAACGAAUUUCUUGAUAAAGUAGAAUAUGAUGCGACUGUCUGAUUAUGGACUAAUUAAACACAACAAGAGAAGGUUAGAAGUUUGUGGAGGAAUAUACGACUAUGCUUCACUGCCUGAGGAUUCAAACCGACAAAGAUCAUUCGAGAGUGGUCACGAAACUAAAGAGCAUCGUAAGGGAGCAAUGGGUCGUGGCUCAGAUCAAUCAAAAAAGAAGAUAGUAAAGGUAAAUUUUGGGAAAUUCGCAAGAUUUGAUCCUAACAUCUGGAUAUGAAGAAAAGAUCGAUGUAUUCGCCAGGAAUAUGGGGGCAAAGCAGCAGAUGUAAUCUAUUUUAUGUAAAGAAAUUUGUUCUCUAGAAAAGUUGUUCUAAUGGAAUUGAAUUAGGAAUCAAUGCCUCUCUUUCUUUUUGCAUUCAUUUCACGCAUUUGUAUUACAUAACAUCACAUGCAUUAAGGACCAUCAAAAGACUCUAAUUGAGUAAAAUGAUUUCAGCUAAUCUAGAGAACCAACACCCUUACGGAAUUCGAGCAAAAACUAAAAGAAUGGACCAAAGAUUGGAGAGAUUAAAGCAAAGGCAAAUACAGAUGCAAGAGCAAUUUACCAAAUUUCAACAAGAUAUGAAGGAUCAGAUGCUAGAAGUCCAAAGAAAUCUAAUAAGUCAGUUAACCCAGUUAUUGGAUAGAGGGUUAGAAAAAGGAAAAAACCCAGUGGUCCACUUUGGAGAUAAUGAUGAAGACCCUGCUCAUUUUCUAGGUUUUACCCCAACAAACCUCCAAGCACAACCGAAUGCAUGUCCACAAAAGGUAAAUGUUAACAUCCGACCACAAUACCAGACCAGUACCUCGACACCGGUGAAUUUCACGACAGGCUCAGGUUACAACCUUAGGGGAAAUCUAACUAGUCCCGUUGUCCUUGAUGAUCUAGCGGGAACAAAACAGGUGAGAGUAGAGCUCUCAAAACCAUUUGGAGAUCGUUACAAACAGAAAGGGCAAGAGUGGAAUCCUCAAAUCAAUACUUCGAGGGCCCCGAGGAAGAGGAAAGAUGACGUGAAUGAUGUGAGUAGGUAUAAUGAGGGUUAUUCAAAGCUGAUUACAACAAGCCAGAAAAGGACGGUUGAUUCUAGCCAUCAGAUCUCCCAGAGCAAGAAUUCGGCACAAAGAAAAACAUUGAGAAGUCCAAAUUUGUACCAAUCCCAAUGUCAUUUCGGGAGCUGUAUCAUAAUUUAUUUAACGCACACAUCGCCUCCCCUUUCUACUUGAAGCCUUUACAACCUCCGUACCCUAAAUGGUACGAAACGAAUGCACAAUGUGACUAUCAUGCAGGAAUUACGGGGCAUUCAAUAAAAGAUUGCGUUACCUUUAAAAAGGUGGUUGAAAGGCUCAUCAGUAUAGGCAUUGUCAAGUUCGAUACAAAAAAAUCUGCUGCCUAAUCAUAUUGAUAAUCGGGGUGAAUGCGAUGAAUGAGGAAAUAUUAGGAAACGUUCAAAUUAACGCUGUGCGAAGAAACAACUGAAGAAUGGACCUUGUUAGAUAUUUACCCGUACAUACUUAGGGGUGUUUUGAGCAAUGGGACUGUGGAAGAGAUCCCUGUAUUUUGUAGAGCUAAUUCUGAGUAAUAUCCAAAACACGCUUAUUGCUUUAAGCCUAGGGGCAAUAAGAAUCCUUUUGUGAGAUAGGCUUAUGUCCAACAUCUUUAUUUCAAUAAAAUGCAUCUUUGUUUCUCACUUCGAGCAAAUUUUUAUUCUUAGAUUCUUUUAUUCUUUGGAUAUACUUUCGUCCCUAUAAUAGGUCUUCAGAUAUCAAUGAUAUGAGCGACACUGCUAUUGACUCAGAACCUCCUUUUGAGCAAGAUAUGUGUCCAGAUUAAACUUCAAGACUUUGGAGAUAACUGAGACUGUAGCUUAUCUCUUAGUUUGUUAAGGACGGGAGAACAAGAUCCUACCUUACAAAGAAUCAAUGGAAGCCAUGGCCUUUCUCUGGAUGGGGCACGGAUGUCAUUAGGCCAAUCUCGCCUAAGGUUUUUGACGGCUAUCUUUAUAGUCAUCGAUUACUUAACCAAGUGGGCAGAAGUUGCUUCAUAUGUCAAUGUCGCAAAGUUAACAGUUUGUAAAUUCUUGAAAAAUCAUAUGUCAGUAUGGAAUGUCAAAAAGGAACAUAUCUGACAAUAUACUAAAAGUGAACAACGACACAAUAUCAGAAGUUUGCAGUCUGUUCAAGGUUAACACAUUUUGCCCUAGAAUGCACGGUGCAGUGGGAGCAAAAACAAAACAAAAAAGAGGAAAAAUUACUGCAAUGGCAACACAUUGGCUUAGCGCAGUUUUGCUCAUUGAGGUCAAGAUUCCUUCCCUCCGAGUGUUGGAUCAGAUCCCGAUUGAAGAGAAAUGUUCAAAGUUAUCCGUCUGGGUCAAAUACACCAAAAACAAAAGAUGCGAGCUCACCAAAGAAGGUUCACCCUAAAGAGUUCCAUGAAUGGAACCUAACAUCGAAGAAAAUCCUCCCCAUACAAAAAGGACUUUAUAAGAAAGAGGAUCUGAAAAAGUGUUGAUUUCGACCAGAAAGGAUAGCAAGGACUUACCUAAUCCUAUGAGUGCGGAUUCAAUCAAAGAAUGUAAAAAACAAACAAACAAACAAACGAAAAGAGAAAGAAAAGAAAAGAAGAAUGAAAAAAGAAAAAGGAGAGGCCAAGAUGAAAACCCGCAAAGGGCGCCUUGAGACCAAAGGGGUUUUGAAUUGAAAACCCAGGAAUGAGUAGUUCAAAUUUUGAUCAAAGGUGGGGCAUACGGUGGCCUUGUCCUUUCUGAAUUAGCAAGAAGGUGAGACGCUACAUCUCAGGCCAUCAACAAAGUCUUUUAGGGCUUCUAGACACAUAUCAAGUUCAAAAGAGUCCUCAAGAAGCUUAUACAGAAAAGCUCAUGCUGCGAUAUCUGGGGCACCUGUUUCCAUUUUAUUCAUUUUUAUUUUGGCAAAAUAUGCCAUCUUGAUUAAUUUAUUCUCAUUUCGUAUCUUAGCAAAUUUACUAUCUUGAUUAUUUAUUUCAAGCUUUGUUCUUAAUAAAAUUUCAUCUUGUCCAUUGUGAUAAUCCUUUUCAUCUUAUUCAUUUUGAAUCUUAGCAAAAUUCGCUGUUCUGCUUAAUUUAUUUGUUUAGAGCUCUGCUCUCAAUAAAAUUUCAUCUUUCCCACUAUGAUAAUCUUUUUCAUCUUAUCUUAGCAAAAUUUGUUAUCUUGAUUAAUUUAUUCAUUUUGAGCUUUGUUCUUAAUAAAAUUUCAUCUUAUCCAUAUUGAUAAUCUUUUUCAAGCAUUUUACAUUGAAAUAACGAUUAAUUGACUGAAUAUUCAAGCAAAAGGAGUUUUGCAUAUUACUCUGAAAGUUUCUAAAUAAUACAGGAACCUGAAAUAGGACUAUUGUUUAGAGCAUACCAAGUUUAAAGGGUGAAAUGUCUAAGAAGGAAAAGUCUAAAUUAAGACUAUCCUUUCGAACUUUGUUGUCCAAGCAUGAAUUGAACAAAACGAAAAAAUGUCGAGAUGGUGACAAAGUUUCAAUGAACAAACGAGCAAUGAUCACCGAGUGAUAAAAAGAGGUUUUUGGAAGAGAAAAUUCCACAAUCGUGCAUAAACAUUUGGUAUGACACCUUGGGAAUGGUGUAGAAGACCAAAGAGAUUCAGAUACUGUAUCCCUGAAUUACAGUGGGAGAGGAUUGAGAAAAGUCAGAUCUUAUACUCAGUGGGAGGAAGAUGGCUCGAAUUUUAUGCCCCAAAAUUACCAUGGACUUAACCUUGAAGAUUACAACGGAUUGAACUCUGAAGAUUACAGUAGGGGGCAAUCUGGCUAAGUAAGAGAUGAGUGUUACCAGCUGAGCAAGAUAGCAUUCUGAUAUGUUGGUAAUAAAACCUUAUUGAAUAACGAGCAAUAACAACCCUAACAUUAAAAAGGGAUCAUUCUCAUGACAUUCUGCAUUCAUGCAAAUAUAAUUCACAUACACACCUAGUUAGGAGCAUUUGAUUCGUUCUGAUCAUAAUAUCCUAAUCAUUAGGCAUAAAUAGAUUCAUAAAAUGGACUUUACAGGUCAUGUUCCCCAGAGAACAUAUUAAUAAAGUUACCCAUACCCCUAAAGUUGCAAUGGGAUGAAUUGAAGUUGUCAUAUCAAGUCUUAUCUCUCAGAAAUUACAGAGGAGUGGACUAGAGAUAGCAGAUCUUAUCUUCCUGUAUUUGGCAGCGAAGUAGAUCGUAGAUAGCAGAUCUUGUCUUCCUGUAUUUGGCAGCGAAGUAGAUCGUAGAUAGCAGAUCUUGUUUUCCUGUAUUUGGCAGCAGAGUAGAUCAUAGAUAGCAGAUCUUGUCUUCUUAUAUUUGGCAGCGGAAUAGAUCGAAGAUAGCAGAUCUUGCCUUCCUGUAUUUGGCAGCGAAGCGUAGAUAGCAGAUCUUGUCUUUCUGUAUUUGGCAGCGAAGUAGAUCGUAGAUAACAGAUCUUGUCUUCCUGUAUUUGGUAGAGGAGUAGAUCAUAGAUAGCAGAUCUUGUCUUCUUGUAUUUGGCAGCAGAGUAGAUCGAAGAUAGCAGAUAUUGUCUUCCUGUAUUUGGCAGCGAAGUAGAUUGAAGAUAACAGAUCUUGUCUUCCUGUAUUUGGCAAUAGAGUAGAUCGUAGAUAGUAGAUCUUGUCUUCCUGUAUUUGGCAGUGGAGUAGGUUAAAAAUUACUGAUUCUGUCACCUUAAGCAGUAGUGGAGCAGAUUAAAAGGAUGGAUCUUAUCUCUCCGAAGUUGCAGUAGAACAGAUCGCAUCAAACUUUAUUGAAGCUACAAGUCUUAUCUCACUGAGGUUGCAGUAGAAUAGACUGAAGAUAGCAGAUAUUAUCUCUCUGGAGUUGCAGUAGAGCAGACCACCAUGAUUUUAUCUCCCUAAAGUUGCAAUGGAGUGUACCAAAAUAAUAAAUCCUAUACCUCUGAAGUUGCAGUAGGUCGGACUAAAUCUACCAUAACAAAUCCUAUCUCCCUGAAGAUGCAGUGGAGCAAAUUGAAGACCGACUACAAGUCUUAUCUCCCUGAAGUUGUAGUGGAGCAGACUGUCGAUAACGGAUCUUAUCAUAUUAAAACCUUAUCUUCUUGAAGUUACGUGAAGCAGGUUGAAGCAACAAGUCUUAUCUCCCUGACGUUGCAGUAGAGUAGAUUAAAACCACGGAUCUCGUCCCCCUGAAGUUGCAAUAGAAUGGAUUGAAGCUACGAGCUGUAUCUCUCUGAAGUGCAGUGGAGUGGAUUGAAGCAACAAGACACAGUGGAUUGGAAUGAGGCUACCUGAAGAAGAGAAGCACUAGAAGAAGUCAAGACUCGGCGAGACCGGGUAAAUUUGGUCUUUCUUGGUCUUUGCUCUAUUCUCAUUACACGACAACGAGGAAAGAGGGGCAGCUGUACAAGCCCAAAUUUGCCCGGGGCCCAAGAACCCAAUGCACCCAAACCUCAGCUUAAUUACAAAUUUAACUCAGCAGACCCAACCCACCUAAACACCAACCCAACACCCAUGACCCAAACCUCAAUCCAAUAACACCUAGCCCAACAAGAUUAAACCCAAACCCGAGGCCCAAUAUCCAACCAAAAAAAAAUGAAGGCCCAGUAGCCCAACAUGUUUGAGACUUUUUCAGAAAAAAUGAAACCCUAGCCUACUGCCUAACCCUAGCCGCCUCUGCCUCCUCUAACAUCUUCUAGUAUGGCCGCCGCUCGUAGCCUCUGCCACCACCACCUUUGACGCCGAGCCGCCCGUCAAUCACCUACUCCAUCAACGUCAACACCUGCAAACAAGAGAAAAAGCAAUAGCAAAUAAUAGCAAAAAUAUUGUAAAAAAUGGCUAUAAAGCCAUAACCACCACUGUAAAUGGGGUACUCCCUCCCCCCCCGAUUUUUGUAUAAAAAAAUAUUAGCAGGGAAAUAAAGAAAAAAAGAUUGAAGGUGAUUUUUUCUUUUCUUUUCUUUUCGAUUUUGUAGACCCGUUUUUCUGUUCUCUUUUCUUUUUUCGUUUACACGUAUGUAAAUAAAGGUAGUAAAUAAAAGGAAAGAAUGAAGACUUACCCAUUUCGCCUUUCAGUUGCGCCGCCGUCGGGGUCUGCUCAUCGUUGAAAUCGGCCCCGAAAGGUCGAGUUAGGGGGUCCUUCGUCUUGAUUUUUGGGCCAAACGAAUAUAGCCUUCGAUUGGGUCUUAAAACGGGGACUAGAAUGCCCAUUUUGCGCAACGCCGGCCACUGUCCACGGUAGCGCUAUGGCGGCGCUAAGAAGACCCAAAGGCCGAACGUUUGAGAGGGAUGAGGAAAGGUUUUUUUUUGUUUUUUUUUAAAUUAGUGGCUGAAAUGUUUUAUAUUUUCAUAUAGUUUUUAUAUACAUAUAUAUAUAUAUUCUUAUAUGCACAUACUUAUGUUUUUUUUAUACUUUAUAUAUAUAUACACCUAAACAUGCAUACUUUUUUANNNNNNNNNNNNNNNNNNNNNNNNNNNNNNNNNNNNNNNNNNNNNNNNNNNNNNNNNNNNNNNNNNNNNNNNNNNNNNNNNNNNNNNNNNNNNNNNNNNNAAUUUAUAUUGUUAUUAAUUGUUUUAUUUGAUAUUUAUUUAUUUGCUUAUCAUUAUUUUUAUGAAAUGCUUUAGUUCUUUUUACUUACUCAUUAUUUCAUGUAUAAUUUUUUUUAUAUAUGUGUCCUUUUUAUUGUUGCUCGUAUUAUUUUACUUACAUUAUCAUAAUUGUCAUUCCAUUACGUUAAUUUUCACCCAGAUUCAAAAAAAGAAAUUUUAAAAAUAUAAAUAAUACUCGGUAUUUGGGAUCUUCGAGAGAAUCGAGUCCUAACGUAUUGGGUUCCGAUUUUCUUCGUUGAAUCUAAAUAAUUGAGACUACUCUUUUUUUAUAUAUAUAAAAAAACAUAAAUAAAAGCUCAUUAUCGGGAAUUCAAUACGUUGUGUCCUAACGCAUUGGAUAUGAUACAUUGUUUUCUCGAGAUGAGGAUUUUUCUAAAAAAAUAAAAAUAAGGCAAUGUUUUGAGUUUGGGAAAUUCGAGAAAACGUGCCCUAAUGUGCUGGGUUUCGAUUUCUCGUUUAGCCAAAUAUUCUCUUAAAUCUUAAUCUAUGUCAUUUAAGUUUUUUUAGGAUCGUAUUUUAAAUCUCUUUAAAGUUUUCAGUUUUUCGACGCUAAGACAUUAAGUAAUCAACUAGGUACCAAUUUUGGGCGUAUCGAGCGUGCUAAUCCUUCCUCGUGCGUAACCGACUCCCGAACCCGUUUUUCUGAAUUUCGUGGACCAAACUUGUUGUUUUAAUAAAAUCAAAUCAUUUAUUAAAACAACCACUUUUUGAGGUGAUCCGAUCACACCUUAUCAAAAAAGAUUGGUGGCGACUCCCACUUUCGUUUUCAUUUUUCAAAACCCAAGUCGACCCCUUUUUAUCAAAAAAAUGGUGUCAACAACAAUAACAAUAGAAGCACAUCAAAGUCAAAGCACAUAGGCUUUAAGUUCAUUGUUAUUAUAAUAAAAGUUCAGGGUGGUUAGAUGUCUAUAAAGUAUAUUGAGACGAACUCCAUGAUUACGGAUUCGCUUAUUAAGUGACUACCACCCAAAGUUUUUUUCCUGAGCACACUGUUGAUAUGGGUGUAAUGUCAUUUAAGAAUAUUUGAUUUUAGUAGGAGUUUGUACUUUUAAAUGUUUUUAUGUUAUAAACACAUUUUCAAUUAUUUUAGUUUACGAAUAUUAAGUUUAUUUUUUAUAGAAAUAAAGUUUUUUUGGUAAAGUUUGAUCUCACUAAGGUUAAUAAGGACCAGUUAGAAUAUGCAUGUUUGAAUCAUAUUACAUAUAAUUUUCAUGUUACACAUCCAUACUUGAUCUAUGUCAUUUGGUUGUGCUAAUAUAUGUGAUUAGGGAUGUAUUUAAUUAUGAUAUAUGUAACAAAAGUUGCAUUCGUUCUAUGUUAACAUAAUUAAUGGACGAGAUUGUUCGAAAUAUCUUUUGGAUAUGAUAGUAAAAUUUUGAGCUCAUAAGAUUAUAUAAUAACAUGUAAUUAUAAAGUAAUCGGUAUAUAUCAAAAGUCUUUCCCACAUUCAUCAACUAGAAAUCAGAGCUCACCAAAUGUCUAUUCUUUUCAAUCUGAACCGACUCUACAAUCACUUAUUGCUCAUGGUCAUCAGCCUAUAAACCCAGGAGCAUUGUUAACUUCUAAAUCCAAAACACUAAUAUCAGCAUCCAACCCUACAAUGAUAGUCUUAUUGACUCAUUUAAACAAGUUUCCUUUGUCAAUCUAUAUUCCGUAUUUGGUAAUCUCCAGUAUGAAUUCAGAAUUUAGGAUAGCUGGAAUAAGAAUAGCAGCAAAGAUGCAAAGGGAAACGACUUGUAGGAGGAGGAAGAACCUUCUUUUGGGUACAGACCUGUAUAGCAUAUAAUAGGAUGUCCUGUAUAAUGUCACGAGAGCUAGUACCGUUGCCAAGCAGUAAUUAGUAAUGCUGAGUCUAGAAUAGGAAACGGAUCCAGGAGUCGAAAGAGAGAAAAAAUACUGAAGUUCGAGUGUCCGUAUGGAAACAGCAACUAAAAGCAUGUAACAGGUCCCAAACAAGGAAAGUGUUAUGAGAAUAAACAAGCAGAUUGAACGGCUGGGUAGGAGAUAGGCAGUUAAAACAGUUGCUGCCCAAAAGGUUAAAGUGUUGUAUAACCAAAACAUUGUGGACACGUCUAGUAUAUUUUUUAAAUCUUCUUUUUCAGCGGGUGGAGGACUUGGUACGGGUCCAGUGCUGGUUGAACCUAAAGAUGCGUCAUACAUGAGAUGGAAAUUCUGGGAAUUUGAAAUGGUAUCAGGCUGCUUUGGAGGGUUCAAAGUGGCAGUAUAUGUGGCUGUUAUAAUUAGCACUGUGACUACUAAAAAUGUGUUACGCAUCUCAUAUGGGAUUCCCUUCUUUCCACGACUUGCUAUUGUUGCAAAAUUUUGAAGAACUGACACCUUUCCUUUUAAAUAUGCGAUGUGGAAUGAAGAGAUGGAGGUUUUGGGAAGCGAGGAAGAGGAACCACUCAAACCUCCUGCUUUGCUUAUCAUGUCUUUAAUGGACUCCUUAUAGUCCACUUUCUCUUCAUCCAAUGUGUAUUGUGAUGGGAUAUCAAGUGCAGUCAAUCCCUCCGCAUUUUUGGCAUUGAUAUGGUCACCACACAAGCGUUCCAGCAGUACUUUUACCACCUGUUAAUUAGAAUAUUCAUACAAGUAACCUUUGAGUAUAUAUAUACAUAAAAAAUUUCACUAGCAAAAUUAUCAUACCUGAGGUCUAUUUCUGAUAGCAGCAACAUGUAAAACAGUGUUGCCAUCAAUGUCUGCCCAACUCAGUAGUUCUUUCUCCCAACGGCUGGCAGCUUUAUGGCGGCUCCUUAUAAGCCACCCCACCAAGACUUGGAAAGCUUCAAACCUGUCAUUUUUUACGGCAAGAUGGAAAACCGUCUCAUCUCGAACAGUCAUAUCUUCAAUAGCCUCGGGGCAAACCUCAAGGAACUUGAUCAAAAAAUCAACAUUUCCAUUUUGAACCACAUCAUGCAAAGGAGUCAAGCCCUCCCGCCCUUUGACACGAGCAAGGCCUUCAUCAAACCUGAGGAGUCGAAGCACUGUUUGAGUUUUUUGAUUUUGCAGAGCCAAGUGCAUGGGGCUAAACCCAGCUUGGUUUAGCUUUCUUGCAAACGAUGGCUUUAAGUUGAUCAUCUCCAUCAUAAAAUCAAUAUGCCCUGCAGAGGCUGCUACAUGCAAAGGAGUAUGGAAAAAAGGUACAUCAUCGAUACGCUGUAAAGCAUAUGGAUCAUUCAGAAUUAACUCAUACAAGAUGUUUAUGUCUCCUGUUUGUGCAGCCCCCUUCAUCCUCUCAUCCAUAGCAAGGUGCGGAAAUUUGCAGAAUAUAGAAAUGGAGUGAAGAAAAAACGCUUUAGCAGAGGAUAUGAUUAUGUUAAGGAUACAAUGAAGUGUUUGAUUAUUUUUUCCAGAUGAAGUGUUUGACAUUUUAUAGCACUUUAAUUAUUUUGGAUUUAUAUGUGAUGUCAGCCUCUACACGUAUACAGGUGAAUUGUUGCCUAUUAGAAAGAAAUAGUAAUUAAAUUCAUAUUUAAUAUAUAUUUUUAAUCUAAUUUUUUUAAUUCAAUUUAAUUUUAGUUAAAACGUUUAAAAACAUUUAUUUAAUCUAAUUUCUUUAAUAUAUUAAAUAAAAUAGAUUAGAGAAUAUAUUGAAUAUGGAUGAAUACUAUAUCAUACUAAUUUUAUGUCUCUAAAAAUUAAUAAGGUGUUAUUAUUUUAUUGGUGCUUAAAAAUUUAAAAUAUUUAGAAUCAUUCUAAUAUAAGUUAUUCUUUUAAUAAUAAUAUUUGGUACUUCCACGACAAGUUCAAUGGUUGACAAAUAUCUUAUAAAAGUAUUAUAAAAUAUUUAAAAAAUAUAUUAUUUAGUGACUUAAUUUUUUAAGAACAUUUGAUAAUUCAUAAAGAAAAUAAAUAAUAUUUUUUUUCCAAUAAAAAAGGUGGGAAAAAUGAUAAGUAGAUAAGAGCUACCAUCACUUACAACAUGUUUGGACUAAAAAGAAGAAAAAAGGAGGGAAAAUUAAGUAAAAUGAGUAAAGAAAAUUUGGUUUUUUUUGUUUAAGUUAAGUAAAGUUGUUUAUUUUUUAUCGUAUUAUUAGAUUUUAUUUUUUAGAUUAUUAUCUCUUUUUCUUCUUUUGUUGACUCUUUUUCAUUAGUUUGUUAUUUCUCUAUGAAUCAGUAUCCCAACCAACUCAAUUUUGUUCAGGUAACCAUGUCUAUAUGUUUAAAAGCAUUAAUGCACUAAUCGAAAUCUGAACGUAAUAACUGUUCUCACAUUGAGGUAUAGAAGGUUCUUUUGGUGAAAAGAUGAAGCAUUGCAAAAAAAAAUUGAAUAAGAUAUUUUGAAAGAAAGCGGAGAGGAAGACUAAAACAUAUUUAGUAACAUUAAGCAUCGUACAAGUAAAAAAAAAUAAAGUAAAUAAUUUUAAAACACAAAAUUAUAACUUUAAAAAAGAUAAAACUCACAAUAAAAUAUUUUUUUUAUAAUUUUUAUACUGUUUAAUAUAACUUUAAUAGUUUUUAAUUUUUAAAAAUAAUUUUAUAUUUUUUGAAUUUUUUAAAUUAAAAAAUAAAUUAAUUGCUUACAUGACAAUUUAAUGUAUGUCAUGUCAACAAAGUUAACAAACGCUAACUUUUCUAUUCAUUUUGGGGCGAUUUGAUAAACCAACUUAGUUUAGCUUUCUAGCAAACGACGACUUUAAGUUCAUCUCCAUCAUAAACUCAAAAUGCCCUGCAAAGGCUGCUACGUGCAAUGGGGUAUCAAGAAAAGGAACAUGAUCAAUACGCUCUAAAACAUAUUGAUCAUUCUGAGUCAACUCAUAUAAGACGUUAAUAUGUCCUUGUGCAGUCUUUCUCAUCGUCUCAUCCACGGCAAGGUGUGUGUGUGUUGGGGGGAGAGGAUGAAAUAUGCCGGAACAUAAGAGUCCAACCAAUUGAGAAGGUACACAUAUAUUGAAAGGACCGAUGAAAUCUUAGACCGCACAAAACGGAAGCUAAAGGAUUGAUGAAAGAACGCUUUAGCAGAAGGAUAAUAUUGAAGUGUUUGAUUUUUCUUCUUCUUGUUAUAAUGUUUGACGUUUUGUUUGAUACCAAAUCCCACUUGUUAAAAAAUAUACAAUAAUUAUAUAUUUUUUUAAUGAUUUUUUAGAUAUUAAAUAAAUGGUAACACGUCAUAAUAAAACUCUAAAACUAGAUGCAUUUAAUUUUAAUAUAAAUAUUAUAUCAAUGUAUCAAUAUGGUUGACUUAAAUACAAAUAGUUGAUUAAUUAAUAAAAAAUAUUUAUUGAAUUAUUUAAAUAUUAUCUAAACUAAUUUAAUUUUUAAUUUUCAACCCUAUAAAACAUUUCACCAUCAUUUUUAACAAUAAUACCUAAUAUUUUAAAUUAACAAACCACAACCUUUUAAAUAUUAAUUAUCUUGAAAUUCAACUUUUUAGAAGUUAUUUUUUAACCGUCAACAACGUCAAACUGGCACUAAAGUCUUCCACUCACACUUGUAAAUUAAUAAAAGGACUCCGGUAAUCAAGGGACUUGAGAAUUUAAUCCAGUAUGAAUCUCCGUCACUCACGUAUUUGCUGUCAAUAGUGAUGGAUGAAUACGAAUUUUGUCCCAUAUACUGCUUGGAUUUAUAACCCCAAGCAAUGCAAGUGGUAAUAUUGUAGGGAUUUUCAACAUUAUCAUAAAUUUUAGGGAGGAAUUAAGUGAAUUCAGAGACGAAAUUAGAUGCCCAUUGAGUUUUGUUCAAAUCUAGGGAUUUCAUCGUCAUAUAGGGUCGAUUUUGAUAGCUAUUUUUAGCAACAACUUGAUUUAAUUAAUUAAAUUAAUUAUGAUUAGUUAAGUUUAAUUUAAGUAUAAAAGUUAAAAUUAAAUGAAAAGCAAAACAUUUUUCUCUUCAUCUUCUUCUCCACUGUUUCUAGGGUUUUGGAGCUUUCUACUUUAGCCCUCAAUUUGGUAAAUAAUUUCAAGUUUUUUUUAUUAUAAAUUUGAGCUUGAUUUGAUUUAACUAAACCAUAUUCUAUUUUUGCAAAACCGUUAAAAUUUUCAAACAGGAAAUGUUGAUCUUUUGAUCAAGUUACUUAAGGUUUGUCCUGAGGCUAUUGCAGAUGUGACUGUUCGAGAUGAGACAAUAUUCCAUCUUGCUGUGAAAAACGACAUGUUUGAAGCUUCCAAGUCUUGGUGGGGUGCUUAUGAGAAGCUUCCAUGAGCCUGCCCAAUGGAAGAAAUAACUGCUGAGUUGGCCAGACAUCGAUGGCAACACUGUUUUACACAUUGCAACUAUUAGAAACAGACCUUGGGUAUAUGCUCAUUUUUGUCAUUAAGUCAGUUACUGAUGUGCAUAUAUGCAUGAUAAAAGGGUUACUUAUAGGAAUAUUCUAAUUGAUAGGUGGCAAAACUAUUGCUGAAACACAUGCCGUGACCAAAUCAAUGCCAAAAAUUUGGAGGGAUUGACAGCACUAGAUAUCCAAUCUCAGUACCCAUGGAAUGAAAGGCAAGCAGAUAGGAUUAUAGAUGCUAAGAAAAGCAGGAGGUUUGAGUGGUUCCUCUUCCUCACUUCCAAUACCUUCAUCCCUUCAUUCCUAAUCGAAUCUUUAAAAGACAAGAUGCACGGUCUCAAAAAUGGGCAACUUCUGAAUUUCCACAAUACUUACAUUAAGAGUUCUUAUCAGAAUUUCCAGCACCACUACCACCACUACCUUUUGCAGCAACUUCUGAUCCACUACUGGCACCACUCUUCUUCCCUUUCCACUUCUAGUCCUUUCCUUCUUCACCCUGCUACAUCUUAGCCUUCAAUGCUUCCUUCCUGCCUCAUUAGUCUCUUCUACUACUGUGCUUGUAAAGCACUGAUCAACUCGACUACUCUCAGUUGAGUCAAGUCAUUUGUGUUCUCCAAAGAAGUAAUUGUUCCUUCAUACUUCUCAAGCACAGAGAUUAGUAUUUUCUACAUUAGUCUACAAUCAGAGAGAUUAGUCACUACAACAAAAUAGACUUUUAGCGGCAUUUUUAAGCGCCGCUAAAAGUAUUAGCAGCACUUUAACAAGUGCCGCAAAAAACGCCGCUAUAGACAACGCUGCUAAUUUUAGCGGUGUUUAUGUGAAAAAACACUGCUAAAGAUCAUGACCUUUAGCGGCGCUUCUACCACAAACGCCACUAUAAAGAAUGACUUUCAUGAUUUUUAAAAAAAAUAUUUUAAUUAAAUAAUAUUUAUUUCUAUGAUAAAUAUUAUAUUAUGUUUUAUUUUUGAAAUUUAAACUUUAAACUAUAUGCUUUUAAGGAUAAAAAAUAUUAAAUAAAUUAAAAUUUCUAUUAAAAUUUUAACUUUAAAGCUAAAUAUAAAAAUUAAUGAAUUUAAAUUUAGAAUUAAAAUAUUAUGUUUAAAUAAAUGAGCAAUCUACCUCACAGCUCAUCUGAUCUAUAUUAACUCGGCCAAAUAUAAAAGAAGCUACAAAACACGUAAUAAUUAACAAUCAUGGUUAAAGAAGCUAGUACACAAGGUAGCUACAAAACCCUGUUUCAAUAACACCAAAUUCAAGUUCCGACUAAGAUAAAAGACCAUGACGAUGUGCUUGUUUCCUUCUAUAUAUCUUUGGAAGAAUUCCUUCAAGAAAUCAUCCAUGGAAGUCACUCCACCUGCAGUCAAUAUUAAAAGAUAAACAGUGUCAUCAUCUUGAAAUAAGUAUCUUAUUGAGCUCUUUUGAAUCAAAUAACAUAAAUCUUCUAGCAAAAAGAAACAAAUACAUAAUCUAUAAUGCAAGUAGCUUAGGAAUCAUUGAUAAUUCCCAAAUACCAAAUAAUAUAUGAAGAUUAUAUUUUGACGAUUAAAGAAAAUAUGUAGAGAGGGUUCUUCUCAAGACAUCAUUUUGAUUGAAAAGCAAAUCAGUAAAUCUGGAAGAUAGGAUACAAAUCUAAAAAGAUUUCAGCAAUUGCUAAUACUUAAUAUAAAUGAAUAGAAUUCAUAAACAGGCUGAAAAAAAUGCCGCGAAUGCUCAUUUUUAGCGGCGUUUUUUCAAAAAUUGCCGCAAAUGCUCAAUCUUUAGUGGCGAUUUCCAUAAAGCGCUGCUAAUGCUCAAUUUUUAUCGGUGUUUUUUGUCCAAGUGCUGCUAAAAGCCUAUUUUGGUGUAGUGAGUCCCGAAACCCUUACCUUAUUAGCAAUAUCUAUCAACUUGUUUGAGUAUUCUUUGAUUGACUCAAAAUCUUUUAUUUGUAGCCUAUCGAAUUCCCUGGUCAAGUUCAACACCUUCAUGAUCUAGAACCUCUUAUCUCCUUGAUACUCAACCUUGAGGUAGUAUCUCCUUUAUUGAUCCAAAAAUAAUAAUUCUAUUGAAUAUGGCUAGUGAAACAACAACAUAAAGGCAAACCUUUACAUUUGCUUUCCAAGUGGUUCUUUCUUUGUGCAGUUUGAUCUGGUUCAUAGUUGGAUUUUUGGAAAGUGAAACCACCUCAUAGUCUUCCUCGAUAACUUCCCAAUAAUCACAACCAUCCAUGUAUGCUUGCAUUCUCAUAGCCUAUGCUUGAUAGUUCUUUCCAUCAAACACAUGUGGGGUUAAGACAGACAAAUUGCUUGAUCUUGAUUCCAUUUUUCUCAAUUCCUUACAAGUGUAUCUCUCAAUUUUUGUCUUAGGAUUCUCAUAAGGCCUCUCUCACAGGUCCCUCAAGAAAAAGAGGCUCUCGAUACCACUAUUGUUUCAAUGGAGAACUAACUAAAGGCACAAAAAUUGAAAAUGGAGAAAGUUGAUUAAAAUUUAUUAACCAAGCAAUGCUUAUUUACAUGACUCAAGCAAUGCUUAUUAAAUCAAAUUUUUAUUAUUUUUGGGGGCCAAAGUGUAAUUUUACCAUUACUAAUUUAGAAUUUUAUAAAUUAUAAAGGGUCUAACUGAAAAUUUUUCUAUUUCAGGAGGGCCGAGGGCCCUGCCACCCCCCCUUGGCUUCGCCACUGAUAUUAGUUCUCGUGGUAUUAUACUAGAUAGCCAGUUAUAUACUAUAUAGGUUUGUACCCAAAAGAAAAAUAUCUUCCUCCUUAUGGCAUACUAGUUCAUAUGCUUUUAUUUUUAAGAAUUUAAACUAUCCUUAAUCAUAUAGUCCGCUAUAUCAUUCAGUCAUCACUCUCUUCACCGCUCAUUUAUCUUGUUUUUUAUUUGAUUUAAGAUUUCGUACAUCGAAAUUUCCUUUGACCUUUCAAGAAGUUUUAUUUUCUAAAAUUAGUGCGUUUUAAUCACCUAUAAAAUCAAAAUUUUUAUUCAAGUUGCAGUUGAUUUGGACUGGAUGUACAUUAUCUAUGGCUUUGGGAUACUUGGAAGUUUCCUACGACCUUCGAAGAAAUCUGUUUUUUGAGACAAGAGUGAUCGAGUCGUGUAUAAAUUUUGGUCAGGUUCCUGUGUUUUGCAAAUUUCCUUUCCUACAUUCUCUUCUGGUUCUUUUUUCUGUGUUUCGUUGCAAAUUUCCUUAGUUUUCAAUUUUCAAUUAUCUGAAGAUUAACUGCUCAAUUUAUUACCCCCAAAAGAAAAGUUAUGGAUGAGAGGAUGAUAGAGGCUGCCCAAACAGGAGAUUUUAACCUCUUGUAUGAGUUGAUUCUGAAUGAUCCAUAUGUUUUAGAGCGUAUUGAUGAUGUGCCUUUUUUCCAUACACCAUUGCAUGUAGCUGCCUCUGUUGGGCAUAUUGAGUUUAUGAUGGAGAUGAUCAAAUUAAAGCCAACGUUUGCAAGAAAGCUAAACCAAGCUGGGUUUAGCCCCAUGCACUUGGCUCUGCAAAAUCACAGAACUCAUGCAGUGCUUCGACUCCUCAGGUUUGAUGAAGGACUUGUUCGUGUUAAAGGGAGGGAGGACCUCACUCCUCUGCAUCAUGUGGUUCAAAAUGAAAACUUGAAUCUUUUGAAAAAGUUUCUUGAGGUUUGUCCUGAGGCUAUUGAAGAUAUGACUGUUCGAGAUGAGACGGUUUUCCAUCUUGCUGUGAAAAACGACAUGUUCGAAGCUUUCCAAGUCUUGGUGGGGUGGCUUAUGAGAAGCUGGUAUGAGUCUCCCCGAUGGGAGAAAGAAUUACUUAGUUGGCCAGACAUUGAUGGCAACACUGUUUUACACAUUGCAGCUAUCAGAAACAGACCUCGGGUAUAUGCUAAUUUUUGUCAUUAAGUCAGUUAUUGAUGAGUAUAUAUGUAUGAUAAAAGGGUUACUUAUAUGAAUAUUUUAUUAACAGGUGGUAAACGUAUUGCUGGAACACAUGAGGCGAGACCAAAUCAAUGCCAAAAAUUUGGAGGGAUUGACAGCACUAGAUAUCCAAUCACAGUACCCAUGGAAUGAAAGGCAAGCGGAUAAGAUUAUAGAUAUGCUAAGCAAAGCUGGAGGUUUGAGUGGUUCCUCUUCCUCGCUUCCCAAUACCUCCAUCUCUUCAUUCCACAUCGAAUCUUUAAAAGACAAGAUGUCACGGUCUCAAAAAUGGGCAACAAGAGCAGGUCGAGGAAAGAAGGGUAUGGGACAUGAGAUGCGCAACACAUUUCUAGUAGUGACAGUGCUAAUUAUAACAACCACAUACGAAGCCUCUUUAAACCCUCCAAAGAAGCCUAAUGACAGUCCAUCCAUGAAAUACCAAGUCUCUUCAAGUCAAGAUGAGCCUCUCAAUUCCCACACAUUUUUGCAUAAAACCGACUUCAAUACUGCUCCCAUACCCAGUCCCUCCGCAAUUGACGUUUUGGAUCUAGAUGAUUGGACAUUUAAAUACUCCUCAUUUUUGUUUUGCAACACGUUCACCUUUUGGGUAGCAGUGUUCUUAACAGCACUUCUCCUACCACCUCAUUCAUUCUCUUCCUUGAUUCUCCUAACACUUUCCUUCUUUGGGAGAUCUUACAUGAAUUUAUUUGAUGUUUCCGCAUGGUCAUGGGGAGAUUCAUAUGAGUUUUCCAAUGAAAACGCACACUUAUUAUAUGUUGUAGCCUCCUUUUGUAAUGUUUUCUUCUCAACGUUGCUAGUUUUCCUUGUAUCAUACCAGACAAUAUUUUAUUUUUGCAGUAGGGUAAACAUUACCAAACCAAAAUUCUUCUUCCUCCUACUAGUAGUUGUCAUUGGCUGCAUGGUUUUUAUGUUUGGUUAGCUUAGUGAUGUGAUGGCCAUCGAUAAAUAAAAUCAAGUUUGGUGAAUGUACCCUUUCAUUCCAUUGAUAAAAGAAGUUUAUCUUUAAGUUUUAAAGUUGUUAUAUAUCAUCUAUCUUGCUCCAUAUAUAAAUAUGGAGUGCAAAUCUGUUAAAUACUUAAAUGUGAUAGACUAAAACAUCAUUCUAAUAUAUUAAAUUUAAAAUAUUUUGAUAUUAUUAAAAGCAAUGAUUAAAUUAUUUUAACAUAUAAUAUCUUUUUUUAAGAGUAUUGAUUUUAUUUUUAGCUUUAAAAAAACACAAGUAAAAACAAAAUUUAAUUAACAAAAUUUUUUAUACAAUGCCACAAAUUUAUGUUUUUUUUACACUAAUAGUAAUAUCGAUACUAACUAAAUUAAAAUUCAAUCGAUAAAUAAUUUAAAUUAUUAAUAAAUUAAAAUCUAUAUUAUAUAUUAUACUUUAAAAUAUUUAUGAUAUAAAAAUAUAUUAAUAUAAUACCGACAUAUUGAUUAUUGAUUGUCGUGUUUAAUUAAGACUAGUAUAGCGUCUUAAGGUCAGAUGGGACUAUUGAAGAAACUUUUACCCCUAAGUGCCAAUUCGUUUGGAAUAAGAAAAAACAAUAAAAAGUGCUACUACUUUUUCUUUUCUUCUUUCUGUUUAAGACUUCUAUGGCUUGGGACCAUACGAGAAUUGUAUGUUCUACUUUUAAUUCUAGGACGACGUGAGUACAAAUUAAAUAUUUUUGUAUUGGUAACAAUAUUGAUUGUAAUCAAUUAAAAUAUUAAAUUUUACACUAAAGAACUUAAUAGAAAGAAUGUUGAUGAUGCUAACAACUAAACUUGAAUUUUUAAAUUCGAAAAUUAGAAAGAUUAAAUCUUAAAAGUAAAAGUAGAUGGACUAAUUAAAUUUCUAAUGUAUAAAGUGAUAAGGACUUAAAGUAUAUUUUAACACUUAAAUUUUUAUUUUAUAAUUUCAGACAAUCAAAUAAUCAAUCCAAUAUAAAACGUGGUCAAAAAAAUUCUAUUUUCAUUUCAAGCCUUCAAACAAACAAGCAAAAACAAAAUAAAAUCAAAAGAAGAGAUCAAGUUGUCACUAGAUAACAAUUCUAGGUAGGAUUGGACCGAUGAGGUUCCGGUCCACAAUGAGCAAAACGGUGAGAGUGAUCCGAUUAAGUGAAGAAAUUUGAGAAGGGGGGGAGGGGGAACUUUCAUCGUUGUAAAGUGAAAAAGCUAAGGGAGUGAUUACAAUUUGAUUAUUAUUUCAUAUGCAAAUUCAAUUUUAAUUUAAAAUAACUUGAAGGCUAAAUUCAAUAAAAAAAUACUUUUAUAUUUCACUUUAAUAUUUAACAAUAAUAAGUUAAUUAAUAUAAUAUUAAAUUUAAAUAAAAUGGUUAUUUUAUAAAAUAAUUGUUUUUUCAUUUAUGAUAUAUGGACUUUUAUUUCUCAAGUUUUUAUAAAAUAAGGCUGUUAGGGUUGUUGCGUAUGUAUGCAUGUGUGUAUGCCUUGCAUGGGUGACAUUAGCAAACAAUAUCCCUCAGUUAGUAUAUAAGCUGAGCGAUAGUUGCUGAAAUGUGUGAGUUCCGGAAUAAUAAAAGUUCAAGUUUAUGCUUCUAUUUACUUUCUUGGCAAGUUUUCUCAGCUGCCAAACAGCUACAUAUGAUCGUUUGAUGUUCUUAACUAUCGACUUGUUGGAGUUUAGAGAAGUUGAGAGAGCAAAUAAAGAGAAAAAAAAGGAAAAUAUUUGCUUUCAAAAUUUUUCAUUAUUAUUAUUUUUACACAUGUAAUACAAUAUAUGGGUGUAGUGGUUACAGAUAAUUCAACAAAUCCUACUAAUACACCUUGAAAAUAUCAAUUUAUACAGAAACUGAUUAGGUAAAAUCAAUACCUAAAAAUAUCAAUUCAAUACUAACUCUGCUUGCUUUAACAAGUAAUCUCAGCAAAUAAAUUAAUUACAAAACAUUUAUAUCAGCAAAGGUGAACCCUACCAGCAUUACAACUAGUGGUUCACCAAAAACUUUACUAGCUCAUACUUUGAUGAGCUCCCAGCUUCAAUUGAACUCGCACUUUUUGUUCAACUCACAGCUUCACCGGAAGAAUUCGCCACUGCAUGCCACUUCACAACACGAUUGCAAGAAAGCUAAACCAAGCUGGGCUUAGCCCUCUGCUCUUGGCUCCUCAAAAUGACAAAACUCAAGCGGUGCUUCGACUCCUCAAGUUGACAAAGGCCUUUGUUCGUGUGAAAGGGAGGACGGCCUCACUCCUCUGCACCAAGUUGUUCAAACUGGAAAGGUUGAUCUUUUGUUCAAGUUUCUUGAGGUUUGUCCUGAGGCUAUUGAAGAUCUGACUGUUCCAGAUGAAACGGUUUUCCAUCUUGCCGUAAAAACCAGCAUGUUUUAAGCUUUUGAGCUCUUGGUGGGUGGCUUAUAAGAAGCCGCCAUGGAGCUGCCAAAUGUUGGGAGAAAGAACUACUUAGUUGGCCAGACAUUGAUGACAGUACUGUUCUGCACGUUGCAGUUUUAAACUCACCUCAGGUAUGCUAAUUUUGUUAGUUAAUUCAAUUAUUAAAUAUACAUAUAAUAGGGUUACAUAUUUGAUUUUUUUUUAACUAACAGGUGAUAAAAGUAUUGUUGGAACAUUUGUGUCGACAUCUGUUGGAACAAAGAGACAAUAACAGGCUGUUUUGUAUCUUGCUUGAAUAGCAAGCCUCGAGCCUUGGUGAAGAAACAAACUCAGAAGCAGAAACAGAAAAUGAAACUAGCAAGUGAAUAACAGAAAAGAGAGAAGAAGAAUGAAUGAAAAAUGAGCUGAUAUUUUUCAUUAACACACAACAAGGCAUUAAGCCAUUACAUAUUUCAGUCAACAAGUAAAACAAACAAGUAAUCACCUAAUCAACUACCUAACUCCACUAAUUUGCAUUGAAACUUACAAGAUUAGCUUGUACAACUUGCAUUGCUGACUUUUCAGUCAAUCAAUAUCAAAACAUUUACCUACUUAGUUCAACAUGAACUAGAUUACAAAACAAUCAAAAUGGAACUAAAAACAGCAAGUGGAUUGGCAGCUUCAAACUUCAGUUGCUGCACACAAUGGCAUCACUGCUUGCUGCUAUUUCUUCGAGCAUGACCACCUUUGCAUGUCGUGCAUGGCCACCUUUGCAUGGGAACUAAACUUAACAACAUCAUAUCAAUGCCAAAAAUUUGGAUGGAUUCACUGCCCUAGAUAUCGAACCAGAGUUACCAGAAUGGCCAUUGGAUGAAGGGCAAGUGGAUAAUCGGGACUCCAUUAAAGAUAUGCUAAGCAAAGCAGGAGUUUGAGUGGUUCUUCGCUACCUAUGAGGCUCCGGUCUACAAUGGGAAAAACGGUGAGAGUGGUCCAAUUGUGUCGUCCUUAUUUGGGACCUGUUGCCCGCUUUUAGCUGCUGUUAACAUAUGGGCACUCAUCCUAUCAUGAUGGCCACAGCAUUGUUAAUUACUGCUGUUAACAAUGUUAACAAAAAAUUGUUAACUGUUUAUCCUGAAUUUUAAAAUAUGAAAAUAAAAAAGAUUAAAUUAUUAAAAAUAAAAUAUAUGAAAAAAAAUUUAAAAUUUUGAAAAGUACAUCGUCAAUCAUAUGGUCUGCUAAACCAUUCUUUCAUCACUCCUUCCACCACUCAUUUAGGUUGUUUUCUGUUUGAUCUAAGAUUUCCUACUUGGAAAUUUCCUUUGAUCUUUCAAGAUGUUUUAUUUUCUCAAAUUAGUGCGUUUUACUCACCUCUCAAAUCAAAACUUUUAUUCAACCUGAGUUGCAUUUGAUUUGGACUGGGUGUCUAUUUUCUAUGGNNNNNNNNNNNNNNNNNNNNNNNNNNNNNNNNNNNNNNNNNNNNNNNNNNNNNNNNNNNNNNNNNNNNNNNNNNNNNNNNNNNNNNNNNNNNNNNNNNNNNNNNNNNNNNNNNNNNNNNNNNNNNNNNNNNNNNNNNNNNNNNNNNNNNNNNNNNNNNNNNNNNNNNNNNNNNNNNNNNNNNNNNNNNNNNNNNNNNNNNNNNNNNNNNNNNNNNNNNNNNNNNNNNNNNNNNNNNNNNNNNNNNNNNNNNNNNNNNNNNNNNNNNNNNNNNNNNNNNNNNNNNNNNNNNNNNNNNNNNNNNNNNNNNNNNNNNNNNNNNNNNNNNNNNNNNNNNNNNNNNNNNNNNNNNNNNNNNNNNNNNNNNNNNNNNNNNNNNNNNNNNNNNNNNNNNNNNNNNNNNNNNNNNNNNNNNNNNNNNNNNNNNNNNNNNNNNNNNNNNNNNNNNNNNNNNNNNNNNNNNNNNNNNNNNNNNNNNNNNNNNNNNNNNNNNNNNNNNNNNNNNNNNNNNNNNNNNNNNNNNNNNNNNNNNNNNNNNNNNNNNNNNNNNNNNNNNNNNNNNNNNNNNNNNNNNNNNNNNNNNNNNNNNNNNNNNNNNNNNNNNNNNNNNNNNNNNNNNNNNNNNNNNNNNNNNNNNNNNNNNNNNNNNNNNNNNNNNNNNNNNNNNNNNNNNNNNNNNNNNNNNNNNNNNNNNNNNNNNNNNNNNNNNNNNNNNNNNNNNNNNNNNNNNNNNNNNNNNNNNNNNNNNNNNNNNNNNNNNNNNNNNNNNNNNNNNNNNNNNNNNNNNNNNNNNNNNNNNNNNNNNNNNNNNNNNNCAGAACCCUGUAGCCCUUCUUGACUGAGCUGUAGCCUACUAGAACACCUGGUUGAGCCCUUUUAGAGAGCUUGUCUCUCUUUGCUGCUGGUAUUUGUGCAUAACACAGGCAACCAAACACCUUCAGAUGUGCCAAAGAAGGCUUGAAACUGAACCAAGCCUCGAAAGGUGUCUCGGAUGCAAGAGCUUUGGUAGGAAGCCUGUUCUGAAGGUAAACAGCAGUGUUUACUGCCUCAGCCCACAUGGUUUUGGGCAGUUUCUUUUCAAACAGGAAACAUCUGGCCAUAUCCAUCAGGCUGCUGUUCUUUCUUUCAGCUACCCCAUUCUGCUGAGGUGUGUAGACAUUUGUAAGCUGAUGUUUGAUACCAGCAUCAUUGCAAAUGGCUUGAAACUGAGCUGAAGUGUACUCAGUGCCAUUGUCUGUCCUUAUCGAUUUCAGCUUGCAACCUGUUUCUUUCUCUACAGCAGUUUUAAACUUCACAAACACUUGAGCUACCUCAGACUUGUGUUUUAAGAAGAAAAUCCAGCAAAACCUUGUAAGAUCAUCAAUGAAGAGGAUGAAAUACCUGUUUUUGCUGAGUGAUUCAGUCCUCAUCGGGCCACAUACAUCAGAGUGCACCAGCUGCAGUCUUUCAGUAGCUCUCCAAGCUGAAUUUGUAGGAAAUGGCAGUCUUGCCUGUUUCCCCAUUUGGCAAACUUCACAUACAUCCUCAUGCUCCACUGAGCUGGUGAAGUUCUCUGCCAAACCCUCUUUGGCCAUUCGAGCCAUUGAUCUGAAGUUGGCAUGUCCAAGCCUUUGAUGCCNNNNNNNNNNNNNNNNNNNNNNNNNNNNNNNNNNNNNNNNNNNNNNNNNNNNNNNNNNNNNNNNNNNNNNNNNNNNNNNNNNNNNNNNNNNNNNNNNNNNGUCAUUGUGACUGUCAUAAGGCUUGAUCCACUUGGAUCAGUAAUGUGGCAUUGUUUGUCCUUGAACACAACAGAAUAACCUUUCUCGAGCAGUUGAGCUAUGCUGAGAAGGUUUCUGUCAAUUUCUGGCACCAACAGCACAUUUGGAAUGAUCUUGUUGCCUGUGGGAGUACAUAUCAGCACUUCUCCUCUUCCUCCAGUCCUUAUAAACUGACCAUUUCCAACCUUGACCUUGGUUUUAUAACUUCUGUCCAAGGUUUUAAACAAGGAGGCAUCUGGUGACAUGUGGUUAGUGCAACCACUGUCCAGCAACCAGCCUUUUGAGCAUUUCUUCUGAACAGCUAAGCAGGAAACAGCAAAGACCUGUUCUUCUUGGUCACUACUGUCCUCAGCUACUCGAGCUUCAACCUUUGACUGCUGAAAUUGAUUCUGCCUUGGCUUACUCCUGUUUUUACAGACCCUUUCAACAUGGCCCUUCUUCUUGCAGUGUUGGCAUACUGCAUCUGGCCUAAACCAGCAUCUGUCUUCUGGAUGACCUGGCCUCUUGCAAUGUCUGCAGGGCUGGUCAUUACUCCUUGCAAUAUCAGUCUUAGGCCUGUUUUUCCAAGGCCUUUUGCCUCUUGGAGCUUUGAAGCUCGAGGCUUCUCUGGCCUUGGCAUUGAAUGCACCUUCCUGGUGAUCUUCAGCUCUGCUAGCUCUCCUUUGUUCCUGAGCAUAGAAAGUGUUGAUUAGCUCAGUCAAAGAGAUGGUAGCAAGGUCUCUUGAGUCCUCUAAGGAGGAUAUCUUGGCCUCAUAUCUCUCAGGCAAAGUGGAGAGGACCUUUUCCACAAUUCUUGCCUCAUCAAAGUGCUCACCAAGGAGCCUUAUACUGUUAACCACUGCUAUGAUUCUGUCUGCAUACUGCUUCACUGUUUCUUCUUCCUUCAUCUUUAGAUUCUCGAAAUCCCUUCUCAAAUUUAAUAGCUGCUGUUGCCUUGUUCUCUCAGUGCCUUGAAACUCCUCCUUAAGCUUAUCCCAGGCCUGUUUUGGAGUCUCACAGGCCAUAAUUCUGGUGAAGAUGACAUCUGAUACACNNNNNNNNNNNNNNNNNNNNNNNNNNNNNNNNNNNNNNNNNNNNNNNNNNNNNNNNNNNNNNNNNNNNNNNNNNNNNNNNNNNNNNNNNNNNNNNNNNNNNNNNNNNNNNNNNNNNNNNNNNNNNNNNNNNNNNNNNNNNNNNNNNNNNNNNNNNNNNNNNNNNNNNNNNNNNNNNNNNNNNNNNNNNNNNNNNNNNNNNNNNNNNNGUGAAAAACUUGAGGAAGACAUUCAGCUUUCUUAGUUUAAUACAACAGGUCCACUAAGAAUGAAGCUCUAGAUACCAAUUGUUGGAACAAAGAGACAAUAACAGGCUGUUUUGUAUCUUGCUUGAAUAGCAAGCCUCGAGCCUUGGUGAAGAAACAAACUCAGAAGCAAAAACAGAAAAUGAAACUAGCAAGUGAAUAACAGAAAAGAGAGAAGAAGAAUGAAUGAAAAAUGAGCUGAUAUUUUUCAUUAACACACAACAAGACAUUAAGCCAUUACAUAUUUCAGUCAACAAGUAAAACAAACAAGUAAUCACCUAAUCAACUACCUAACUCCACUAAUUUGCAUUGAAACUUACAAGAUUAGCUUGUACAACUUGCAUUGCUGACUUUUNNNNNNNNNNNNNNNNNNNNNNNNNNNNNNNNNNNNNNNNNNNNNNNNNNNNNNNNNNNNNNNNNNNNNNNNNNNNNNNNNNNNNNNNNNNNNNNNNNNNNNNNNNNNNNNNNNNNNNNNNNNNNNNNNNNNNNNNNNNNNNNNNNNNNNNNNNNNNNNNNNNNNNNNNNNNNNNNNNNNNNNNNNNNNNNNAUGGGAACUAAACUUAACAACAUCAUAUCAAUGCCAAAAAUUUGGAUGGAUUCACUGCCCUAGAUAUCGAACCAGAGUUACCAGAAUGGCCAUUGGAUGAAGGGCAAGUGGAUAAUCGGGACUCCAUUAAAGAUAUGCUAAGCAAAGCAGGAGUUUGAGUGGUUCUUCGCUACCUAUGAGGCUCCGGUCUACAAUGGGAAAAACGGUGAGAGUGGUCCAAUUGUGUCGUCCUUAUUUGGGACCUGUUGCCCGCUUUUAGCUGCUGUUAACAUAUGGGCACUCAUCCUAUCAUGAUGGCCACAGCAUUGUUAAUUACUGCUGUUAACAAUGUUAACAAAAAAUUGUUAACUGUUUAUCCUGAAUUUUAAAAUAUGAAAAUAAAAAAGAUUAAAUUAUUAAAAAUAAAAUAUAUGAAAAAAAAUUUAAAAUUUUGAAAAGUACAUCGUCAAUCAUAUGGUCUGCUAAACCAUUCUUUCAUCACUCCUUCCACCACUCAUUUAGGUUGUUUUCUGUUUGAUCUAAGAUUUCCUACUUGGAAAUUUCCUUUGAUCUUUCAAGAUGUUUUAUUUUCUCAAAUUAGUGCGUUUUACUCACCUCUCAAAUCAAAACUUUUAUUCAACCUGAGUUGCAUUUGAUUUGGACUGGGUGUCUAUUUUCUAUGGCUUUGGGGUACUUGGAAAUUUCCUUCGACCUUGGAAGAUAAUUGUUUUUUGAGACAAGAGUGUUCGAGUCAUGUAUAAAUUUUGGUCAGAUUCCUGUGUUUUUGCAAAAUAUAAGUUCUAUUUCCUUUCUAUCUUGUCUUCUGGUUCUUUCUUCUUUGUGUUUUGUUGCAAAUUUCAUCAGCUUUCACUAAUCUGAAAAUUUACUGCCUAAUUUAUUACCCCCACAAAAAAAGCUAUGGAUGAGAGGAUGAUAGAAGCUGCCCACAUGGGAGAUAUUAACUUCUUGUAUGAGUUGAUUCUGAAUGAUCCAUAUGUUUUACAGCGUAUUGAUGAUGUGCCUUUUUUUAAUACUCAAUUGCAAGUAGCAACCUCUGUUGGGCAUAUUGAAUUUAUGAUGGAGAUGAUCAAAUUAAAGCCAACGUUUGCAAGAAAGCUAAACCAAGCAGGGUUUAGCCCCAUGCACUUGGCUCUGCAAAAUCACAGAACUCAUGCAGUGCUUCGACUCCUCAGGUUUGAUGAAGGCCUUGUUCGUGUCUAAGGGAGGGAGGACCUCACUCCUCUGCAUCAUGUGGUUCAAACUGAAAACUUUAAUCUUUUGAAAAAAAUUCUUGAGGUUUGUCCUGAGGCUAUUGAAGAUAUGACUGUUCGAGAUGAGAUGGUUUUCCAUCUUGCUGUAGAAAACGACACGUUUGAAGCUUUCCAAGUCUUGGUGGGGUGGCUUAUGAGAAGCUGCCAUGAGUCUGCCCAAUGGGAGAAAGAACUACUGAGUUUGGCAGACAUUGAUGACAACACUGUUUUACACAUUGCAGCUAUUAGAAACAGAGCUGGGGUAUAUGCUAAUUUUUGUCAUUAAGUCAGUUAUUGAUGUGCAUAUAUGGAUGAUAAAAGGGUUACUUAGAGGAAUAUUCUAAUUAACAGGUGGUAAAAGUAUUGCUGGAACACAUGCGGCGAGACCAAAUCAAUGCCAAAAAUUUGGAGGGAUUGACAGCACUAGAUAUCCAAUCACAAUACCUGUGGAAUGAAAGGCAAGCGGAUAGGAUUAUAGAUAUGCUAAGCAAAGCAGGUGGUUUGAGUGCUUCCUCUUCCUCGUUUCCCAAUACCUCCAUCUCUUCAUUCCACAUCGAAUCAUUAAAGAAAAAGAUGUCACGGUCUCAAAAAUGGGCAACAAGAGCAGGUCCAGAAAAGAAGGGUAUGCCACAUGAGAUCCGUAACACAUUUCUAGUAGUUAUGACACAUGCCCAUGUGAAGGAGGCACACGCCUAUGUGAAAAGAGGCACACACACGACCGUGUGCCCUAGAGACAUGACUGUGCGAAUAACCCAUGUUACUCUUUGUCCGAAAUUGUUAAAAUAAGGUGCAAAGAAGACACAGCCGUGUGAAAGUCUCACAUGCUCGUGUGCCACGGAACACUACUGUGUGCCCAGAACACACGCCCAUGUGAUUAUCAACUAAAAUCUCCAAAUCGAAACCACAAGAUCGUAUGACACCAAAAAUCAUCGAAAAACCCUAAUUCCUAAAUUCGCACAGCCGUAUGAACUGCCCGUGUGUGGCACAAGCCCAUGUGGUUACGAAACCACACCGAAACAAGCUACAGAACAUGCAUUUGCUACCGAAACAACCCUCAAUCCUCGUUAACAUAGUAAUACACCAAAAACAAAUAGUAUUUCAAGCAAUUCCACAACAAUCGACACUUCGAUUGGUAAAUUUCAGAAACACACAAAAUAUGUCGAAUUUCACGGAGCCAAAUCAAAAUUUUAAAAAUGAAAAUGAUGAGUUUUCAAACCCACACCUAAAUUUGUGAUCAAAGCACGAGGAGAACAACAAAGAAGAAAGCCAGAACGUAGGAGAAGGAAAUAAUAAAAUCUCCCCAACAAAAACAAAAAAAAAUUUGGAACAAAAAAAAAUGGAAACAAAUCUAACGUGAGGAAGAGGGAGGGAGAGGAGGAACGUGAAAAGAUUUUUUAGGAUAACUCCCUGUUUUAGACACAAAAUAAUAAUAAUAAUAAAAUAAAAAGAAUUAAAUUAAAUAAAAAUAACAAAUAAGUAUUGAAACUUUAAACAAGCUAAAAUAAAAUUGAUUCCUCUAAAACACUCAUGAGGGCUCAAACUUGAAAUCCGAAGGUAAACUAACACACUCGCCACUACCAACCAGCAGACUCAUUCUAACAUUAAAACGCAAAAACAAGCACAAUUACUCAGCCUACUCACUAACCCUUACUUAAAACCUCAAAUCUUCUAACCCCAAAAUUUAGGAUGUUACAUGUAAUGUCCAUAUUUUUCUAAUACAAUUUUAUACAUGAAUUUUGGUUUUGUGCAGUUUUGCACAUGAUUUUUUUAUUUAAUUUAUUUUUCACAAACUACUAACAAAAUUAUUGAUAUAUAUCACCAUUUUAAGUUUACAUAUUAUAUACAUAAAUAAGUAUAUUUAUAAGAUAUCAAAAUAAAUCGAUGUCUUUAAACGUAACACCAAAACAAAGUUUGAUAUAUAACUCAACAUAUAAAAAGAAGUUAUUAAACAAUACAUAUAAUGUUUAGAACUAUAGUUCUAAUAUUAUUGGUAAAUUUAUAAUUUUCGGUUCACGUAAAUCGUAAUUAUAAAAAAUAAAAUUAUGACUUAUCUUGGAUUAAACUUACAUUAUAUUAUUUAAAUAAAUAAUUUACUAGUUUUUAAUGUCAGGUAGAUGUAUGUAAUUUUAUGCUUUUAAUAUUUAAUUAAUUUUAAAUAUUAUAUUUUUAAUUGAAAUAAUUAAUGUAAAAUAAUAUUUUUUAUUUGAAUUAUUGAAUGUAAUUAAAAUAUAUUAACUUAUCACUUCAAAUAUUAUAAUAGAAAUUUUUUAAAUCAAAAUUGCAUUUUUAACAUAAUCGACCUACAAUGUAAUUUUACUUUUAUGUAACUAAUACAAGUAACAUUAUUCAAAACAAUAACUAAUCAAUAUAAUUAAAUCUAGUAAUAAUUAAUUUUUAAUUAAGAUACUUAAAAUUUUAGUAAUAAUUCAAUUUUACAUUGAUAAAUAUAUUAAUAUAAUUUUUUAUUUGUAAAUAUAAAUAUAAUAAUAUGAUAGAAAAUAAAAAGUAUUUUAAUAUGGAUAAAUAAAUUUUAAAAUUUAAAAUUCAACAUAUAUAUUUACAUAUUUCGCUAAUUCACCAACGUAUAUGCCUUGAUUUGAUAUAGUUAAUAUUCGGAUAAUGUUGUGAAUCACAUAUAUAUAUAUUUUGAAGUUUUAUCAUAUUUUCAUGGGUAAAAUACUUUAGAAGUUGUUGUACUCUUUGAAAAUUUAGAAUUUAGUUUUUAUGCUUUUAUUUUUAAGAAUUUAGUUCAUUUAUUUUUCAGAUUUUAAAAUUCAAAUCCAAUUGUUAAUAUUGUUAAUAUUUUUAAUUUCUUUAUGUUAAAUUCAAGUUCAUUACAACAUAUUUUUAGUUACAUGGUUUCCAAGUGUUUUUUUUUUAAAUGUCACACCAACAAAUUUAACAAAAAAAAUUUGAGUGUUAACAAUUGGACCUGAGUUUUGAAAUUGAAAGGUAGAGGGACUAAGUUUUUGGAAAUAAAAGUAUAUGGAUUAAAUUUCAAAAUUUUGAAGAGUACAGAUACUUAUAACAUCUUUUAACCUAUUUUAAAAAUGUUUUGAAUCAUUACUUAACUUAUUUAGCUCUUCCAAUAAUUAUUUUAGAAUCUUUUUAAAUUUUAUCUUUCCUUAUAUAAUCUUUAUAAUUUUUUAAAAAUAAAUAUUUUGAAUUUAUUUUUUGUAAUUUUUGUUGAGAGAGAGACUAACCUACUCAUUUUCAAAAUUGUCAAGGACCAAACGAAUAUUUACAUCAAUCUAAUAUUUGAAUUAUUUGAAUCGAAACUCAAAUUACUAAUUCGAGUUGAGUUGAAAAAUCGAAUAACUCAGUUUCAUUAAAUAGAAAUUUAAUUUUUCUUUCUUUAUUCGAAUUAAAUUGAGUUUAAGUCGCCCUUAGUUUUACUCUAUAAAUAGGAUAUUUUUAAUAAUUUUUACCGUUCCUUCAACUUGCUUUUUGUUUGGUCCAAGGUUUUAUAGUUGGAAAUUCCCUUGGACCUUUAAAUAUGUUUAUUUUCUCAAAUUAGUGCGUUUAUGUCAUAAAUAAAAUCAACCUUUUUAUUUAAUGUGUAUUUCAUGUGGACUGGAUACCUGUUUUCUGUGGCUUUAGUUCUUGGAAAUUUCCUUGGACCUUGGAACAAAUUUGUUUCCUCAAACUAAAGUGUUCAAAUCAUGUAUAAAUUGUGGUCAGAUGCCUGUGCUUUUGCAGAAUACAGGUUCUAUUCCCUUUUCUGUAUUGUCUUCUGGUUCUUUCUUCUUUAUGUUUUGUUGCGAAUUUCAUCAGCUUUCAGUAAUCUGAAAAUUUACUGCCUAAUUUAUUACCCCAAAAAAAGCUAUGGAUGAGAGGAUGAUAGAGGCUGCCCAAACAGGAGAUAUAAUUAACCUCUUGUAUGAGUUGAUUCUGAAUGAUCCAUACGUUUUAGAGCGUAUUGAUGCUGUACCUUUUUCUCAUACUCCAUUGCAUAUAGCAGCCUCUGCUGGGCAUAUUGAGUUUAUGAUGGAGAUGAUCAAAUUAAAGCCAACGUUUGCAAGAAAGCUAAACCAAGCUGGGUUUAGCCCCAUGCACUUGGCUCUGCAAAAUGACAGAACUAAAGCAGUGCUUCGACUCCUCAGGUUUGAUGAAGGCCUUGUUCGUGUCAAAGGGAGGGAGGACCUCACUCCUCUGCACCAUGUGGUUCAAACUGGAAAUGUUGAUCUUUUGGUCAAGUUACUUAAGGUUUGUCCUGAGGCUAUUGCAGAUGUGACUGUUCGAGAUGAGACGGUAUUCCAUCUUGCUGUGAAAAACGACAUGUUUGAAGCUUUCCAAGUCUUGGUAGGGUGGCUUAUAAGAAGCCGCCAUGAGUCUGCCGAACGUUGGGAGAAAGAACUACUGAGUUGGGUAGACAUUGAUGGCAACACUGUGCUACACAUUGCAGCUAUCAGAAACAGACCUCAGGUUUGCUAAUUUUCCUAAUCAAGUCAAUUAUUGAUAUGUAUGUAUAUGAUAAAAGGGUAAUUUACAUUAAUUAAUUUCCAAUUAACAGGUGGUGGAAGUAUUGCUGGGACACUUGCGUCGAGACCAAAUCAAUGCCAAAAAUUUGGAGGGAUUGACAGCACUAGAUAUCCAAUCACAAUACCCAUGGAAUGAAAGGCAAGCGGAUAGGAUUAUAGAUAUGCUAAGCAAAGCAGGAGGUUUGAGUGCUUCCUCUUCCUCGCUUCCGAAUACCUCCAUCUCUUCAUUCCACAUCGAAUCAUUAAAGGAAAAGAUGCCAUGGUUUCAAAAAUUGGAAACAAAAACAGGUCGACUAAAGAACGGUAUUUCAUAUGAGAUGCGUAACACAUUUCUAAUAGUGAUAGUGCUACUUAUAACAACCACUUACGAACCCUCUUUAAACCCUCCAAACAUGCCUUAUGACAGUCCAUCCAUGAAAUACCAAGUCUCCUUAAGUCAAGAUCAGCCUCUCAAUUCCCACACAUUUUUGCAUAAAACCGACAUCAAUACUGCACCCAUACCCAGUCCCUCCGCAAUUGACGUUUCCAAAAAAGAUUGUUGGACAUCUAAUCACUCGUUUUUGGUUUUGAACAUGUUCAACUUUUCGGUUGCAGUUCUUUUAAUAGGACUUCUCCUACCAUAUCAUCCUUUCUCUUUGUUGAUUCACUUACCACUUUCCGGCUGUAUGGUAUCUUACACGGAGUUAUAUGCUUCCUUAUGUGAGUUUUCCAAUAAAAACGCACUUCUUUCUGGCGUUUAUAAUUUUUCCUUUACAAUGUUGCUGCCUUUUCUCGUAGUAUGCGGGUCAAUCUUUUAUGUUAUGGGCAAAGAGACAAAAUUUUCUAAGAAUCUGAAUUAAAUUGUAUAUUUGUUGAAGUUAGCUUCCAUGCAACACAAGCAGCAACAAACGUGUCCAUGCAAGCCACAUGCAGAAAAGAAGCAGCACAUGAAGGCAGCCGCUUGAGCUCGACAUUGCUGUCCAAAUUCAACUAGUUUUGUUGGAUUAAGUUUAUAUUUUGUAACUUAGUUCUUAUAGAACUUAGUUGGUAAACUUUUGAUGUAAUUUUUGAUGAUUGAUUGACUGAAAAUCCGGCCAAUGUAACUUAUGCAAGCUGNNNNNNNNNNNNNNNNNNNNNNNNNNNNNNNNNNNNNNNNNNNNNNNNNNNNNNNNNNNNNNNNNNNNNNNNNNNNNNNNNNNNNNNNNNNNNNNNNNNNGGUACGUGAUUAGGUAGUAUUUUGAUUUGUAAGUUUAACUCAAUGUUUGAUAUUUGUAAUGCCAACUUGCCAAUGUUUUGUUAAUGAAAAAUUAGAUUCUUUUUCAUUCAAAUUCUCUCCUUUCUUUGCUUUUGUUUUCUAUUUUCCACUUGCAAAGCUUUUCUUCUGUUUUGUUUCUUCCCCAAGCCACGAGGCUUGCUGUCCAAGCAAGGCUAGACCAGCUUGCUUACUGCCUUUAACACCAACAAUAUUUCUGUAAUAAUAAAAAUAAAAAUUUAUCAAUUUAAUAGUCUAUAUUUUUAUAUUUUUUAGAAGAUUAAAUCAAAAUUUUGUCAUUUAUAGGAGCCAAAAUAUAAUUUUAUCAUUACUAAUUUAAAAUUUUAUAAAUUAUAAAAGACUUAAAUAGAAAAAAAAAAUCAUUUUAAGGAGGCUCCAGCUCCCUGACUCCGCCUCUGCAGGUGGGUAACCAGUACCAAUCCAAAAUUCUCCAACCUCAUAAUAUAAUCUUUUACAUUGGCUUCCUCCUUUCUACACUGUGUCCAGUUUCGUGGAUCCUUCUAAUGUAAAUGCCGAAAGCGUAAUGAAGUUUUGGGGUUUGUAUUAGAGAUGGUGAUGGAGUAGUUAUUGGGUUGAGCUGGUUCAUUAGUUCCCUUCAUCUCUUCUACCGGACUCUUAUUCCUUUUUUAUUAUCAAGGGUGAAGGUCUGCACAUACUUUUGUUUAGGCCUAAUCGUCUCUUGAGGAAGAGCUAUGUUGUAAUGAUAAAAGAAGUGCGAAUUUGUUUGUCAAGUAGUUGUUGAAUAAGGAUCUUAACUAGGAUCUUAAAUAAAGGGAAAUGUAUUUGUUAUGUGCUCAUGAUACAUACCAUCGUGAUUCAUCAAAACAGCAUUCUAAAAUAUUUACUUUAAUUGUAAUUACUUGGUAUGCUUUACAAACGAGGUUGAGAUUUUGUUACAUAUUUUGUUUAUUUUUUUUAAAAACGAGGUUGAGAUUUUGUUACAUAUUUUGUUUUUUUUUUUAAAUGAGAUUGAAAUUUUGUUACAUAUCUUAUUUAUUUUUCAAAAAAUUCAAUAUAAUUUAAAGGCACGUGAUGAUAUAAAUUCUACUUGCACAAUUAAAAAAUUUCCAUUGGCAAUAUUUUAAAUAAUUAUCCUUAAUUCAAAACAAAUAAGUGUUGAGUGUAAUAGUAAAAUAUAUUGCAUUUCCAAGAAAAGAUGUAAGUUCAAACCUUGGAAAUAAUAUUAUUAGAGCGGCAGCCAUGAACUCCGAAUAUGGACCAUAAAAUAGAUAUAAAAAAUAUGUAAAAUAUUUAGAAAAAUAAUAAAAUAUAAAACAUCACGUUAGAGUACUAUUACAUAUUACUAUAGAUUUAAUUUUAUGUGUUAUAAAUAAUAUAAUAUAUAAAAAUAACAAAAUAUUUAACAUUACAAACUUAUAAAAACGGGUUUAACCUGGGCUGACCUGGUCUUUAAAUGUUCAAGCCCAUUUUUCAAAUCUAAUCUUUUUACCUAAAUCCUCCUCAUUUUUUAAACAAGCGAAUAUUCGGAGGAUUCUUCUAACCAAAAUAGAAAAUAUAUCAAAAAACUAAAAAGUAUAACAAAAAUAAUAAAUAAAAAAUUUACAUAUAAUUUGGAAUUUCUAAUUGUACUUAGAAUUGUAUAACGUAUAAUUGUAAUUUGUCAGCAAAGUUGUUUCUUUUUUUUCCCCUUAAAAUUCAAAGAAUUCUUCUCCCUUUAUACAUAGGUCAUCGAUUCAGCAUUAGAAAAAGGGGCUCAAAUCGUUUUAUCGACAUGAGUGUUUUAUGUCGAAAAAAUAUUUUUGUUUUGAAAAUAUUUCUGUAUUUAGUAACAUAGUAGUAAAAAGAGUACCCAAUUGCAUCUGAACUUCAAACGGGUUUGGCCUUAACCAUGUUAAUGGUCCCAGAUUAUUGGUUAAUAAAGAAUCAAAGUCGAUGUGCCAAUGAAUCACGAAAUGCUAUAGUUCUAUAGUAUGAUUUUAAAAAUAUAUUCAGAAGUAAUUCGCGAGAUCAUGCACUCUUUUAUUUCCUAGUUAUAAUGAAAAAAAGUACAACUGGGUGAAUCCAGCUUAUUCUUGAAAUAAACAACUCACACACACUCACUUUCCAAAAAAGAUUAAUACACCAAGGACUACACUUAGAUUUAUUAGAUUUGUUGCUAAAAUAUCGGUAUUAACCCCGAAACUCUCGGCAGAUGGCCAGUGACCCAAGGAAACGAAAGAAUCGAUUACAUUUUUCAUAUGAUCUCCUAUUUUAUUUUAGAUAGACUAACAAAAAGAAUUCAGUUUUUUUUUGUAUUAUAUCGCUUUGACUCCUUUUCCAUUUAUUCUAUUCUAUCAUAUUUAUAUUAUUCUAAUUAUUCUAGUUCUAUGUAUUUCUUUAUUUGUUUUAAUAAAUUAUUAAAUUUAUUAUAAAAUUAUUCAUUAUUAUGAUUAUGAAUUUUCAUUUACCUAUGUCUAAACGGAGUUAAAAAAAUAUAUUCUAUUUAUCUAGUUAGCUAGAAAUGUAUUUUUUAAUUGAAAAUUCCCAAUAAUAAUAAUUCUUAUUAGAAUUAGGGAGCAGGUUUCAUAUCAAUGGCAAAAUACCUCAUUUGUUGCUACACUCCUUUAAACAAUAAAUAAUAAAUAAGGGGUUCUUUUGAACUAAGAAGGAGAAGGAAGAAAGCGAGUUGGCGUGAUAAUUCUUCAGCCUCAAAUUAAUCCUUUCCACGGAUUAUUGUCCUAACGAAUAUUAAUUGUAGGGGUGAAAUCUUGAUAGAAUUCGAAAAAGCGAGGAGUAAGUCCCAAGCCAUAAAAUAAGAAAAACAAAUACAAAAUUCUCAUGUUUAUAGGAUUAAAUAAAGGGAUUCACAAAUAAGAGUGCCAGUGGUACAACCAGCGCAUAAAUUGUUAAAGCUUCCAUAAAAGCCAAACUAAGCAAUAAAGUACCUUGUAUUUUUUCCUCCGCCUCAGGUUGUCUCGCGAUACCUUCUACAGAUUGGCCCGCAGCAGUACCUUGACCGCCUCCAGGUCCAAUAGAAGCAAGCUCGACAGCCGACCCUGCAGUAAUAACGGAAGCGGCAGAAAUUAGUGGAUUCAUGAUAAGUUCCUCGCACCAAAAUAAAGAAAUAGUUAAUGAUACAAUCAUCCAAUGAAUUUUGACUUAAUUAUAUUAUAUCAUCCAUAUGUUUUACAGCGUAUUGAUGAUGUGCCUUUUUUUAAUACUCAAUUGCAAGUAGCAACCUCUGUUGGGCAUAUUGAAUUUAUGAUGGAGAUGAUCAAAUUAAAGCCAACGUUUGCAAGAAAGCUAAACCAAGCAGGGUUUAGCCCCAUGCACUUGGCUCUGCAAAAUGACAGAACUAAAGCAGUGCUUCGACUCCUCAGGUUUGAUGAAGGCCUUGUUCGUGUCAAAGGGAGGGAGGACCUCACUCCUCUGCACCAUGUGGUUCAAACUGGAAAUGUUGAUCUUUUGGUCAAGUUACUUAAGGUUUGUCCUGAGGCUAUUGCAGAUGUGACUGUUCGAGAUGAGACGGUAUUCCAUCUUGCUGUGAAAAACGACAUGUUUGAAGCUUUCCAAGUCUUGGUAGGGUGGCUUAUAAGAAGCCGCCAUGAGUCUGCCGAACGUUGGGAGAAAGAACUAUUGAGUUGGGUAGACAUUGAUGGCAACACUGUGCUACACAUUGCAGCUAUCAGAAACAGACCUCAGGUAUGCUAAUUUUCCUAAUCAAGUCAAUUAUUGAUAUGUAUGUAUAUGAUAAAAGGGUAAUUUACAUUAAUUAAUUUCUAAUUAACAGGUGGUGGAAGUAUUGCUGGGACACUUGCGUCGAGACCAAAUCAAUGCCAAAAAUUUGGAGGGAUUGACAGCACUAGAUAUCCAAUCACAAUACCUAUGGAAUGAAAGGCAAGCGGAUAGGAUUAUAGAUAUGCUAAGCAAAGCAGGAGGUUUGAGUGCUUCCUCUUCCUCGCUGUUGGAACAUUUGGCAGCAGCAAAAGAANNNNNNNNNNNNNNNNNNNNNNNNNNNNNNNNNNNNNNNNNNNNNNNNNNNNNNNNNNNNNNNNNNNNNNNNNNNNNNNNNNNNNNNNNNNNNNNNNNNNNNNNNNNNNNNNNNNNNNNNNNNNNAUUUAUAGUCAAAUACAUCACCAAAUACUACCUACUACCACUAGUUUUACUUUGAAACAAGUAAAACUUAACUUGCACACAAGCUGAUUAUGUCAAUCAGCACCUAAAAACAUCAAAACAAUACCAACUUAGUUCAUUUUCAACUAAGUAGCUUAACAAAGAAACUAAAGAGAAAACCUUGCUGCUACAGCAAGUAUACGUGCUGCAGCAUGUCAUCAAGCUGCAUGCACUUCAAACAGCAGCAUGGUUGGCCAAUUUCAACACUCCUCCUUUGGACUCCAUGCUGCAAAUACAUAUCAUUCAUCAAGUUUUUGAACUUGGCAGCCCUUAGAUGCUUUGUUUCAAGCUGACCAAUUCAUUUUCAACCUUGGCCUCAUUCACAAACAAAUCUGACUUACACACUUGACUAUCCCAGUCUUUUGUGCCAAAGAUUUGUUCACCAAAUGGAGUCUUCUCCUCCUUCACAGCCUUGGUUGACAACUUGUUUCUUCUUGCACAAACAGUUCCUGAGUAUAGUUGCUUGCCUUCAUUCUGCCAUUUUGGCUUGCAACUAUACAACACACAUUAAGCUUCCACAUGUUGCUGAGCUCACACCUUUGACAGACUCACAUCUUUGCAUAUUGUCUUCAACAGGUGUCUUCAACAGGCUCGUACUUUGCUAAGCUUGCAGCUUUGACAUCUUGCUAAGCUUGCACAUUUGGAAAGCUCACACCUUUCCUUGAAACUCCUCCUUCAGCUUAUUCAAGCUUGUUUGGGGGUCUUAUAAAUUUGAGCCGGUGUUGAGCAGGGGAAGCAAAAUCAAUGGUCCCUUAAGACUUAGGCUCUUGAUACCAUUUGUUGGAACAUUUGGCAGCAGCAAAAGAAGAGAACAGAGAGCAUAACAAUGAAGCAAGGUGCAAGAAGGAUUUUUACUUGCUCACAAAUGUGUAGCAAGGGAGCUUAUGGCUGAUAGCCUAUUUAGCUCAUUCAUUCAACUAGAAAAACAACAUAUUUAUAGUCAAAUACAUCACCAAAUACUACCUACUACCACUAGUUUUACUUUGAAACAAGUAAAACUUAACUUGCACACAAGCUGAUUAUGUCAAUCAACACCUAAAAACAUCAAAACAAUACCAACUUAGUUCAUUUUCAACUAAGUAGCUUAACAAAGAAACUAAAGAGAAAACCUUGCUGCUACAGCAAGUAUACGUGCUGCAGCAUGUCAUCAAGCUGCAUGCACUUCAAACAGCAGCAUGGUUGGCCAAUUUCAACACUCGCUUUCGAAUACCUCCAUCUCUUCAUUCCACAUCGAACCAUUAAAGGAAAAGAUGCCAUGGUCUCAAAAAUUGGAAACAAAAACAGGUCGACUAAAGAACGGUAUUUCAUAUGAGAUGCGUAACACACUUCUAAUAGUGAUAGUGCUACCUACAAAAACCACUUACGAACCCUCUUUAAACCCUCCAAAGAUGUCUUAUGACAGUCCACCCAUGAAAUACCAAGUCUCCUUAAGUCAAGAUCAGUCUCUCAAUUCCCACACAUUUUUGCAUAAAACCGACAUCAAUACUGCACCCAUACCCAGUCCCUCCGCAUUUGACGUUUCCAAAAUAGAUUAUUGGACAUCUAAUCACUAGUUUUUGGUUUUGAACAUGUUCAACUUUUCGGUUGCAGUUCUUUUAAUAGGACUUCUCCUACCAUAUCAUCCAUUCUCUUUGUUGAUUUACUUACCACUUUCCUGCUGUAUGGCAUCUUACACGGAGUUAUAUGCUUCCUUAUGUGAGUUUUCCAAUAAAAACGCACUUCUUUCUGGCGUUUAUAAUUUUUCCUUUACAAUGUUGCUCCCUUUUCUCGUAGUAUGCGGGUCAAUCUUUUAUGUUAUGGGCAAAGAGACAAAAUUUUCUAAGAAUCUGAAUUAAAUUGUAUAUUUGUUGAAGUUAGCUUCCAUGCAACACAAGCAGCAACAAACGUGUCCAUGCAAGCCACAUGCAGAAAAGAAGCAGCACAUGAAGGCAGCAGCUUGAGCUCGACAUUGCUGUCUAAAUUCAACUAGUUUUGUUGGAUUAAGUUUAUAUUCUGUAACUUAGUUCUUAUAGAACUUAGUUGGUAAACUUUUGAUGUAUUUUUUGAUGAUUGAUUGACUGAAAAUCCAGCCAAUGUAACUUAUGCAAGCUGAUUAACAAUUUCCAAUGUAUUAAGUGGAGUUAGGUACGUGAUUAGGUAGUAUUUUGAUUUGUAAGUUUAACUCAAUGUUUGAUAUUUGUAAUGGCAACUUGCCAAUGUUUUGUUAAUGAAAAAUUAGAUUCUUUUUCAUUCAAAUUCUCUCCUUUCUUUGUGUUGCGCGGAAGCGUGUAAAAGAGUAAAAUUAUUGUACUAAAAAAUCACACUAAGUUCAAUUCCUAGGAAAGAGAGGUGGAUCACGAGGAUCGCUUAAGUACCAGGUCUUUCCUAGCCAGAAUAUCCCUCUAUCGUAAUUUAAUAGCACAAUAAAUCACUACAAUCACACUCGCAAAAUAUGCAAAAUAAACAAUAAAGAACACUAGAAUUUUAAUGAGGUUCAGAAAAUUUUGCCUACGUCCUCGGGCACUACCAAAUAUAUUUCACUCCAAAAUACAAGUGAAAGUUUACAAAUAAGGAGAGAGAACAAUUGCCUUAAGUAGAGAAUGGCAAAUGUGGGAUGUAGAAAAUGAGAAAUAGUUAGGCCUAUUUAUAGUUGAAGCUCAAGGAUCAACUUGCAAAGUCCCUAUACAAUUAGGGACCAAAAUUGCAAUUAUCCCAAGCCAAAUUUCAACCCUAAAAUCUAUGCCUUAAAUGUUUUGAGUUUCGGUGCCAAAUUUCUGACACCAUCCAUCGUUGAAAAGUCAAAGAUGGUUGCCAAUAAUCUCUACCUUGAAGAUUUGAUUAGGAUAAUCUUAUCUUCACACAAUUCUUUCUACCUUUGACAACAAUACUUGAUAGUGCCUUCUUCAACUGUUAAACUUACAGGAUAUUGAUCAAGUUCAAACAAUGUUCGAACUUGAUUGUUGUUACCACUUUGGUCAUCAUAUCUGCAGGAUUAUCUGCAGUCUUGAUCUUCUGAAAUUUUCCCCCCAUCAAUAAUUUCUCGCACAAAAUGGAAUCGUACGUCGAUAUGCUUUGUACAUGCAUGAUAGACUUGAUUCUUUGCUAAAUGAAUAGCACUUUGACUAUCACAAUACACGUUAAUAUGCUUCUGAACAAAUCCCAAGGUUUUAACCAUACCUUGUAACCAAAUAGCUUCAUUUACAGCCUCUGUUACAGCCAUGUAUUCGGUUUCUGUGGUUGACAACGCAACUGUAGACUGCAGUGUAGACUUCCAACUUAUAAACACAUAACCGGUGGUUGAUCUUUGUUUGUCCAAAUCACCGGCAUAGUUAGAAUCAACGUACCCAAUAACACCUUUACCAAGUGUAGUAUCCUGCUUGAACAGUAAUCUAACAUCCACGGUCUUCAGAAUAUAUCGUAGAAUCCAUUUCACAGCUUGCCAAUGUCCUUUUCCAAGAUUAUGCAUAUACCUGCUCACUAUACUAACUGCCUGUGAAAUGUCGGGUCUUGUACACACCAUUGCAUACAUCAAGCUACCCACUGCAUUAGAAUACGGAACUUGUAACAUGUAUUCUUGUUCCGUAUUCGUCGAAGGAGAUAGUUGUGCAGAAAGCUUGAAAUGAGAAGCCAACGGGGUACUUACAGGUUUUGUUUGCUCGUUCAUGCCAAAUUGCUGUAGUACUUUCUUCAAAUACUGCUUCUGAGAUAAACUAACUCUGCCAUGAGCUCUAUCUCUACAUAUUUCCAUGCCAAGAAUCUUCUUAGCUUCACCUAGAUCUUUCAUCUCAAACUCGAGAUUGAGCUGAGUCUUCAAUCUCUCAAUCUCAACUUUGCUCUUAGAUGCUAUCAGCAUAUCAUCAACAUAUAAGAGCAGGUAUAUGGAAGUUCCUACUUGUAGCUUCUGAAAAUACACGCAAUGAUCAAAUUUACUUCUUGUGUACCUUUGUCCUUUUAUGAACUGAUCAAAUCGCUUGUACCACUGCCUCGGAGAUUGUUUCAAUCCAUAAAGCGACUUCGUCAGUUUGCAAACCCAAUUUUCUUUAUCAGCAACCUUGAAUCCAUCAGGCUGAGUCAUAUAGAUCUCCUCUUCCAAAUCACUGUGUAAAAAAGCCGUCUUCACAUCAAGCUGAACUAGUUCAAGGUCAUAUUGCACAACCAGGGCUAGCAAAAUCCGAAUAGACGAAUGCUUCACAACUGGAGAAAACACUUCAUUGUAGUCUAUUCCUUCUUUCUGAGCGUAACCUUUUGCUACCAAUCUAGCCUUGUAUCGAAUUUCAUUUUUACCAGAAAAUCCUUCCUUCUUUGCAUAUACCCAUUUGCAUCCAAUUGCCUUAUUUCCCUUGGGCAGUGUCACCAACUCCCAAGUCCUAUUUUUAUGAAGAGACUGCAUUUCUUCAUUCAUAGCCUGCUUCCACUUUACACCAUCAGGGUUACUUAUUGCUUCUGUGUAAGUAGAAGGAACAUCAUCAUCUGCAAUUGGAAGUGCAUAGGCCACUAUAUCAUUAAAGAGAGCAGGCUUACGAAUCUCUCUUCUUGGCCUCCUAUAUGCAAUUGAAUCUUGUUGCUAUAGAAGUUCUUGAGUCGAAACUUCUUCAUCAUUUGCUCCUUUAGUAUUAGCUGGAUCAUCAUUAACCUUUUCAAGCUCCACCUGCUGCAAAGUGCCACUAGUUUUGUCAUCCUUUUGUGAAUCAUUGUUCUUCAUCAUGGUUGAUUCAUCAANNNNNNNNNNNNNNNNNNNNNNNNNNNNNNNNNNNNNNNNNNNNNNNNNNNNNNNNNNNNNNNNNNNNNNNNNNNNNNNNNNNNNNNNNNNNNNNNNNNNAUCAGGACACCAGAGACGGUAUCCUUUUACUCCACUAGUUAUACCCAUGAAUAAUGCUUUCUUUGCUCUUGGGUCUAACUUAGAUUCUUUUACAUGAUAAUAUGCAGUGGAACCAAAAACAUGUAAAGAAUCAUAAUCAGUAGCAGGUUUACCAGUCCACAUCUCCAUAGGAGUUUUUCCAUUUAUUGCAGCUGAUGGCAACCGGUUAAUUAGAUGGCACGCAUAUGUAACUGCCUCAGCCCAAAAUUCCUUGCCCAAUACAGCAUUGGACAACAUACAUCGAACUUUCUCCAGUAUAGUCCGAUUCAUACGUUCUGCCACCCCAUUCUACUGUGGUGUAUCUCGAACAGUGAAGUGUCGCACAAUGCCCUCAUCUUGACAUACUUGUAGAAAUGGAUCAUUUUUGUACUCAGUACCAUUUUCUGAUCGAAGUCGUUUGACCUUUCGACCAGUCUGAGUCUCCACCAUCUUCUUCCACUUCAGAAAUGCAUCCAAAACUUCACUUUUUCUUUUCAUUAGAUACACCCAUACUUUUCUUGAAUAAUCAUCAACAAAAGUAACAAAAUAGUGCAUACCUCUCAAAGAAGCCACUUUGGUAGGUCCCCACACGUCACUGUGAACAUAGUCCAGAAUUCUUUCCGUAUUGUGAAUUACUGAACCAAAUUUUACCCUCGCCUGCUUGCCCAGAACACAAUGUUCACAGAAUUCAAAUUUGCAAGAAUUUACACCUUUCAACAAGCCUUGCUUCGCCGAAGUCUACAAAGCUUUUUCACCAGCAUGUCCUAAUCGCAUAUGCCAUAACCUGGUAGCCUCUGAAUCUGCAUCUUUCGCAAAAGCUGUUGAUGUUGAUCCAAUAAUUGUACUUCCAUUUAAAUAGUACAAGUUAUUUCUUCUAGUGCCUUUUAUCACCGUCAAUACCCCAGCUACUACCUUUAGUAAUCUAUCUCUCAAAGUGACUGUGAGCCCUUUAGGUUCUAGGGCCCCUAAUGAGAUGAGAUUUUUCUUCAAGCUAGGUACACAGCGAACAUCUGUCAAGACUUGGAUUGAGCCGUCGUGAUUCUUCAAUUUGAUUGUACCUACUCCUAUUGUCUUACAAGCACUGUCAUUGCCUAUAAAAACAACUCCACCUUCUAGUUUUUCAAGACUAGAAAAUCAAUCCUUAUUAGGACACAUAUGUUAAGUACAUCCCGAAUCCAAGAUCCACUCAUCCGUAUGACAUUUCAUUGCCAUGCCAACCAAGCUAAAGUCUGACUCCUCAUCAUGCUCCGCUACACAUGCAUCAGAAAUAGCCUUGCCCUUUUGUAACUUAAGACAAUUCUUUUUCCAGUGCCCUUUCUCACGACAAAAAGCACAUUCAUCUUUGGCGGGUCUCCCUUUGGACUUGCCCCUUCUACGAGGUUUGUUGCUGUGUGAACGACCUCUUACUAUUAAGACUACUGCAGUUGUAUCUCUGUGAUCUCUUUUAUCUUUCUUUCGAGUCUCAGAUCUGUACAACGCACUACAAACUGCAUCAAAUAUGAUCGUAUCCUUCCCAUGAAGCAAUGUGGUGGUAAGAUGAUCAUAUUCAUCGGGAAGAGAAUUCUACAACAAUAAUGCCUUGUCUUCAUCUUCAAACUUCUCAUCCAAAUUUAGCAAGUCUGCUAAAAUUUUAUUGAAUGAGUUCACAUGGUCAUUCAUCGACAUUCCGGGUGCAUACGUGAACCGAAAAAGUUUCUUUUUCAUAUAAAGCCUAUUUUCAUGACUUUUCGUUAGAAACUUUUCUUCCAGUGUAUCCCACAACUUCUUCGCUGAUGUCUCCCUCAUGACAGAGUACUUCUGCUCUUUGGCCAAACAUAGGCGGAUUGUACCACACGUCUGUCUAUUGAUCUUGGCCCACUCCUUGCCAUCCAUCUUGUCAGGUUUUUCUUCAAGGGCUAUAUCCAACUCUUGCUGACAUAAGACAUCCAGGAUCUCACACUAUCACAUACCAAAAUUAUUGGUACCAUCAAAUUUAUCUACAAAUUUUGCAUUGGUCACGGUAGUCUUUGUUGAUGACGAUGCCUCUGCCAUUUUUCUCCUCAAUCCCAACUACUGUAUAUGUGAACAGUACCGUCUACGUGAAUAGUGCAGUGGAUGAACAAUACCGUAUACGUAAAUAGUAUCGUAAACGGUCGUACUCCCCAAGUACGAAUCUAGCUUCGAUACCAAUUGUUGCGCGGAAGCGUGUAAAAGAGUAAAAUUAUUGUACUAAAAAAUCACACUAAGUUCAAUUCUCAGGAAAGAGAGGUGGAUCACGAGGAUCGCUUAAGUACCAAGUCUUUUCUAGCUAGAAUAUCCCUCUAUCGUAAUUUAAUAGCACAAUAAAUCACUACAAUCACACUCACAAAAUAUGCAAAAUAAACAAUAAAGAACACUAGAAUUUUAACAAGGUUCAGCAAAUUUUGCCUACGUCCUCGGGCACUACUAAAUAUAUUUCACUCCAAAAUACAAGUGAAAGUUUACAAAUAAGGAGAGAGAACAAUUUCCUUAAGUAGAGAAUGACAAAUGUGGGAUGUAGAAAAUGAGAAAUAGUUAGGCCUAUUUAUAGUUUAAGCUCAAGGAUCAACUUGCAAAGUCCCUAUACAAUUAGGGACCAAAAUUGCAAUUAUCCCAAGCCAAAUUUCAACCCUAAAAUCUAUGCCUUAAAUGCUUAGAUUUUCGGUGCCAAAUUUCUGACACCAUCCAUCUUUGAAAAGUCAAAGAUGGUUGCCAAUACUUUGCUUUUGUUUUUUGUUUUCCACUUGCAAAGCUUUUCUUCUGUUUUGUUUCUUCCCCAAGCCACGAGGCUUGCUGUCCAAGAAAGGCUAGACCAGCUUGCUUACUGCCUUUAACACCAACAAUAUUUCUGUAAUAAUAAAAAUGAAAAUUUAUCAGUUUAAUAGUCUAUAUUUUUAUAUUUUUUAGAAGAUUAAAUCAAAAUUUUGUCAUUUAUAGGAGCCAAAAUAUAAUUUUAUCAUUACUAAUUUAAAAUUUUAUAAAUUAUAAAAGACUUAAAUAGAAAAAAUCAUUUUAAGGAGGCUCUAGCUCCCUGACUCCGCCUCUGCAGGUGGGUAACCGGUACCAAUCCAAAAUUCUCCAUCCUCAUAGUAUAAUCUUUUACAUUGGCUUCCUCCUUUCUACAUUGUGUCCAGUUUCGUGGAUCCUUCUAAUGUAAAUGCCGAAAGCGUAAUGAAGUUUUGGGGUUUGUAUUAGAGAUGGUGAUGGAGUAGUUAUUGGGUUGAGCUGGUUCAUUAGUUCCUUUCAUCUCUUCUACCGGACUCUUAUUCUUUUUUUGUUAUCAAGGGUGAAGGUCUGCACAUACUUUUGUUUAGGCCUAAUCAUCUAUUGAGGAAGAGCUAUGUUGUAAUGAUAAAAGAAGUGUGAAUUUGUUUGUCAAGUAGUAGUUGUAUCAGGAUCUUAACCAGAAUCUUAAAUAAAGGGAAAUGUAUUUGUUAUGUGCUCAUGAUACAUAUCAUCGACUCCAACACCCUUAAAAGUGAUUCAUCAAAACAGCAUUCUAAAAUAUUUACUUUAAUUGUAAUUAUUUGGUAGGCUUUACAAACGAGGUUGAGAUUUUGUUACAUAUUUUGUUUAUUUUUUUAAAUGAGAUUGAAAUUUUGUUACAUAUCUUAUUUAUUUUUUAAAAAAUUCAAUAUAAUUUAAAGGCACGUGACGGUAUAAAUUCUACUUGUACAAUUUAAAAUUUUCCAUUGGCAAUAUUUUAAAUAAUUAUCCUUAAUUUAAAACAAAUAAGUGUUGAGUGUAAUAGUAAAAUAUAUUGCAUUUCCAAGAAAAGAUGUAAGUUCAAACCUUGAAAAUAAUAUUGUUAGAGCGGCAGCCAUGAACUCCAGAUAUGGACCAUAAAAUGGAUAUAAAAAAUACGUAAAAUAUUUAGAAAAAUAAUAAAAUAUAAAACAUCACGUUAGAGUACUAUUACAUAUUACUAUAGAUUUAAUUUUAUGUGUUAUAAAUAAUAUAAUAUAUAAAAAUAACAAAAUAUAUAACAUUACAAACUUAGAAAAACGGGUUUAACCUGGGCUGACCUGGUCUUUAAAUGUUCAAGCCCAUUUUUCAAAUCUAAUCUUUUUACCUAAAUCCUCCUAAUUUUUUAAACAAGCGAAUAUUCGGAGGAUUCUUCUGACCAAAAUAGAAAAUAUAUCAAAAAACUAAAAAGUAUAAUAAAAAUAAUAAAUAAAAAAUUUACAUAUAAUUUGGAAUUUCUAAUUGUACUUAGAAGUAUAACGUAUAAUUGUAGUUUGUCAGCAAAGUUGUUUCUUUUUUUUUUCUUCAAAUUCAAAGAAUUCUUCUCCCUUUAUACAUAGGUCAUCAAUUCAGCAUUGGAAAAAGGGGCUCAAAUCGUUUUAUCGACAUGAGUGUUUUAUGUCGAAAAAAUAUUUUUGUUUUGAAAAUAUUUCUGUAUUUAGUAACAUAGUNNNNNNNNNNNNNNNNNNNNNNNNNNNNNNNNNNNNNNNNNNNNNNNNNNNNNNNNNNNNNNNNNNNNNNNNNNNNNNNNNNNNNNNNNNNNNNNNNNNNNNNNNNNNNNNNNNNNNNNNNNNNNNNNNNNNNNNNNNNNNNNNNNNNNNNNNNNNNNNNNNNNNNNNNNNNNNNNNNNNNNNNNNNNNNNNNNNNNNNNNNNNNNNNNNNNNNNNNNNNNNNNNNNNNNNNNNNNNNNNNNNNNNNNNNNNNNNNNNNNNNNNNNNNNNNNNNNNNNNNNNNNNNNNNNNNNNNNNNNNNNNNNNNNNNNNNNNNNNNNNNNNNNNNNNNNNNNNNNNNNNNNNNNNNNNNNNNNNNNNNNNNNNNNNNNNNNNNNNNNNNNNNNNNNNNNNNNNNNNNNNNNNNNNNNNNNNNNNNNNNNNNNNNNNNNNNNNNNNNNNNNNNNNNNNNNNNNNNNNNNNNNNNNNNNNNNNNNNNNNNNNNNNNNNNNNNNNNNNNNNNNNNNNNNNNNNNNNNNNNNNNNNNNNNNNNNNNNNNNNNNNNNNNNNNNNNNNNNNNNNNNNNNNNNNNNNNNNNNNNNNNNGAACUAAGAAGGAGAAGGAAGAAAGCGAGUCGGUGUGUAUAAUUUUUCAUCAUCAAAUUAAUCCUUCCCACGGAUUAUUGUCCUAACGAAUAUUAAUUGUAGGGCUGAAAUCUUGAUAGAAUUCGAAAAAGCGAGGAGUAAGUCCCAAGCCAAUAAAAAUAAGAAAAACAAAUACAAAAUUCUCAUGUUUAUAGGAUUAAACAAAGAGAUUCACAAAUAAGAGUGCCAAUGCUACAACCAGCCCAUAAAUUGUUAAAGCUUCCAUAAAAGCCAAACUAAGCAAUAAAGUACCUUGUAUUUUUCCCUCCGCCUAGGGUUGUCUAGCGAUACCUUCUACAGAUUGGCCCGCAACAGUACCUUGACCAACUCCAGUCCAAUAGAAGCAAGCUCGACAGCCGACCCUGCAGCAAAAACGGAAGUGGCAGAAAUCAGUGGAUUCAUGAUAAGUUCUUCGCACCAAAAUAAAGAAAUGGUUAAUGAUACAAUCAUCCAAUGAAUUUUAACUUAAUUAUAUUAUUCCAUCGCUAAGAUUCAACCUGCCGAAGUAACUAAGAACUCCGAAUGGAAGUGAGAAGAUUAUUGAACUGUCAGAACUAUUUUGACAUCUUUUUUUUAGGUCCUAUCCACUAGAUUUUUUUUGAAUCCGCAUAUAUUUUGUUCUUCCCUUUCUUUUUUCCAACCCAUUCUUUACUUUGAAUUCUUCGUUUUUAUCUUUAUUUUAUCUCUUUAUUCGUUCAAUUCAGAGUCAAAGACAAAAUAGAGGAACUUCUAUUCUUCUAUUGGAAUACCUAUCUAAGUCCACAGUAGUAGGUUGGAUUAGAUAUAUUUUAAGUUCGUAUAUAACUAGUCAAUAUCUCAUAUCCCAUAUACAUGUGUUUCUUACAUAACGUAAACCAACUAUUCAUGUCUUAGAUUCAAUUGGAUUCUAGAAUUAUUCCUCAAAGGAUAGACAAGAGCUGUCUUAUAGCCAUUAGAUUCCAUAUACCUAAUUUUACCCCCUUUUUUUUCCUAAUAAUUUUUUAUAUCGUUUUUUUAUUGUAAAUUCGUCUCUUCCUUUUAUUUUUUAUUUAGUAGCAUUAUCUCACAUGGAUACAAUCUAAAUGGACGAAUUCAUUAGACCAAAUCAUUGCAUACAAAUAAAACAUCAAUAUCAGUAUUUGAUUGAGCUAAGUUCAUGCAAUUUAUUUCAUUAUUUAUGAAAAAAAAUUCUUUAGGUCAAUCAUUGAAUUGAAUGUAGAAAUUGACUAAAAUGGGAAUCAUUCUAUAUAAAGAACAACUUUUUUAAAAUCAUAGACCCUAAAUUGAUAAGAAUUCCUAUUCUAAUUAGGACUCAUAAUAUUGAAAUUGAAUAAACAAAAACAAUAUCAAGAUAAAGAUAAUNNNNNNNNNNNNNNNNNNNNNNNNNNNNNNNNNNNNNNNNNNNNNNNNNNNNNNNNNNNNNNNNNNNNNNNNNNNNNNNNNNNNNNNNNNNNNNNNNNNNUUUCAAAAACAAAAACUAAUCAAUGAUGGCCCUCUAUGGAUUCGCCUAUAUAAGCCGCAGCUAAAGUUGCAAAAAUAAGAGCUUGAAUCCCACUUGUAAAUAAUCUAAGGAACAUGACAGGUAUAGGGACUACUGAAGGUACUAAAGAAACAAGAACAACAACUACUAAUUCAACAGCUAAUAUCUUCCCAAAAAGUCGAAAAACUAAGUGAUAAGGGUUUUGUGAAAUCCUCUAAAAUGUUAAUAGGUAAAAGAAUUGGAGUGGGUUGAAUGUAUUUACUAAAAUACCCCAAUUCUUUUUUUGAAAGACCUGCAUAGAAAUAUGCUACUGACGUGAGUAAAGCUAAAGCAACAGUAGUAUUUAUAUCAUUUUUGGGUGCGGCUAACUCUUCAUGAUGUAAUUGUAUGAUUUUCCAAGUUAACAGAGCGUCCGACCAGUUAGAAACAAAAAUAAAUAGAAACAUAGUUCCAAUAAAGGGAACCCAUGGACCAUAUUCUUCUCCAAUCUAAGUUUUGCUUACUUCUUGAGUGAAUUAAAGAACAUAUUCGAAGAAAUUUUGACCGACAGUUUGAAUUGUUUGUGGAUUCCGAACUGCGAUAACGACGGAACCUAAUAAGAUAGCAAUUAUAACCCAAGAAGUAAUAAGUACUUGGGAAUGGACUUGGAAACCUACUAUUUACCAAUAGAAAUGUUGGCUUACUUCCACACCAGAGAUAUCGUAUAACCCGUUUAGUGCGUUUGAUAUACCAUUCAUAUUGCCCUCUGACAGAAAUAGAAGUUUACUUAAAAAAAAGGAAUUAUUUUUAUUCAAUCUUCUCUUGCCUACUCAAAUUCUAUAUUUUUGACACCGACGAAACUAAUCACACAAUAUUCACAAUUUUUUUUAUCUCUUUUGUGCGAUUCAGGAUAUAGUAACUGAUUCCAUAGAUCUAUGUAGUUCCAAAAAAUAAUUUAUUUAUCUUAUUAUUAAUAAAGGAUUUCGUAUAUAACUAGAAUGACCCUCACAAAUUGCGACUACUAAUUUGUUAAGAAUUAAUCGAAUUAAAGCUAUAGAGUCAUCAUUUGCUGGAAUCGAAAUAUCUGCGAGAUUAGAUUGCUAUUUGUAUCGAUUAAACAAAUUGCUAGAAUUCCGAAAUUGAUACAUUCUCGCAGAGCCGUAUAUUCUUCUUGCUGAUCAAUGAUGAUUACAAUAUCAGACAAUCUUGUCAUAUAUUUAAUCCCGCCUAGAUAUGUUUGUAAGCGAGUUAAUUGUCUUUUUAACAUAGCUGUAUCUCUUUUCGGAAGAUAGUUGAGUCCCCCGGUCUUUUGUUCUGUUCUCAAGUCCCUGAACUUAUGAAGCCUCGUUUUUGUAGUGGGCUAAGUUGUUAACAUACCACCGAGCCAUUAGAAAAAGACAAUUGAAGAAGAAUUGUCCAUAAAUUUGCAGUCAAUAGUUAAUGGUUCCAAUUUAUUGUCCUGAAUUUGACUUUUGGAACUGAGAAUCCNNNNNNNNNNNNNNNNNNNNNNNNNNNNNNNNNNNNNNNNNNNNNNNNNNNNNNNNNNNNNNNNNNNNNNNNNNNNNNNNNNNNNNNNNNNNNNNNNNNNNNNNNNNNNNNNNNNNNNNNNNNNNNNNNNNNNNNNNNNNNNNNNNNNNNNNNNNNNNNNNNNNNNNNNNNNNNNNNNNNNNNNNNNNNNNNNNNNNNNNNNNNNNNNNNNNNNNNNNNNNNNNNNNNNNNNNNNNNNNNNNNNNNNNNNNNNNNNNNNNNNNNNNNNNNNNNNNNNNNNNNNNNNNNNNNNNNNNNNNNUAUUAGAUUGGAUAGAUAAUUGACUUUUACUCUAUGAGAGACACCAAAAAAAAGAAUAAGUCUUAUUAUUGAUACAUGUGAGUAACAUUCUUUUGAUACUUCCAAAAGUGUUACUGCGCAUUUUGUUUGUGCUUAAUGGUUCUCGAUUUUACUCGAAAUCAUAUAUAUGUCUAAUUACAAUCUUAAUCCCCAUCAAAGUAGCAACAAAAUCAACAUUUAGUAUCUUAAUAAAGUCUAGGAUCUCUGAGAUAAGUUUUAAAGAGAUUUGAUCCUGUCUCCUUAAAAUAGGGGAUUCGAUUGUUUGAUCUAAUCCAAUAUUCAAGAUACAUUUUUUCUUCUAGAUCGAUUUCCAAUAUAAAAUAACACACGUCCAAAAUAACAAUAAAGAUCAUGAGCUAAAUGUUUUGUUUUAAAAACUUACCAACUCUAAAUAAAACAAGUUAUGUAAUUUACACAGCACAGAAUGCAGUUGUAACUUCCAUCCUCAUCAUUCCUUCAACAAUUUUCUCUUAAAUUUAACAUCUUUGAACAAAACACUAACAAAGGGGAAUCCCACAUUGUGCGGUUUCAUCAACGUUGGUUUCUCCUUGUUUUGGUUUAAAAUUAGGUCAUUUCAAGGGUUUUCCAUUAUAUGAAUGAGGUUUAACAUAAAAAAAAAGUACACAUUCCAAUAAAUAAUCAGAAAAUUAGCGUAAUUUUAAUAACUAGAAUAAAAUUUAUCAAUAUUAUAAAGAAGUGAUAAAUAGCGAUUCCGAAUUUGCUAUUAGCUGAUUUGGUCAAGAUUUAAUACUUCAAUUUAACCAUUUCCAAUUUCCUGGAAGGGAAGGGACCCCUUUUCCCAUACACAUUCAGCAUUGCUCACACUUUUUAGUGCAUGUUCUUUAAUGAAGUUUACUUAUAUUACAACAUCUAGACUUAAUUAUAAACAAAUUAUUUAUAUUUAUCUACUUAAAUAGAUUAUCCUUUACAAUUAAAGACAAAAACAUUCCACUAACCUUUCCUGUCGGAGCAGCUGCCAGGAAGGUACCAAUUGACAUAGGAGGAAAAUUAGAAGUUUAACCACCGAAAGCGAUUAAUUCAAAAAUUAAAGACUAGUAUGGUCCGUCAACAAGGAAACAAUAUAAAGUCAAAAAGGGCAGACAAACAAAGUAGAGAUUUAUGCCUAAAUGGCACCAUAUCAAAGCCAACUUGAUAUCAAGAAAAGAAAUCAUAAAUAAUAUAAUUGUUUUUUGAAAGUAAAAACAAAAUUGUGAUGAAAAAAAUAAAUUUACUUUUUUUUUCUAAUUCAUUAUAAAUAAAAGGUGAAUUUAAUCUCUUUUACUAUAGAUUAUUAGUAAAAAUAAAAGUUAAAUUUAAAAGUUUUUUCAUUAUUAUAAAUAUAUUAUCAUUGUUUAUAUUUAAUCACAUUUCUAUUUUUUUAAUAAAAAUGUUUAAAAUUAUCCAUAAUUCCUUCUCAAUAUUUUAAUAGGAGGAUAAAUACAUUCUAUCGUACUCGAACCCACAUCCUCCUAUACCAACAAUAAUGCCGAUACUAACUGAGCUAACACUCAAUUAGACUAUUGAGUAGAGAAGUUCAUUAACCCAACUAGAUUAUUACUUAAAGUUCUUAGGCACAUCAUAUGUGAAUAAAUUUGAAAUAGAAAGAAAAAAGAACUUUCAAGGAAAAGUGAAAAAGCAAAGGGAAUGAUUAUUAUUUGAUAUAUAGUAGAAUCUUUUAAUUCUAUAAAUGAGAUCUUUUUAUAAUUUUUAUUUACUUUUUUGGAUUUAUCUAUUUUUUUUGAAUUUUUAGAAUUUAAUUUAAAUUGAUAGAAUAGGUAAACAAUAGAAUUAAUUUUGUUAUAUUUUUUAAAAUUAUCAAAUUUAUAGAAUAGGUAAAUAUUAAGAGCUAAAAACAUCAAUAUUACAUUAAAAAUUUAACUUAUGAGUAACCUCUUGAAACCGUUUUUUGAACAAAAUUGGCUUAUGAUAUUAUAGAAAACAUAAAAUUUUAAUUUUUAAACCGUUGGGUUUUUACUAAGAAAAUAGAAAUCGCAACCAAUCAUUUUGAUAAGGUGCGAUCGAUCACCUAAUAAAUUAACUUUUUAAAAUGAAAAUUUUUUGAAAUUCUCUUAAAAGGAUAAUUUUUUGAAACUACGUUUAGGGUUUGGGAUAUGUACAAGAAAAAUUAUAACACCUUCGUAAUGCCCAAAAAUUGAUAACUUGUUCAUUACGUGUUGUAUCAUAUCUUAGAAAUAUGAGUUCAAACUUGCAGUACUUAAUUGUCAUCCUUUAAAAUUAAAAUGAAUACAAAUUUAUUUAAUGAGCGAAUUUAAAAUUGAAAUUUGAAAAAUUGUCAAAUUUUGCAUUUUUGUUUAUUUAAAAGACAUUUUUUUUUAUUCAUCCGAGUUUGAAAACAGCAUUCCAUCAUUAAACACAAUCAACAAUAUCAUAUUCCAAAAAUUUUGGUAUCGACCUCAUCAAUUUUUUAAUAUUGAAAUGUCAGCAAAAUAUAUUUAACGAAUAUACAUAAUAUCACAAUUAAAUGUCAAUCUCAAUCACGAAAUUCAACUAUAUUUCAAAAAAAAAAAUAUCUUCACAUGGAUUUUAUUUUAUGGUAUAUGUCAUGACAGUUAUUAUAUAACAAGAAAUUGGCAAUCUAGCAAUGGCAUGGCGAUAUAAUUAGAACAAAAAAUUUGGGAUAUUCAAGUUUGAAGAGACAUGGAAUCACACUAUAAUAUUAAGGCAUUACAAUAUCUUCAAAAACAUCAGUCACAUAUCUCAACAACAUGAAGAGAAAAAAAUAAAGCUGCAUAAGGGAACUAUACCGAAGUGCCAAGAAUUGUAAUGUUGUGAGUGCUUACAUAUAUGGACGCAUAGAAAUUAAAUUUGAGAACAAAGACUCCUGGGGGAAACCAAAACUUCGAAUAUAGAUCUGGGUGAAACCAGAAUUUUGAAAUGACUAACUGGACGAAACUAAAAUUUGGAAAGUAGACUGAGCAAAACCAGAAUUUGAUUAUUUAGGUGAUUAUUUGAUGCUAAUGGUGAAUUUUAUACUCUUAAUCCUUUAAAUUCAUGUUUUAAUGCAUAAUAGAGCAUUUGGGUGCAAAAUGAGUGAAAACCGAAAAAUCGGAGCAAGUUAUAGGAGCCACAUGGGUUGACCUAUUCCACACGACCUAGACACAUGACCGUGUGAGCCACACAGCCAUGUAGUAGGCCAUGUUGAUUUCGUGAAUUUGCACCCUAAACUGUGGGAAAUCGCAUUUUUUAGAUUUUUCAGGAAUUCUAAGACGUAUAUAUGAUAAAAGUAAAAAGAUAGGAAUGAGUCGUCAUAGAAUACUCAAGAAAACAUCUCGAAAAACACCAUUGAAACUAAUUCUAAAGUAGAUUUCCGUCAAGAUUGAAGAUUCUCAUUUGAUUUCUUUGGAGAUUGUCAUGAGUUUCUUUAUUUCUUUUCAAUUAUACUGUGUUUUGGAUUUUUUUAUUUUCUUUUCAAGCAUGAACUAAUUUUCUAAAUACCUAGGGGAGAUGAACCCUAUGAUAAAUUCUGUCUUUUGAUUUUUAUUUUUCGCAAUAAAUAUUUAGAUCUUGUUUUCAAUUAAGUGUGCCUAAUUCUUGCUUUAAUAUUUCUAAAUUAUUGAUUUAUAUUUGAUGUACUUAAAUCAGAGGAGGAAAAGACCCUGUUUGAGAGUAGAUCUUGUGUAAUUGAGUGGAGUUACAUGCAAUUCUAGACAUAGAAUGACAUAAAUAUACUGGAUUAGAUUCAAAUCUAAUGGGCGAAUCCAUAGCACGAGUUAAUGCGAUAAUAGGGGUCUUAAUUAGAAAGAAAAUUCAAUUAAUCAACCUAGAGUCAGUUACUCUUACUCUCGAAAGUGAUAUUAACAUAAUUUGGAGAUUUUUACAGAUCAAUAUACUAAGUAAAGAAAUAGCGUAAUUUAGAUUGAUAGUUACAAAUGAAAUUUAGGCGAAUUCUUUCCUGAGUAUUGUUUCACUUCUUGGUUAUUACUCUCUUUUUUUAUUUGUUCUUUGAUCGUGUUCGUUAGUUAAUUAAUUUAGUUAAUUUUAGUUUUAAUCAUUCACUCGAAUUUAUCGGUUAAAUAAUAGAAAGACAAUAAUAACUAGUACUUUUAGUCUUCGUUGGAAUGAUAUAUUUGCUCAUUGUAACUAUAUUAUUAAUUGAUAAGUCCACUUGCCUUAGCCAAAUUUUUAAUUAAUUUCGUGAGACAUUAAUACUUUCUUGUUAUACUACUCUUACAUUGUUCUAUAAAAAAUUACUACAAAAAUACUUUAUAGAAAUUUAUUUUCUUGCUAUACUCUACUCAGUACUUAAUGAACUAUUUUCUUCAGUAUAAAACACAAACAAUCACCAGACUUCAUUGUAUUCUCAAAGUUUAUUUUUUCUUAAAACUCAUUUGCACACUAAGUAUAGGUGCGGUGGAUAGGACUUUAAAAGUAAUGACUUGAUACAUGUCUUGAAGCCUUAUCUUAUUGCUUUGAUUUUCUAUUCGAGUUGUUGUUCAUGCUUCGUUCAUAUGUUUGAGAUUUUCCUCACCAAAAUUCGGCAUUACCAUUUAAUUCUUCUUUUAAGUCAUCCCAUAACUAUUUGUUCCAUUAAAUUUUGGUCAUAUCUACUUUCAUUUUUCAAGGGUUUGAUUAAGACUUCAUUAAUUUGUUAACCAUUACAGAAUUUGGGCCGAAGCCCAUAGAUUGUCAUGAAUAUUGGUUUAAUAAGCUCUCCUUUUGAAAACAUCACAACCACUUAUGCUCCUCAAUGAAUCACUACUUUCCCACUACACAAACAAAUUGUCACUCACACAUCAAACAAAUCACAUUCAAGAGACUACAAGGCCUUGUUAACAAAAGCAAACAAGACCUCAUACAAGAGAUGAAAGGGGACCAAUUAACCAGCUGAAACGAAUAAGAAUUCAACGAAGAUCACUCAAAGAAAUUGGAGUCCUUCAAUAUGGUUUCGGUAUUAAGGAUAGCUGGAACAAGAAUAAAAGCAAAGAGGAUAAAGGAAACGAUUUGUACGAGGACGAACAUCUUUGUUUUAGGCACAAACCUGCAGAAAACAUAACGGGCUAUCCGGUAUGAAACCAGCAGUGCUAGCGAUGUUGACAAGCAGUAAUUUAGAAUGCAGAGAGCACGAUAGGUCAAGGGUAUAGUAGUUUGAAGAGAAACCACAUACUGAAGUUUCCACGACCAUGUGGACACAGCAACUAAAAGCAUGUAACAGGUCCCAAACAAGGAAAGGGUUAUGAGAAGAAACAAGCUGAUUGAACGACUUGGUAGGAGAUAUGCUGUUAACCCGAUUGCUGCCCAAAAGGUUAAUGUGUUGUAUAACCAAAACAUGGAUGAUACGUCUAUUAAAUCUGACCAAUUAAUCUGAUCAUCGGCCAGUGGUGGCAGAGGACCUGGUAGGGGUGCAGUGCUGUCGGUUGAUUCUAAAGAUGCGUAAUACUUGAUAUGGUAUUUCAUGGAUGAACUGUUAUCAGCUUUCUUUGGAGGGCUUAAAGAGGCAGCGUAAGUGACUGUUAUAAUUAGCACUGUCACUACUAGAAAUGUAUUACGCAUCUCAAGCGGGAUAUCCUUUCUUCCUCGACCUGCCAUUGUUGCAAAUUUUUGAAAACAUGACAUCUUCGGCCUUAAUGAUUUGAUGUGGAUUGAAGAGAUGGACUUAUUGGGAAGCUUGGAACCACACAAACCUCCUGCUUUUGUUAUCAUAUCUUUAACCGAGCCCUUAUAAUUAUUCACUUGCCUUUCAUCCAAUGGACAGUCUGGUUGGAUAUCUAAAGCAGUGGAUCCCUUCAAAUUUUUGGCAUUGAUAUGGUCUCGACGCAAGUGCCCCAGCAAUACUUGCACCACCUGUUAAUUAGAAAAUUCAUGUAAAUAACCCUUUUAUCAUAUACGUAUAUACAUCAAUAAUUGAGUUAACUAGCAAAUUAGCAUACCUGAGGUGAGUUUUUGAUAGCUGAAAUGUGUAGGACAUUGUUGCCAUCAAUGUCUGCCCAACUAAGCAGUUCUUUCUCCCAACGUUGGGCAGCUUCAUGGCGGCUCCUUAUAAGCCACCCCACCAAGACUUGAAAUGCUUCAAACUUGUCCUUUUUUACUGCAAGAUGGAAAACCGUCUCGUCUCGAACAGUCACAUCUUCAACAGCCUCAGGGCAAACCUCAAGGAACUUGAUCAAAAGAUCAACAUCUCCAGUUUGAGCCACAUGAUGCAGAGGGGUCAAGCCUUCCCUUCCUUUAACACGAACAAGGCCUUCAUCAAACUUGAGGAGUCGAAGCACAGCUUGAGUUAUGUUAUUUUGCAGAGCCAAGUGCAUGGGGCUAAACCCAGCUAGAUUUAACUUUCUUGCAAACGAUGGCUUUAAGUUGAUCAUCUCCAUCAUAAAAUCAACAUGCCCAGAACUGACUGCUACAUGCAAUGGAGUGUCAAGAAAAGGAACAUGAUCAAUACGCUCCAAAACAUAUGGAUCUUUCUGAAUUAGCAAACACAAGACAUUAAUGUUUCCUGUUUGUGCAGCCUCUAUCAUUCUCCAAUCCAUAGCUAUGGAGAAGUGGAGGUAAUAAAUUACGCAGCAAAUUUUCAGGCUACUGAGAAAUGAUGAAAUUUGCAGGAAAACACAGAGAAUAGAGACACAUAAGACAAUAUAAAGGGAAUAGAAGCUAUAUUUAGCAAAACACACAGCAAUCCAACCACAAUUUUAUACAUGACUUUAAACGCGCUAGUCUGAAGAGAAACUUCUUAAAAAGUCGAAGGUAACUUUCACACUCCAAUUACGACUUGUUUAAAAGAAUAGAAAAUAUAGAACCCAUUUUGGUUGAAUGGAAAUCUUACUUCCGAAAAAAAAAAAUCUAACCAAAAGGUUAGAGGUACAUAAAAUCGAAAUGAAACCCAACUCCUAGAACAGGAGGACAACAAACAGCUAUCAUCCUGGAUUAAAUAUAAAUGUUAAUUUCAUUCUAGAUACACAAUGCUUAAUAUAAUAUACUUCAACACACUCGAAUCCACAUCCUUCUGACAGCAAUGUCAAUUGAACUAAUACGCAAUAAAUAACACCACUAUAUUUAAUUUUUUUUAAAAAUAAUAACAUAUAUUUUAAAAAAUUCAAUUUAUAUGAGCCGGCCACCUUGCUAAGAUGAGAUUUUUUUGUUGUUUUCGGUCAUUUGCUUGUUAAAUUAACAAUUUUAUAUGAAUCUAUGUCAAAGCUGAACAUUUGGCAUACAUUCAUAUUAUAGAUGAGAUAGGUGAUUCACAUCAAAAUCAAAAUGUCGAGAGUCAAUAAGAAAUUUGAAAAAUACGAAAAGAGCUUCCAAUGAUAUCUUUGACGUUAAAGUAGGAAGAAGAAACUUGAUCUCUUUUUGUGAAGAAAAGGAAGAGAUCUUAUAUUGGUGGUGGAUUUAAUAAUGAGCCGGCCGUGGACCUCGAUGAAUGGUUGCUUUAUUUAUAUAGGAUUUGGUGGUAUGUAACAGGAUAUGGCUAGACCUCACUAAGAUAUGAUCAACCAUGCUGUAGAUAGUUGGUGGCAAGAUUUCUAUGAUGUGUAUUGGUAGGAUGAAGCUAGAAAAUUUUGUAGGGAUCAAAAUUAAAUUGUAUUUUUACGAUAAUAAAAAUAUAAUUUCAUCAUUUUAAUAGUCUACGUUUUAUAAUUUUUAAAAGAUUAAAUCAAAUUUUUAUCAUUUUUAGGGGGCAAAGUGCAAUUUUACCUUUACUAAUUUAAAAUUUUAAAGAGCUUAAAUGAAAAAUUUUCUAUUUUAGGGGAGACGGGCCCUGCCAGCCCCCUUAACUAGGCCCUUGUGUACUAGGAAGCAACAAAUGUAAUUGGAGGGUUCCGAUUGGAUUUGAUGGUGAUUCCAUAAGCAAACAAGACCCUAGUAAGGGGCGAACGUUUGAUUGAAUCGAGUAAAAAAAUUGAGUUAGUCGAGUUUACAAGCCUUGUUUUUAUCAUCUUAUCUCGACUUGAAUUUUUUUGCAUUCGAGUUCAUUGAAAUAAAAUUUCAUUUAAGUCGAAUCGAAUCAAGUGAAAUUGUUUGAGUUAAAUUUAAAAAAAUUAAACAUGUCAAGAUAAAAUCUUGUUACAAUAUAACUAAUUCUAUGUAAGAGCACAUAAAUUUGAAACAAUAUAUAUAUAUAUAUAUAUAUAUAUAUAGAAACUAUAAGAGAAAAUAUAAUAUAUUUAAUACGAUAAACUUGAAUUGGUAAAUUUACUUGUUUAGAUCCUCAAAAUUAAUGUAUUGAAAAUUUUAACAUUUUUUAUAUAUUCUUUAUUUUUUUUAAUUUAAAAAUUAUGAAUUUUUUGGAAUUUUUGAAAAAUAAUUUGAAUAUUUGAAAUUUAUUUUGAAUUGUUUUGUAAAUUUUUGUUGAGAGAGAUCGAUUUGAUCAUUUUUUAAAAUCGAUAGGGGUCAAAGGAAUAUUUACACUAAUCAAUUACACGAAUUGUAAAAUUCAACUCGACUCGAAUUCGAAAAAUUGAACUACUUGUUUAAGUUGACUUGAAAAAAUUGAAUAACUCGAUUAUUUCAAUUCGAUUAACUCAAAUUUUGAAAAAAAUAUUUUUUAAAUUAAAUCGAGUUUUGAUAAACCGCAUCUAUCUAGAUGAAAUGCCUUGAAAUUAGUUCAUCAUCAAUUAGAAAUUAGUUAUUUGACUCCUACUUUAUUUAAUAACAGAAGUCCAAUAAAUUUUAACUUAAUUAGAUCACUUUAAAUUUGGGCUAACCUUUUAAGAUAGUAAAUAAUAACAUGUAGUUGACAUUAUUAUAUAUGUUAUGUCCAUAUUUUUCCAACACAAUUUUAUACAUGACAUUUGGUUUUGUGCAGUUUUACGCAUGAAUUUUUUAUUUGAUUCACUAAAUCAAAGUAUCCACUGGAGCGAGCUCAAUACUAGCCUUUCGCGUUCCGUAGGCCCAUUAAAUAAGUAGACGUUUGCCACGAGUUUUAAAGUUACUCCAUACUUGGACACAGUUAUAUAUAUUACUUUAUUUUGUGUGAUGCACAAAUUUAAUUGUGUGGAUCAAUUAAAAUGUAUUCUCAAUGUUUCUAGUUGUUCGUGCAUUAUGCUACUUAAUCUUUGAUUUUGUCAGGUCGGUAAACAGUACGAAUAAAAAAUUCUUCGUCCUCGUACUAAUCGUUUACAUUGGCAUGGUUUCUAGCCCAAUCUAAAUACCGAAACUGUAAUGAAGUUUUGGGUUUUGUAUUAGUGAUAGUGAUGGGGUAGUUCCCUUCAUCUCUUGUACCGGAGUCUUUUUCUUUUUCUUUUUUUUGGUAUCAAGGGCGAAGGUCAGGUCACAAACUUUUGUUUAAGCCUAAUCGUCUAUUGAAAGGGUGAAUUUGUUUGUGAAGUCGUGGUUGAAUAAGGAUCAUAACCAGCUGUGCUUUUAUUGUAUUUUGUUCUUUUUGUAAUACAUCUUGAAGACAAUUCGAAGUCACAUAUCUUAUUUAUUUAAAAUCAAUAAGACUCAUGCCAAAAUUCCAUUUUCACUUGUAGGUUAAAAUUUUCAUGUUCAGUGUCUUAAAUAAUUAUUUUUAAUAUAAAAUUAAUAACGGUUAAAUACAAUGAUAAAACACAGUGCAUUUUUAAAAAAAGAUAUAAGUUUAAAUAUUGAAGAUAAUAUUGUUGAAUAGACAACUAUAAAAUUUAAAUAUAAAUUGUAAAACAGACAUAAAAAAGAUAUAAAAAAUUACCUUUAUUUAUUUAAUUAAAUAAAUUACCCUUUACAGUUUAAUCUAUACAAUUUCACUAGCCUUUCCCGUAGGAGCAGCCGGGAGGAAGCGACGAAAUGACAAUAGAAGGAGAAAAAUUGGAAGGGUUUAACAAGGAAACAAUAUAAAGUCAAAAAGGGCAGACAAAAAAAUUGCCUUUUCCAUUGAUUUUAGUUCUUGUCUUAUACUAAUAAAAUUAUGCCAUUGAUAUGUUCAUAAACAAAAGUUUCAAGGAAAUGGCACCCCCUGGUCUGAACCACAAAGCCAACUUGAUAUCAAGAAAAGAAAAGAAACCAUAAAUUCUUAUUUAUUGAAAAGGCUAAUAUUUAAAGUAUAAACACAAUUGUGAUGAAAAAAAUAAAUUUACCAUAAUUCCUCUUCAACCACAAUCUUUAAAUAAAAGGAUAAAUGUGUACCAACUAUUAAUCGUGCAUCUAUUUUGUUGAUUAGAGAAGUUCAUUGAACCAAUCAGGCUAUUAGGUAAAGUUGUUAGAGAUGUCUGAAAGAAUUGGGUAAAUAGAGAGAAAUAUCCAGCCAAACAGAGAAAUAUAAAAUGGAAAACUUCUUUUUGUUUGUUUAUUCCAAAAUCUUAACUCUCUGAAUACACAUGUUCAGUAUUUAUAGGCAUGAGUAACCGCUCCAUAUUGAGCAACAACCUUCACCGGAUACAUAACUAACUAACAACCUAUAAUACUCUAAUAUUCAUCCAUCUUCCCCACAGGCAAAACCCGUAGACAAUUCCGAAACCGAGCAAAAAUCGAUAGUGAAAGUGGCUUAGUGAGAACAUCAGCAACUUGAUCACACGCCGGAACCUCACCAACGGCAACAGUACCAUCAGCAACCUUUUCACGAACAAAAAACAAAUCUAAUUCAACAUGCUUAAACUUUGAAUGAAGAACAGGAUUAGCAGCAACUGCAACCGCACCAGAACUAUCACACCAAAUAUUUGGAAUACUAGAAGACCGAACAUGUAACUCUUGAAGUAACGACAAAAGCCAUGUAACCUCACUAGUAACCGCAACAAGACUCCGAUAUUCUGCCUCAGCAGUAGACCGAGCAACAACCUGUUGUUUCUUCGUACACCACGACACAGGAUUACAUCCGAAAUAAACACAGUACCCGAUAGUAGACCUUCGGUCAUCAAAAUCUAACCCCCAGUUUGCAUCAGCAUACCCAACUAAGGACAGAUUAGGUGACGGACGAAACACAAUCCCAAAUUCAAUCGUUCCACCUAGAUACCUCAAAAUACGCUUUAGAGCCAUCAUAUAGACAGAAGUGGGACAAUGCAUAAACUGACAUAUUCGAUUCACAGCAUAUUCAACAUCUGGUCGCAUAAGAGUGACAUACUGUAGUACCCCAGCAAAGCUCCUGUAUUCAGUUGGAUCCUCUAAACACUCACCACCAUCUUUAGUUAAGAAAGAAGAACUAACCAUCGGUGUAUUAACACUCUUCGCAUUUUCCAUCGAACACCGAAUAAGAAUAUCACGUAUAUACUUCUUCUGACAUAGAUAAAGACAACCUGAUGAAGAACGAGUAACUUCUAUCCCAAGAAAAUAAUGAAGAUCGCCCAUGUCCUUAAGUGAGAACUCACUAUUCAGCAAUUUAACAAACCAUUCUAUAACAGAUGGCACAUCACCUGUCACAAUAAUAUCAUCAACAUACACAAGAACAUACAACGUUGAACCGGAAACGACCCGAACAAACAAGGAAGCAUCAGACUUCGAUACUACAAAGCCCACAGAUACUAGAAAUCCUUUUAGCUUCUCAAACCAGGCACGAGGGGCCUGACGAAGACCAUACAACGCUUUCUUCAGACGACAUACCAGAGGUCUGCCAUCGGAACCAUACUGUACAUAGCCAGGAGGUUGAUGCAUGAAGACUUCAGUAUCAAGAUCUCCAUUUAGAAACGCAUUAUUCACAUCCACCUGUCGAAGGGACCACCCCCUAGACAUAGCAAUAGACAGAAUAACUCUGAUAGUAGCCGGUUUUACCACCGGACUAAACGUUUCCUUAAAAUCACAACCUGAAACCUGAGAGCAGCCUUUCGCAACCAAGCGAGCCUUAUGGCGAGUAAUAGUACCAUCAGAAUUCCUCUUAAUCCUGAACAACCAUUUGCAUCCUAUAAUCUUACGAUUAGACGGAGAUGAAACUAGCUCCCAUGUGGAAUUGCGCAUAAGAGCAUCAUACUCAUCUUGCGCAGCAGCACGCCACUCAGCAGUAGCAAGAGCUUCUUCAAUUGUAGAAGGUUCUUUAACCUCAACAUGUAAAACCUUAGGCUUGUAAACUCCCGCUUUAGCUUGAGUGACCAUUGGGUGAGUAUUACCCACAGGUGGUCUACUAACUUGACUGUCAGAUGACGACGAAACGCCUUCAGACAGUCUUGAGAUAGACUGAGGAUGAUCAGUAAAAUCACCUAGUGAAGCCGACUCAUGCAAAAUUGAAAGAGCAUCCGACCCAGACCCAACAUCAUCCGAAGGAGCAUGAGAUUGCACCAAAUCUGUAUUUGAAGUAGAAACAUUAGGCUGAGACUGGAACCCUUGAAGAGAUGGUGGCACAACACAAGGCACAGGAGAGGACGAAGAAGAAACAGUGGGCCACACAACGGGAACAACAUUCGAACUAGUCUGACUGGUCUUCGUCAUAGACUUAUCAGGGCUAGACUCAGCAAACAAAAAUCUCUGCUCAUCAAACACGACAUGUCUCAAAAUAAUAACCUUACCAUCCGGUAAAAGACACUGAUACCCCUUAUGACGAGGACUGUAACCCAACAAUGUAGACGGAUGAGACCGAAAAUCCAAUUUAUGACCAACAAACGGACGUAAAUAAGGAUAGCAGCAGCAGCCAAAAACUCGAAGAUGAUCAUAGGUCGGAUCAUUACCAUAAAGUGCCUUAAACGGAGAAUUGCCCUGAAGCACAACAGUAGGAAGUCGAUUGAUCAGAUGAACCGCGCAACAGAACGCAUACCCCCAGUACUGCAUAGGCAAACUCGCAUGAGCCAAUAACGUAAUACCCAUUUCAACAAUGUGACGAUGUUUACGCUCAGCCACUCCAUUUUUUUCAGAAGUGUACGGACAUGUCAAUCGAUGAAUAAUUCCCUGGGAUUCCAAAACAGAUGUAAAACCACGGUAUUCUCCUCCCCAAUCACUCUGAAACUGCUUAAUAGACUUGCCAAACUGUGUCUCAAUUAACUUUUGAAACUGAGUGAAACACUCUAUUGCUUGAGCUUUUUGACGUAUAAGAUAAACCCAGGUAAACCUAGUGCACAUGUCAAUAAACGAAACAUAAUAUCUCUUUUCAUCACAUGCAACAGAUGCGGGACCCCAAAGAUCAGAUACAACUAACUCAAAAGGUUGAUAACUAGUAGUAGAAGGUGAAAAAGGCAACUCAAAUUGACCUCCUGUAACACCUGAACUUGACGAUUCUCACAAUCAACCAACGCAUCAACCACACGCUUUAACGGCAGUACACCAGUCGACAAUCGAACAGACGAGAUGACCGCCUCAUAUUCCGACGGCAAUCCCGCAAGCACCACUUCAACCUUCUCUUCAUCAGAAAUACGCGAACCGGACGCAUCUAACAUAGCACAGAGAUCUUUAAUCUUAGCAACAUAAGUUUUAAUAGAGAGGUUACAUUUCUUCAAGGAAUGAAGCUCAUGCCGAAGUCUCGAUUGCUUGGCGCCAGUAUCGGUCGCAAACAGAUUAACGGCCAUACUCCAUACAUCACAAGCCGUGCAAGCAUCAUCAAAGGAAGAUUGAUGAGAAGAGCUUACUGUAGAUAAAAGCCAGGACGUCAGAAGUCGAUCUUGCUGCAUAAACACCUGAGCCGCCGGAUUUGGAGCACGCGAGCCAUCGGGUAGAAGAUUGAAACGUGAUGGUAGAGCAAUGGUGCCAUCUAAGAAGCCUGUAAGUCCAUAACCAUCAACUAUCAGUUUUACCUGUUUGCGCCAUUGAAGAUAAGUACCUUCAUCAAGUUUAACGACUUCAUGCCGAGGAAAGACAUUCGUGACACGAUCGGCAUCAAACACACCGGAGCUAGGUUCACCAAACUCAGAAUCAACGGAAGCCAUACUAAGCAAAAUCCAGAAUCAACCUGCGAAUGAUACCAUGAAAGAAUUGGGUAAAUAGAGAGAAAUAUCCAGCCAAACAGAGAAAUAUAAAAUGGAAAACUUCUUUUUGUUUGUUUAUUCCAAAAUCUUAACUCUCUGAAUACACAUGUUCAGUAUUUAUAGGCAUGAGUAACCGCUCCAUAAUGUCAUACGUGAAUAGAUUUAAAAAAGAAAGAAAAAAUAACUUUCAUCAUUAUAAAGGAAAAGUGAAAAAGCAAAAGGAAUUAUUAUUUGAUUUAUAGGAGAAAUUUUUAACUCUAUAAAUGAUAAUUUUUUAUAAUUUUUAUUUACUUUUUAUAAUUUUUAUAUUUAACAAAAUUAUUUUUUAAAAAUUUUUACAAUCUAAAUUAAAUUGAUAAAAUAUAUAAAUAAUAAGGUUAAAUUUUUUUUAAUUAUGAUAAAAUUGAUAAAAUAUAUAAAUAUUAUUAAAAAUUAAAUCAUCAACAUUAUUCUAUACUAACGAUUUAACUUAUAACCUGUUAGAAACAAUUUUUGAACAAAAUUGGUUUGAUGAUGGCUCCAAAUAAAUUUCAAGUCUAACGAACUUGUAUCAACAUCACGAAAUUCAACUAUAUUUCAAAUAUAUAUAUAUAUAAAAUAUAUAUAUUUAGGACUUUUUUAUGGUGCAUGUCAUGACAGUUAUUAUAUAACAAGAAAUUAGCAAUGUAAAAAAGGCAUGGAGAUAUAAUUAGAACAAAAAAUUUACAAAAUAGGGACACUUGGGCUAUGAAGAUACUUAAAGUUUGAAGAGACAUGGAAUAUUAAGGCAUUAGAAUAUCUUCAAAAACAUCAGUCACAUAUCUCAACAACAUCAAGGGAAAGAAAGAAAGAGUUGCAAAAGGGAACUAUACCAAAGAGCCAAGAAUUGUGAGGUUGUGAGUGCUUACAGAUAUGGAAGCAUAGACAUUAAAUUUGAGAACUUGAACACUGCCACACAGAUCAAAUACUUGAUGGUUUAGUUUUAAGGAAGAAGGUAGUGAAGAUGUUGAUGGGAAAAUGGAGGUUCUAAUCCCGCUCCUUGUUGGAGACAAUUGUCUCUAAGCUUUUUCCUUGUUUAAAGGUUCUCACCCCAAAACCCUUGCAUUCUUUUUUUAAAACUCAAAAAGGAACACCUUUUAACUUCCUUUCUCCCCACCGCACCCAUGUAACUGCAUAUAAUAUUAUAUGUACGUAAUAUGUAUAUAUUAUAUGUAUGUAAUAUGUAUUAUAUAUUAUAUAACCCCACAUAUAUGUGUAUAUAUAUACACACAUAUAGCAUUUUGUCUCUCAUUGCACAUCGGGGUUCGACAAGUGUUGCGGCUGAAGUAGUGAGAACAUACAUUUUUGUCUUGAUAGUUUUAAAAAGAUUGUUUUUAAAGAUAUUUUCGAUAUUUCUAAUUUAAAAAGAAAUUUAAUUUUAAUUACUUGUUAAUUUAAAGACAGCUUUACUAUGACUUUUAAUAAUAAUAUUGUAAUUUUUAGAAAUUGUUCACUUAUCUAUAAAGGAUUGAUACAAAACAAUCUCUAUUUUAUCGGACCAAAGAUGUACACAAUGAUAGAAAUCGAAAUUGCAAAUAAGGAACUUAAAACUUUGUACUUUUGACAUUUGAGAUUUGACCGUAUUAAGUAAGAAAAAACCACCUUGUGGAAGAUGACAAUUUAAAUACACUUAGGGAAGUUUAUCUCCAACAAUGUGAAUCUUACUUGAAAAGUAAGAUUAAGAGAGUAAUUCAACCUUCAGAAUUUGUGCACACUAAUGCAUGUGGCCCCAAAAAUUUAUUGCAUGAAGUGAUUAUGAUUAUUAUAUUAAUUCAAAAUAUAUACAAUUGAUUUACCAUGCAUUGUAUUUUUUUUAUGAUUCGUUUUACUUUUAGAUUAGGAAGGCCUACAAUAAGUAUGAAAAUGCAAAGAAAAACUGAGUCCAAUAUAUCAGGUAGGAAAAGUUUGUACAUUUAUUCAAGGUUCUUUAGUUGUAAACUAUGUAAUUUGGUUGGUGUUGAUUAAUAAUGAUCUAAAGUUUGUACAUUUAUAGAAGUAGAUGAUCUAAACCGGUGUUGAUUAUGGAUGGCAGAUAUGUGCAGUGCAGUGUUGCUGUCUUCGUCAUUUUUGGUUCAUCACUUGCCAAUGAAAGUCUUUCUUUUUAAGCAUUUGAAUAAAGAGUUGAGAGAACAUCCAAUCUAUUGAUUUUAGUUUCUUAGCCGAAUGACGGCUUUUAGUUCAUAAUUUCCAUUGGCGAACCCAAUGCAGCACCUAAGUGUAAUGAAGUGUCAUCAAUGCGGCCUGAAAACAUUUCCAUCUCAGUAGAUUAAUCUAUACAAUUCACUCGCCUUUCCUGUACGAGCAGCUGUGAGGAAGGGGCCAAUUGACAAUAGCAGGAGAAAAAUUGGAAGGGUUUAACCAUCGAAAGCGAUUCAUUCAAAAAUUAAAGACUGGUAUGGUCCGUCAAUUACGGUCGACAAGGAAACAAUAUAAAGUAAGAAAAGGCAGGCAAUUAUUUUGGUAGUGGUGAAGGUUAAAAGAACUGCUUCUUCCAUGGAUUUUAGAUUUUAAUCAUUCUGUACUAAUUGGAUGAUGCCUUUGAUAUGUUCAUACUUCAUAUUCAAAAGUUUAAACAAACUGGCACCCCGUGGUGUGAACGAGGAAGCCACCUUGAUAUCAAGAACAGAAAAUAAAUAUCAAAAUUAUGUUUUGUUAAUAAAUGAACUUCAUUUAAUUUUAAUUAAAAAUAUACUUUGUUAAUAUUAAUAAGAUUUUGAAAUAUAUUGUCUAAUAUUUUUAAUAAAGAAUAAAUCUUAAAAUCACAUAAAAUUUUAGUUCCAUGUGUAUUGUGUUCUAACCGGAAAUAUGAUAUAAAUAUUAAUAAACAAGGAUAUGUCAUGUCAAAUAAUACAGAAUAAAUUAAGAACAAAACUAAAUGUGAAAGCGUACUUGAAUUCAUUGAAAUCUUGUGGUUUUGAUCUUCAAAAUUAUCACAUAAGUGUUUUAGAGAAGGCGACACUCUCUUUUUUGAAUAAAUCGAUGUUUUUAUUUCUUUAAACUUGAAUAAUUGAAUCAAAAUUAAAAUUUCAAGUAUACAUUUAAACCACAAUCAAAGUUUCAUGUGUAUAAUGGCACCAAAUUAAAGUUCGUGUAUUGAUUUGCAUAUCCAAUCAAUGUUUAUGUACAGUUCUGAGAUUUAUCUCUUUUAAUAAUUUUGAAAUGCAUUUUUAAUAAUUUUAAUUUUUUUAAUUCGAAAAAUAUAGUUUAAGAAAAUCUCAAAUUUUAGGUUUUCUUAAGGAAAGUUCAGAAUUUUACAAAAAAAAAAUUAGAAUUUUUCGAUUUUUUAGUAAUUUUAGAGAUCAUAAUGUGUUUUAUUUUUAUUUUGAAUUUUUUAAAAAUAUUAGUUAAAUACAUUUGUCAACCUCUUAAUCCCAAUUGUGGAGUUAAGAAGUUAUAUUAUAUGUGUAUCAAAUAAUUAUCCUUAGCAAAGGGAAGUAAGGAUUAUUAUUUGAUAUAUAGGGGUUCUUUCAACAAAGGAUGAGUGUUCAAUCAAAUCAAGUGAAAAAAAAUUAGAGUUAAUUGAGUUGAUGAGUCAUAUUUUAUCAUCUUAAAUUGAUUUGAUUUUUUUCAAAUCAAGUCGAGUGAAAUAAAUUCAAUUUAAAUCAAGUGAAAUUGUUUGAGUUAUUUUAAAAAAAAUUAAACAUGCCAAAUUGAAAUCUUAUUACAGUACAACUAAUUUUACAUUAAAACACAUAAAAUUGAAACAAUAUAUAUAUUUGAAAAAAAAAUUUAAAGCAAAAUAAGAAAAAAAUAAAUAUUCUUUAGUAUGAUAAACUUAUUCAAUCAUCAAUUAUUUUAAUUUUGUAUAUAAAAUAUAUAAAUGUAAAAUGAUGUUAUGUGAAUAGUUUUGUUAAUAAUUUGUAUAUGUAAAAGUGAACACAUAUAUUAUACAUUUCCCUAAUUCACCAGCAAAUCUGCCUUAAUUUUGAUAUGGAUAUACUUAAUACUCGGAUAAUGUUGUGAAUCACAUAUAUUGUUUAAUUUUCUUUUUUGAAGUUUUAAUAUAUUUUAAUGGGUAAGAUAUGUCAUUUUUACUCUUUGAAAUUUUGGAAUUUAGUUCCUAGACUUUUAUUUUUAGGAAUUUAGUCAAUUUAUUUUUUAGAUUUUAAAAUCAAAUCCAAUUAUUGACCCUCUUAAAUUUUUUUUGUUAAAUUCAAGUUUAUUAUAACGUUAUUUUUUUAGUUAUAUCGCUACCAAAUGAGUUUCUUUUCAAAAUGUCACACCAAAAAAAUUUAACAAAAAAAGACAUUUAACAAUAUUAACAAUUGGACCUGAAUUUUGAAAUUUGAAAAGUAAAGAGACUAAAUUCUUAGAAAUAAAAGUACAUGGAUUAAAUUUCAAAAUUUUGAAGAGUAUAGAGACUUAUGGCAUAUUUUAACCUAUUUUUAAAUUGUUUUGAAUAUUUAUCUGCUUGUUUAAUUUUUAUAUUUUUUUGGAUUUUUAAUAAUUUUUGUGAAGUUUUUUAGAAUCAAGAUUAAAUUGAUAUAAUAUGCAAACAUUGAGGGUUAAAUUUAUUAAUUUUUAGAAUUAUGAUUAAUUUGACAGAAUGUGUAAACAUUAAAGGAUGAAUUUGUUAUUAUGUCAAUAAAAAAGUUACGUCAACAUUCUAUUAACAUUUAAUAGAUAAUUAACCAAAAAAAUUACUAUUGAUAACAUUGGUGACAAAACCAAAAAACGUGCUAAUACUUAGUGACUAACAACUCUUGGAUGCAAUGAUACGACUCAUUAUACUCUCAAGAAGAGAACACGAGUUUAAAAAUGAGACACAACAUUAUUAAGAGGGGGAUAAUAACAAACCUUAAACACUUACAGCAAAUAUAUAUCCAGAAUCAUAUGGUGCAUUAAACCAUUCAUUCAUCACUCCUUCAGCUAGCUUUUUGUUUGGUCCAAGAAUUCAUAGUUGGAAAUGUCAUGUAUAAAAUCAACCAUUUUAUUUCAUGUGGACUGGAUACCUUCUUUCUGUGACUUUGCUGCUUGGAAAUUUCCUUGGACCUUCGAAGAAAAUUAACUCCUUAAACUAGAGUUCUGUUCAAAUCAUGUAUAACUUGUGGUCAGAUCGGAAACAUGUGUUUCCGGAAAAUAUAGGUUCUAUUUCUAUUUCUAUGUUGUCUUCUACUUCUUUCUUCUUUGUGUUUUGUUGCAAAUUUCCUUAGUUUUCAGUAAUCUGAAAAUUUACUGCUUAAUUUAUUAAACCUCAAGAGAAAAGCUAUGGAUGAGAGGAUGAUACAGGCUGCCCAAACAGGAGAUAUUAACCUCUUGUAUGAGUUGAUUCUGAAUGAUCCAUAUGUUUUACAGCGUAUUGAUGAUGUGCCUUUUUUUCAUACUCCAGUGCAUGUAGCUGCCUCUGCUGGGCAUAUUGAGUUUAUGAUGGAGAUGAUCAAAUUAAAGCCGACGUUUGCGAGAAAGCUAAACCAAGCUGGGUUUAGCCCCAUGCACUUGGCUCUGCAAAAUGACAGAACUCAUGCAGUGCUUCGACUCCUCAGGUUUGAUGAAGGCCUUGUUCGUGUCAAAGGGAGGGAGGACCUCACUCCUCUGCACCAUGUAGUUCAAACUGGAAAUGUUGAUCUUUUGAUCAAAUUACUUGCGGUUUGUCCUGAGGCUAUUGAAGAUGUGACUGUUCGAGAUCUUGCAGUAAAAAACGACAUGUUUGAAGCAUUUCAAGUCUUGGUGGGGUGGCUUAUAAGGAGCCGCCAUGGAGCUGCACAACGUUGGGAGAAAGAACUGCUUAGUUGGGCGGACAUUGAUGGCAACACUGUGCUGCACAUUGCAGCUAUCAGACACAGACCUCGGGUAUAUGCUAAUUUUCCUAAUCAAGUCAAUUAUUGAUAUGUAUGUAAGUAUGAUAAAACGGUUAUUUAUAUAUGAAUAUUCUAAUUAACAGGUGAUGGAAGUAUUGCUGGAACACUUGCAUCCAUACCAAAUCAAUGCCAAAAAUUUGGAGGGACUGACAGCACUAGAUAUCCAAUCACAAUACCCAUGGAAUGAAAGGCAAGCGGAUAGGACUAUAGAUAUGCUAAGCAAAGCAGGAGGCUUGAGUGGUUCCUCUUCCUCGCUUCCCAAUACCUCCACCUCUUCAUUCCACAUCGAUUCUUUAAAAGAAAAGAUGACAUGGUAUGAAAAAUGGAUAAAAGCAGGUCGAAGAAUGAAGGGUAUGCCACAUGAGAUGCGUAACAUAUUACUCUGCUAAUUAUAACCACCACUUACGAUGCCUCUUUAAACCCUCCAAAUACGCCUGAUGACAGCCCAUUCAAGAACUACCAAUUCUCUUUAAGUCAAGAUCAGCCUCUCAAUUCCCACACAUUUUUGCAUAAAACCGACAUCAAUACUGCGCCCAUGCCCAGUCCCUCCGCAAUUGACUUUUUCAUAAAAGAUGAAUGGUCAUCUGAAUACUCCUCGUUUUGGGCUUACAACUCGUUAACCUUUUGGGCAGCAGUUUUUUUAACAGCAAUUCUCCUACCACCUCAUUCAUUCUGUACGUUGGUUGAUACUCCUAGCACUUACCGUGUUUGGGAGAUCUUACAUGCAUUUAGCUGCUGUUUCGACGUGGUCACGGGUACCAUUACCAUAUGCCAGUGAAAAGGCAUACUCAUAUUUUUCUUCAGGCUCCGUUUAUAAUCAAGCAUUCUUAACGUUUCUGCCUGUCCUUAUGGUAUUCCGGGCAAUCUUUUAUGACCCGCAAACAUUACCAAACCAAAUUUCUCCAUGCUACUAUUAUUUGGUAAAGUUCUCUGGCAUUGUAUCUUGGGAAAGUACUUAAGUAGUUAAAUUAGUUACUUAAGUUCUUUGCUACAUUGUAAUUGAUGAUCUGAUUCAAUACACAAAAUGAGCUCUUUUCUCUAUUUUCUAGUUACUAGUUCGUUUCUCUGAUUCUUUUCUGUUUUGCUUGCUAUCUCUGGUUGCCUUCCUUGCAACUGUCGCCGGAGCACUGCCAUUUUCACAUGGUAUCAAAGCAAAGGUUUUUCGACCAGUAGAUCGACGAUUACUCAUUUUUAUGGAUCCACCAUCAAUUCCCAUUGUUGCUUAGGUCAAUCUGUCUUUUACAAAUAACAAAAUCAGUGUUUAUCUUAAUGAUCAAUGUUUAUCAAAUAAGAAAAUGGUGGAAAUCCACUUUCAAAAUGAAAAUCACCUAAAAAUUGAAUUUAUAUUUUUUUGAAGUUUGAAAAUAGAAAUAAAUCAUUUGGUUAUAUUGAAUCGUUGAAUAUGAGAAUAUUAAAUAUAUUUUAUUCUAGAUUCUUCUACGUAAAGUCGUCAUGAUUUUAAUGGAAUUAGAAUUGGAUUGAGAAAAUUAUUUAAAUAAAAAAUAUCGGGUUGAAUCGAAUUAUAAAAUAUUGGAUUAAAAGCUCAAAAAGUACUUGGACUUGGACCCAAUAUGGAAUAGUCCCAAAAGCCCUUUAUGUGAAAAGAGGUGGAAGUCUAACCCUAGUAAAAAUAGCUAGGGUUGUCGCCACCUAUAUUCUUAGUUGGACCAGGAGUUCGUUUUACUAGUUGAAAUAAACUUCUAUAAUUCAACAAGAAUUCUACCUUAUUUCCCUAUAAAUAGAUUACAUCAGUAGGGUUAUUUACAUAACUUUCAGAUAUUAUUAUUUUGCCUGAAAAUAGAGAGAUUUUUAUUCUCUAAGAAUUAAAUAUAUUUUUUGGAAUAAUGAUUAUAUCGGUUUCUAUUUGAGAAGAGAUUUUCGUUUCCACAAAAAAAAAUAUUUCUAGUUCUGUGUUUGAUUCGAUUUAUUCGAGCCCACACUCAAAGUAGCUCGUGGUACGAGAAUAGCAUAAAAUAUCGUUUGGUUGAAAGUCGGGAACGACAAUAAUCCGUCUAUCCAAAAAUGCAGGUGCGAAUUCAGCCUAAAGUUUAUUACUAUAAAACCAUUUUUGAACCUAAUUUUUUUCAACAAGAAAAUCAUUUUCGAACCUAAUUUUUUUCAACAGUUAGUAUUAGAGCGUCAAGUUGUGCUAUGUUUAUAGUGUAAACCGAUAUCAAAAUUCUCUCUCUUCUUCAUGAUUAAUUAUAUUUGAUAAAAUGUGACAUUCUUGUGAUAAUAUGCAUGCAUGUUUAUGGGAAUGUAUGCGGAUGAAUAUAUGAUAUUAUUUUAUUGCUAUGGAUGAUAAAGUAAAUUUGCCAAAGUUGUGAUUCCUAGAAAAUAAUAAUAAUUUAUUAUUAAUUUAGAUUGUGAACUAUCAUCUUCAUGCAAGAUUUAUUUUAUUUUAGAAUAAAAUAUGUGAGUAGGAAACGGAAAUAGGAAUUUCGUAACCUAAAUUUUCCCACCGAAACCCGAGAACUGAGAUAACGCAAAUUCAACCUAGCCAAAACAGUAAUGGCCGGAGGUGGUUCGAUGAAAGUGGUCGGUGGUGAUCCGACGGUGAUCGGCAAUGGUGACAACACAAAAACGAUGGCGGAAAGACGAUGACAAAAACAUGAACCGCUAAAGCAGCAGAAGCCUGUGGCGACAAAAUUGAAGACUCAAAGUAUGCUUUGGGGUGAAUUUUGUAAUCUUAUUUUUAUUUAUUUUUGGCUUGUUAGAGUUGCGACCCAAAUUCUUUUUAAAAUAAAAUACCAGUGGCAAGAUGAGGGGAUCCACGAGGGCGACUUCUAUUAAAGUCAUGACGACUUUAUCAUACUAGAAUCUAUGAGUAAAUAAAUUUAAAUUGUCUUAUUUCGUAAAAUUGCAAUGACUAAUUGAUUUAAUUCCCACUUGAAACUUCAACUAUUUAAUUAUAACAAAUUAAUUAAUAAUUUAAAUAAAUUAAAUUAAUCAUUAAGUUAUCUUUUGUACCUCAUGAGAAAAUGCAUUCACUUCGAAUAGUGAUACAUGCAAUAUGUUUCUCUAUUUGUUGUUUUCAUUCACUCAACAUAUCAAUUCAAAUGCAAUUUAUAAAUGGUUGUGUUAAGCUAGCAAAGGGACAAUUGAAUAUAUAUAAUUAGGGCUCAAAUAAUUUAAAAUUAAGUUCUAACUCUUCCCUAUUAAUUACAACAUUAUUUAGUCAUAGAGUUAAUCCACUAAAAAUACCAUAACUAAAUUCUCUCUUAUUAUAUACCAUUACGAAAGCAACUGAAUUUAUAUUUGUCUAAUGACCUUAUCAUAUGUGUGUUGCCCUCAUAGGAUAUCAUUUAUCUCAUUGGGUUAAAUCUGUUCACACAAUAUGAUCAUAUUUUAUCUCAUGAUGACCACCGCAUCUUCCACCAUGAAAAAGCCAAUUACUAAUACAUAGUAAUUAAAUCAUUUUUCCUAGACAAAUGACCCAUGACAACGUUACUUCUCCAUCAACCACGCAAUGUCAAAGAGAAGAUAUCAUUAACCAUUUAUUAGGCUAUGAAUUUCAUUGUUGUAAGUAAACCAAUGUCAUGCAUAAGUGUAAUACCCAAUAUACUGACUUUUGGCUCUAUUACAAAUUGAACUCUGGCUUUCAAUAUAUCAAAGUAUACAAGUUACAUACACAUAGUCAGUUACUUAUUUAGGAUUGAGGUAAGUCAUACUAUGAAUGUCACAAGCAAAUAAAUCCAUAAACAAAUGUAGGAUAAAUUCAACUUGGGUCUUGUCUGAUGUAUUAUCAAUCUAGACAAUCACACCUAUGUCUCUAUGUUUUGGGGAGUCAUACGUUCCAGUGAGCCAAUAUUUACUUAUACAUUUUGGUUUUUAAUAAAAAAUCAUUGAGGAUAGAAAAAGGAUAAUAAUGUAAAUGAUGGAAUUUUACUAAAUAAUUUUAUUCAAAAAAUUACAAGCAUAUAUGACAAAAUAACUACACUAAAGACACUAGAUCAUAACAAAAGAAGCACUCUCUAUUUUUACAUUUCAUUUUAGAGUGACUAGCAUAAGCUUAUGGUGGAAAGUGAUAGCCAAAUCAUUUUGAAUCCAAUGUAAACAUGUUAUUUGUUAUGAUAUAUGGAAAAAUCUGACAAAAAUUAUAUAAAAAAAGGAAUGGUAAUAUUAUUAAAAGUGUAACAUUUGAAGUAUAAUGUAAUAGAAAAAUAUUUUACAAAUAGACAAAAUAUUAAUUUUAGUUGAGAUGUACUUUAAAAAUAUAUAAUAAAAAAUGGAAGAAUUUAAUUCAAUAGUUAUUAUUAUUUUGUUUAUGUUCAAGUAAAAUGAAUUAAAAUCAUUAAAAAUAAGAGUAAAAAAAAAAAAAGGUGAUAUACCUUCUAAUUCUUUGGUAUUAUUGGGAAUAUAAGGUUACCUACUUGUUAGUUGGAUUUUAUUUUUGGAUUGUAUUUUGUCCAUUUUAUUAAAAAAUGAUAAAUUAAUCUUGUUAGAUUAAAGAGCAAAUUAGUACUAUUAAAAGUUGGUUCAUUUACAUCAGCAUGAGAUACACAUGGCACGACGCGUGUAACUGUUUGAUUAUGUCAUCAGUCAUACCAAUUUUUAACGGUAAAAAGAGAAAAAAAUUUACAAAAAGAAAUUAUUUCCUUUUUGAUCCAACCUAAAAGAAUUAAACAAUUACAUUGUUUUUAAAUAAUAGUUUAAGAACAGAUAACAAUUACAUUGUUCUAAGCAUUGUAUCAAUAAAAAAAGAAAUCAAAUAAUUAAUUGCCAGCUCAUCAAUAUAUAUAUUUCAGAAUGCCUAAAUGGACAAAUAUAAAGUUUUGAAGGGUGAAAUUUUUAUAAUUUGAAAAAUAAAAAACAAAGUUAAAAUAUACUAGCGGUUUGAGAAUUAGGUUAUUGCAUGGGAACCAUCUAUUGUAAGAAUGUUAUAUGGUCUAAGAGGGCAAAUGAUUCUGCUCAUUUUAUAAAAUAUACAUCAUGUUUUUUCUUCCUUAUGGAGUCUUCAUUUUUCUUUUAUUGGGAAUUAUCCAUAUUUAUGGAAAAUCAAAGAUAUGGGUAUCAAAUAAUAGAAAGUCAAAGAUAUGGAUAUCAAAUAUUGGAAAGUCAAAGAUAUGGGUAUCGAGAUAUUGGCAUAAUAAAAUCUGAGAUAUUUGCAAUAUAUGGUCCCUAAUUGUAAAGUGACUUUGCAAGUUGAUCCCUGAACCUCAACUAUAAAUAAGCAUGACCAUCUCUCAUUCUGUAUCUCAAACUUGCCAUUCUCUACUUAAGGCAUUGUUUUCUCUCUCUCUCUUUGUAAAUUCUCACUUGUAUUUUGGAGUGAAAUAUAUUUGGUAGUGGCCGAGGACGUAGGCAAAAUUUGCUGAACCUCGUUAAAUUAUUGUGUUCUUUAUUGUAUUAUUCUGCAUGAAUUGUGUGUGUGAUUGUAGUGAUUUAUUGUGCUAUUAAAUUACGAUUGAGGGAUAUUCUGGCUAGGAAAGACCUGGUACUUAAGAGAUCCUUGUGAUCCACCUCUCUUUCCUGGGAAUUGAACUUAGUGUGAUUUUUUAGUACAAUAAUUUUACUCUUUUACACGCUUCCGCACAACAAUUGGUAUCAGAGCUAGAUUCAUACUUGGGGAAUACGAUCGUUCACGGCACUGUUCACGUACUGUAGUUGGGAUUGAGGAGAAAAAAUGGAAAAGGCAUCGUCAUCAACAAAGACUACUGUGACCAAUGCGAAAUUUGAAGUAGAGAAAUUUGAUGGUACCAAUAAUUUUGGUAUGUGGCAAUGUGAGAUUCUGGAUGUCUUAUGUCAGCAAGAGCUGGAUAUAGCCCUUGAAGAAAAACCUGACAAGAUCGAUGACAAGGAGUGGGCCAAGAUCAAUAGACAGGCAUGUGGAACAAUUCGCCUAUGUUUGGCCAAAGAGCAGAAGUACUCUGUCAUGGAGACAUCAGGGAAGAAGUUGUGGGAUACACUGGAAGAAAGUUUCUAACAAAAAGUCUUGAAAAUAGGCUUUAUAUGAAAAAGAAACUUUAUCGGUUCACGUAUGCACCCGAUAUGUCGAUGAAUGACCAUGUGAACUCAUUCAAUAAAAUUUUAGCAGACUUGCUAAAUUUGGAUGAGAAAUUUGAAGAUGAAGACAAGGCAUUACUGUUGUUGAAUUCUCUUCCUGAUGAAUAUGAUCAUCUUACCACCACAUUGCUUCAUGGGAAGGAUAUAAUCACAUUUGAUGCAGUCUGUAGUGCGUUGUAUAGAUCUGAAACUCGAAAGAAAGAUAAAAAAGAUCACAAAGAUACAACUACAGAAGUCUUAACAGUAAGAGGUCAUUCACGCAGCAACAAAUCUGGUAGAAUGAGUAAGUCCAAAGGGAGACCUGCCAAAGAUAAAUAUGCUUUUUGUCGUGAGAAAGGGCAUUGGAAAAAGAAUUGUCCUAAGUUACAAAAGGGUAAAGCUAUUUCUGAUACAUGUGUAGCGGAGCAUGAUGAGGAAUCAGACUUUAGCUUGGUUGGCAUGGCAAUGGCAUGUCAUACAGAUGAGUGGAUUUUGGAUUCAGGAUGUACUUACCAUAUGUGUCCUAAUAAGGACUGGUUUUCUAGUCUUGAAGAACUAGAAGGUGGAGUUGUUUUUAUGGGCAAUGAUAGCACUUGUAAGACAAUGGGAGUAGGUACAAUCCAAUUGAGGAAUCACAACGGCUCAAUUCAAGUCUUGACAGAUGUUCGCUACAUACCUAGCUUGAAGAAAAAUCUUAUCUCAUUAGGGGUCCUAGAUCUAAAGGGCUCACAAUCACUUUGAGAGAUGGAUUACUAAAGGUAGUAGCUGGGGUAUUGACGGUGAUGAAAGGCACAAGAAGGAAUAAUAUGUACUAUUUAAAUGGAAGUACAGUUAUUGGAUCAACAUCAACAGCUUCUACGAAAGAUGCAGAUUUAGAGGCUACCAGGUUAUGGCAUAUGCGAUUGGGACAUGCUGGUGAAAAAGCUUUGCAGAGUUUGGCGAAGCAAGGCUUGUUGAAAGGUGCAAAUUCUUGCAAAUUGGAAUUCUGUGAACAUUGUCUUCUGGGCAAGCAGACGAGGAUAAAAUUUGGUUCAGCAAUUCACAAUACAAAAGGAAUUCUGGAGUACGUUCACAGUGAUGUGUGGGGACCUACUAAAGUGGCUUCUUUGGGAGGUAUGCACUAUUUUGUUACUUUUGUUGAUGAUUAUUCAAGAAAAGUAUGGGUGUAUCUAAUUAAAAGGAAAAAUGAAGUUUUGGAUGUAUUUCUGAAAUGGAAGAAUAUGGUGGAGACCCAGACUGGUCAAAAAGUCAAACGACUUCGAUCAGACAAUGGUACUGAGUACAAGAAUGAUCCAUUUCUACAAGUAUGUCACGAUGAAGGCAUUGUAUGACACUUCACUAUUCGAGAUACACCAAAACAGAAUGGGGUGGCAGAACGUAUGAAUCGAACUAUACUGGAGAAAGUUCGAUGCAUGUUGUCCAAUGCUGGAUUGGGCAAAGAAUUUUGGGCUGAGGCAGUUACAUAUGCGUGCCAUCUAAUUAAUCAGUUGCCAUCAGCUGUAAUAAAUGGAAAAACUCCUAUGGAGAGGUGGGCUGGUAAACCUGCUACUGAUUAUGAUUCUUUACAUGUUUUUGGUUCCACUGCAUAUUAUCAUGUAAAAGAAUCUAAGUUAGACCCAAGAGCAAAGAAAGCAUUAUUCAUGGGUAUAACUGGUGGAGUAAAAGGAUACCGUCUCUGGUGUCCUGAUACAAGGAAAAUUAUUUUCAGUAGAGAUGUGACUUUUGAUGAAUCAACCAUGAUGAAGAACAAUGAUUCACAAAAGGAUAACACAACCAGUGGCACUUUGCAGCAGGUGGAGCUUGAAAAGGUUAAUGAUGAUCCAGCUAAUAUUGAAGGAACAAAUGAUGAAGAAGUUUCGACCCAAGAACUUCUACAGCAACAUGAUUCAAUUGCAUAUAGAAGGCCAAUAAGAGAGAUUUGUAUGCCUGCUCGCUUUAAUGAUAUGGUGGCCUAUGCACUUUCCAAUUACAGAUGAUGAUGUUCCUUCUACUUACACAGAAGCAAGAAGUAACCCUGAUGGUGUAAAGUGGAAGCAAGCUAUGAAUGAAGAAAUGCAGUCACUUCAUAAAAAUAGGACUUGGGAGUUGGUGACACUACCCAAAGGAAAGAAGGCAAUUGGAUGCAAAUGGGUAUAUUCAAAGAAGGAAAGAUUUCCUGAUAAAAAUGAAGUUCGAUACAAGGCUAGAUUGGUAGUAAAGGGUUACGCUCAGAAAAAAGGAAUAGACUACAAUGAAGUAUUUUCUCCAGUUGUGAAGCAUUCGUCUAUUCAGAUUUUGCUAGCCUUGGUUGCGUAAUAUGAUCUUGAACUAGUUCAGCUCGAUGUGAAGACCACAUUUUUACACGGUGAUUUGGAAGAGGAAAUCUAUAUGACUCAGCCAGAUGGAUUCAAGGUUACUGAUAAAAAAAUUGGGUUUGCAAACUGACAAAGUCACUUUAUGGAUUGAAACAAUCUCCGAGGCAGUGGUACAAGAGAUUUGAUCAGUUCAUGAAAGGGCAAAGGUAUACAAGAAGUAAAUUUGAUCAUUGCGUGUAUUUUUAGAAGCUACAAGAAGGAUUUUUCGUAUACUUGCUCUUAUAUGUUGAUGAUAUGUUGAUAGCAUCUAAGAGUAAAGUUGAAAUUGAGAGAUUGAAGACUCAACUCAACCUUGAGUUUGAGAUGAAAGAUCUAGGUGAAGCUAAGAAGAUCCUUGGCAUGGAAAUAUGUAGGGAUAGAGCUCAUGACAGAGUUAGUUUGUCUUAGAAGCAAUAUUUAAAGAAGAUACUACAGAAGUUUGGCAUGAACGAGCAGACUAAAGUUGUAAGUACCCCGUUGGCUUCUCAUUUCAAGCUUUCUACACAACUAUCUCCUUCGACAAAUAUGGAACAAGAAUACAUGUUACAAGUUCCGUAUUCUAAUAUGCAAUUGUGUGUACAAGACCCGACAUUUCACAGGCAGUUAGUAUAGUGAGCAGGUAUAUGCAUAAUCCUGGAAAAGGACAUUGGCAAGCUGUGAAAUGGAUUCUACGGUAUAUUCAUAAGACCAUGGAUAUUGGAUUACUGUUCAAGCAGGAUACUACACUUGGUAAAGGUGUUGUUGGGUACGUUGAUUCUGAUUAUGCCGGUGAUUUGGACAAACGGAGAUCAACCAUUGGUUAUGUGUUUACUCUUGCUGGAGGACCAAUAAGUUGGAAGUCUACACUGCAGUCUACAGUUGCAUUGUCAACCACAUAAGCUGAAUACAUGGCUGUAACAGAGGUUGUAAAGGAAGCUAUUUAGUUACAAGGUAUGGUUAAAACCUUGGGUUGGUUCAGGAGCAUAUUAAUGUGUAUUGUGAUAGUCAAAGUGCUAUUCAUUUAGCAAAGAAUCAAGUCUAUCAGGCACGUACAAAGCAUAUCGACGUACGUUUCCAUUUUGUGCGGGAAAUUAUUGAUAAGGGGAAAAUUCACCUUCAGAAGAUUAAGACUGCAGAUAAUCCUGCAGAUAUGAUGACCAAGGUGGUAACAACAAUCAAGUUCGAACAUUGUUUGAACUUGAUCAAUAUUCUGCAUGUUUAACAGUUGAAGAAUCCACUAUCAAGUGUUGUUGACAAAGGCAGAGAGAAUUGUGUGAAGAUAAGAUUACUCGAAUCAAAUCUUCAAGGUGGAGAUUAUUGGGAAUUAUCCAUAUUUAUGGAAAAUCAAAGAUAUGGGUAUCAAAUAAUAGAAAUUCAAAGAUAUGGGUAUCAAAUAUUGGAAAGUCAAAGAUAUGGGUAUCGAGAUAUUGGCAUAAUAAAAUUUGAGAUAUUUGCAAUAUAUGGUCUCUAAUUGUAAAGUGACUUUGCAAGUUGAUCCCUGAACCUCAACUAUAAAUAAGCAUGACCAUCUCUCAUUCUGUAUCUCAAACUUGCCAUUCUUUACUUAAGGCAUUGUUUUCUCUCUCUCUCUUUGUAAAUUAUCACUUGUAUUUUGGAGUGAAAUAUAUUUGGUAGUGGCCGAGGACGUAGGCAAAAUUUGCUGAACCUCGUUAAAUUAUUGUGUUCUUUAUUGUAUUAUUCUGCAUGAAUUGUGUGUGUGAUUGUAGUGAUUUAUUGUGCUAUUAAAUUACGAUUGAGGGAUAUUCUGGCUAAGGAAGACCUGGUACUUAAGCGAUCCUUGUGAUCCACCUCUCUUUCCUGGGAAUUGAACUUAGUGUGAUUUUUUAGUACAAAAAUUUUACUCUUUUACACGCUUCCGCACAACAUCUUUAAUGAUAAAAGCUUAAAGAAUAAUCUUUAAAAUUUGGUUGUUGGUAGCUUUAUUUGGGUAGAAUUUGAGAUUUAGUUCAUAUAUUUUAAAUGUUAAAAUUUUAAUUUUUUUUACUUUUUCAAUUUAAUAUUGUAAAAUAAAACCAUAAAAAAAUUGUGUACAAAUAGUAUUGAAUUUACAUAAAAAUAUAUAAAAAAUGCAGCAUAAAUUUGAAUAAUAAUACAUGAACACUUAAAAUGAUAAUAUAUGAAAAAAAACUUAAGAUAAUAAUAUACGAUAAAUUUAAACAAUAUUAAUAAUGAAUUUAAAAUAAUAUUAAGCAUAAAUAUUAAAAUAAGGUUAGAUUUAAAAAUAUAUAAAAAUAAUGGAAUAAUAAAUACUUAAAUAAAUUAGAAAAAUAAGCAAAUUAAAUCAAGCUAAUAAGGAUUAAAUUGGAUUUAAAACAAAAUUAGAAGGCAAAAACGUAAAUAAAAUAAAAUNNNNNNNNNNNNNNNNNNNNNNNNNNNNNNNNNNNNNNNNNNNNNNNNNNNNNNNNNNNNNNNNNNNNNNNNNNNNNNNNNNNNNNNNNNNNNNNNNNNNGAAAUAUCCCCGCCUUUUGAAAUGCAUCGUUUCACCAGGACCAAAUCAAAAACCAAAUAAAAUUUAAAGUAUCAAUUGAAGAAAAUAAAAAAAUUUUGAAUUAAAAUAAUAAAAAAUACGGAGGGGGCAAAUGCAUAAAUAUCCUUACCAAGACCAGAACAGGCAGAUCUAGCUGCCUCUGGGUCGAGUCAUCGGGUAUAGUCAAUACGGCACCGUUUUGGAGCCAUUGAAACAGACUUUAAAUGGUGCCGUUGCAUGGCCUUUAUAAAACAAAAAAAAAAAGAAAAAUAAACAAGUUUUUAGCCAUUUCGAAUCAGAUAAAAACCUUAGCCACACGCCGUUUAGAAGCCUGGCCAUUCAAAGGCCAAUCGAUCCCUGUCUGAACUUCGAUUGCGACAGAGUGAGCAAGGAUUCGACACCACCAAGUAAUUUUCUCACCUUAAAUCGUUUUUUUCUUUUUUUACACAUGAUGAGUAAACAAAUAGAUGAGUCUAGAACAGAAAAGAAAAACAACGAAAAGAAAAAAAAGGUUUCAAAUCACCUUUAGAAAAUUCUGAUUCUUUGAUUUUUCGUCCCCUUUUAUAGAUUUGUAAUUGGCUUUUUAUAGCCGAAACGAAAAAAAGAAAAUAUGUAAAAAAGAAAUCUAUUAUGUUAUCUAGCUAUUUUCAUUUGCUGGCAUAUUGUUGCUCGCUUUUUACUGUUAUUCGUUUCUGUUUCAGGUGUACGAAGGAGCGAUGACGUGGAGGUGCAACACGCGUGGAGGCCUGGUUCCCAGCUGCGGCGUGGACUGUUCCAAAAACCCUAGGGGUUUCUGGAGAUUUCAAAUUGGGCCACUUCAAAUCGGGCUAGGGUUUAAUUAAGUCUAGGAUUGUAUUGGGUCUAGGAUUGGGUUAGAUUUUGGGUUUAGGCCUCAAUCCGAAUUUGGCCUAUUGUAACUGAACUUUUGGACUUAUUAAUGGUUAUUUUGGGUAUUGGGCUAUUAGGGUUUGUUGGGUUUGGGUUUUAGAUAUUUGGGCUGAUUUGUGUUUGUUUAUUUUGGGUUGUUUGUGUAAUUCUGGACUUUUUAUUUUAUUGGACUUUUAUUUUUUGAUUUGGUUUUUUUUUUGUGUGGGCUCGAGCAGAUUGGGCCUGCUACAAUAUUGAUGCAAAACUUUGUCACUAAAGUGCAAAUUGUAACAAUAGUUAAGUAGUCUUUUGUUCGAAUAACAUUAGAAGCACAUCAAAGUCAAAGCACAUAGACUUUAAGUUCAUUGUUGUUAAAAUAAAAGUUUAGGGUGGUUAGAUGUCUAUAAAGUAUAUUGAGACAAACUCCAUGGUUGUGGAUUCGCUUAUUAAGGGACUACCACCCAAAGCUUUUUUCCUGAGCACACUGUUGAUAUGUGUGUAAUGUCAUUCAAGGAUAUUUGAUUUUAGUAGGAGUUUGUACUUUUAAACGUUUUUAUGUUAUAAAUACAUUUUCAAUUAUUUUAGUUUACAAAUAUUAAGUUUUUUUUUUUUUGUAGAAAGAAAGUUUAUUUGGUAAAGUUUGAUCUCACUAAGAUUAAUGUGGACCGGUUAGAAUAUGCAUGUUUGAAUCAUAUUACAUGUAAUUUUCAUGUUACACAUCCAUACUUAAUCUAUGUCAUUUGGUUGUGCUAAUAUAUGUGAUUAAGGCUGGAUUUAGUUAUGAUAUAUGUAACAAAGUUGCAUUCUUUCUAUGUUAACAUAAUUAAUGGACAGAUUGUUCGAAAUACCUUUUAGAUACGAUAGUAAAAUUUUGAGCUCAUAAGGUUAUAUAAUGACAUGUAAUUAUAAGGUAAUCGGUAUAUAUAUAUAUGUCAUCCAAGUGGUAUAUAUGGACAUCACAUAUAUAAUAAGCAUGUUACAUGUUAUUAUUUACUAUCAUAAAAGAUUAACUCAAAUUAAAAGUGACCUAAUUUGGUUAAGAUUUAUUGGAUUUUAGUUAUUAAAUAAAAUAAUAGGUCAAUAAUAUGUGUAGAUACUCUAGUAACUAAUUUCUAAUUUAUGAUGGGCGGAUUAGAAAUUAGGUUAAUGUGAAAAUGUUAUAUAUUAGNNNNNNNNNNNNNNNNNNNNNNNNNNNNNNNNNNNNNNNNNNNNNNNNNNNNNNNNNNNNNNNNNNNNNNNNNNNNNNNNNNNNNNNNNNNNNNNNNNNNNNNNNNNNNNNNNNNNNNNNNNNNNNNNNNNNNNNNNNNNNNNNNNNNNNNNNNNNNNNNNNNNNNNNNNNNNNNNNNNNNNNNNNNNNNNNNNNNNNNNNNNNNNNNNNNNNNNNNNNNNNNNNNNNNNNNNNNNNNNNNNNNNNNNNNNNNNNNNNNNNNNNNNNNNNNNNNNNNNNNNNNNNNNNNNNNNNNNNNNNNNNNNNNNNNNNNNNNNNNNNNNNNNNNNNNNNNNNNNNNNNNNNNNNNNNNNNNNNNNNNNNNNNNNNNNNNNNNNNNNNNNNNNNNNNNNNNNNNNNNNNNNNNNNNNNNNNNNNNNNNNNNNNNNNNNNNNNNNNNNNNNNNNNNNNNNNNNNNNNNNNNNNNNNNNNNNNNNNNNNNNNNNNNNNNNNNNNNNNNNNNNNNNNNNNNNNNNNNNNNNNNNNNNNNNNNNNNNNNNNNNNNNNNNNNNNNNNNNNNNNNNNNNNNNNNNNNNNNNNNNNNNNNNNNNNNNNNNNNNNNNNNNNNNNNNNNNNNNNNNNNNNNNNNNNNNNNNNNNNNNNNNNNNNNNNNNNNNNNNNNNNNNNNNNNNNNNNNNNNNNNNNNNNNNNNNNNNNNNNNNNNNNNNNNNNNNNNNNNNNNNNNNNNNNNNNNNNNNNNNNNNNNNNNNNNNNNNNNNNNNNNNNNNNNNNNNNNNNNNNNNNNNNNNNNNNNNNNNNNNNNNNNNNNNNNNNNNNNNNNNNNNNNNNNNNNNNNNNNNNNNNNNNNNNNNNNNNNNNNNNNNNNNNNNNNNNNNNNNNNNNNNNNNNNNNNNNNNNNNNNNNNNNNNNNNNNNNNNNNNNNNNNNNNNNNNNNNNNNNNNNNNNNNNNNNNNNNNNNUUUUAAGUAAUUUAAUGAAAGUAAUUAAGUUAAGAAGAAAAGAGAAAUGGAUAAGUAUAUAAUAAUACAUAAUUUGUUAAAUAUAUAAAGAAAUUUAUUUAAUUUAGUACCUAAAUAUUAAUAUUCGAAACUCUCGAUUUUUCACAAUUUAUUCAAUCAAAUUUAGAUCCAACUUUAAUUAUAUUACAAAGACAUUCUAUUUUAUUAUUUAUUAACGGGUGAAAAAACAUAGUUCAACCCAUAAACAUUGACCACAAAGGGAAAUUUGAAACACUUACCACCAUUCCCCUAUCAGAAAGUCUUUCCCACAUUCAACUAGAAAUCAGAGCUCACCAAAAUGUUUAUUCUUUUCAAUCUGAACCGACUCUACAAUCACUUAUUGCUCAUGGUCUUCAGCCUAUAAACCCAGAAGCAUUAUUAACUUCUAAAUCCAAAACACUAAUAUCAGCAUCCAACCCUAUAAUGAUAGUCUUAUUGACUCAUUUAAACAAGUUUCCUUUGUCAGUCUAUCAUAUUCCGUAUUUGGUAAUCGCCAAUAUGAAUUCAGAAUUUAGGAUAGCUGGAAUAAGAAUAACAGCAAAGAUGCAAAGGGAAACGACUUGUAGGAGGAGGAAGAACCUUCUUUUGGGUACAAACCUGUAUAGCAUAUAAUAGGAUGUCCUGUAUAAUGUCACGAGAGCUAGAACCGUUGCAAAGCAGUAAUUAGUAAUGCUGAGUUUAGAAUAGGAAACGGAUCCAGGAGGCGAAAGAUAGAGAGGAUACUGAAGUUCGAGUGUCCGUAUGGAAACAGCAACUAAAAGCAUGUAACAGGUCCCAAACAAGGAAAGUGUUAUGAGAAUAAACAAGCAGAUUGAACGGCUGGGUAGGAGACAGGCAGUUAAAACAGUUGCUGCCCAAAAGGUUAAAGUGUUGUAUAACCAAAACAUUGUGGACACGUCUAGUAUAUGUUUUAUUUUUUUUUCUUCAGUGGGUGAAGGACUUGGUACGGGUCCAUUGCUGGUUGAACCUAAAGAUAUGUCAUACGUGAGAUGGAAAUCCUGGGAAUUUGAAAUGGUAUCAAGCUGCUUUGGAGGGUUCAAAGUGGCAGUGUAUGUGGCUGUUAUAAUUAGCACUGUGACUACUAAAAAUGUGUUACGCGUCUCAUGUGGGAUUCCCUUCUUUCCACGACUUGCUACUGUUGCAAAUUUUUGAAGAACUGACACCUUUCCUUUUAAAGAUUCGAUGGGGAUUGAAGAGAUGGAGGCUUUGGGAAGCGAGGAAGAGGAACCACGCAAACCUCCUGCUUUGCUUAUCAUAUCUUUAAUGGACUCCUUAUAGUCCACUCUCCCUUCAUCCAAUGUGUAUUGUGAUGGGAUAUCAAGUGCAGUCAAUCCCUCCGCAUUUUUGGCAUUGAUAUGGUCUCCACACAAGCGUUUCAGCAGUACUUUUACCACCUGUUAAUUAGAAUAUUCAUACAAGUAACCUUUGAGUAUAUAUAUACAUAAAUAAUUUUACUAGCAAAAUUAUCAUACCUGAGGUCUGUUUCUGAUAGCAGCAACAUGUAAAACAGUGUUGCCAUCAAUGUCUGCCCAACUCAGUAGUUCUUUCUCCCAACGGUUGGCAGCUUUAUGGCGGCUCCUUAUAAGCCACCCCACCAAGACUUGGAAAGCUUCAAACCUGUCAUUUUUUACGGCAAGAUGGAAAACCGUCUCAUCUCGAACAGUCACAUCUUCAAUAGCCUCGGGGCAAACCUCAAGGAACUUGAUCAAAAAAUCAACAUUUCCAUUUUGAACCACAUGAUGCAAAGGAGUGAAGCCCUCCCGCCCUUUGACACGAACAAGGCCUUCAUCAAACCUGAGGAGUCGAAGCACUGCUAGAGUUUUUUGAUUUUGCAGAGCCAAGUGCAUGGGGCUAAACCCAGCUUGGUUUAGCUUUCUUGCAAACGAUGGCUUUAAGUUGAUCAUCUCCAUCAUAAAAUCAAUAUGCCCUGCAGAGGCUGCUACAUGCAAAGGAGUAUGGAAAAAAGGUACAUCAUCGAUACGCUGUAAAACAUAUGGAUCAUUCAGAAUUAACUCGUACAAGAUGUUUAUGUCUCCUGUUUGUGCAGCACCUAUCAUCCUCUCAUCCAUAGCAAGGUGCGGAAAUUUGCAGAAUAUAGAAAUGGAGUGAAGAAAAAACGCUUUAGCAGAGGAUAUGAUUAUGUUAAGGAUAUAAUGAAGUGUUUGAUU